rnacentral:lncRNA from 1 species
GAAGAAUUCCUCUUUUGUGCUAUUUGUGUGGCUUACUCGGGCAUAGUGACUCUAGAAGCUGAAAACUACUUGAUUCACCAGAGGAGGAGUUGGUAAGUGGAUGGUCGGAAGAAAUACGAGUUGAGGCCCAACGGAGUAAGUGGCAGUAGCCAAUGUAGUGGUAGCUUGAAUUUGGAAAGUGGGAGAAUCCUAGGGUAACAAAUUAGGAAAAUUUUCAAAAAUCAGUAAGGGAUGUGAGUAAAUCACGUAUACAUAAUGUAACACCCAUAUCCAACCCGAUCGCUGAGCCCGAGCUACAGUGUGUCACAUUCAUUUUUUGAGCAACUAUGAUCAAUUUGCAAAAAAUAUACAAUUUAAUGGUAAUAUCAAACAAAAAUACAUUCCUUAAACCUACCAAAGUAAAUUUAAGUUCCAUUUAUAUAUAUGCACCUAAUAAUGUAUAAUAAAUUAACCAUCAUAUAUCUCACAUAUUUAUUGGCUAUGAGAAUUAUAAUUUGCAUAUACUUUUAUACAUAUGCAUAUCAACCAUAUAUAUUACUACUAGAAUAAAAAAUACAACAUUUGAUUAUAACAUCAUUCAUCUACCACAAAACCUAACCAUGAAACCUAACCUAUUAGGUACAUGCCAAAUAUAAAUAAAAGUUGGAAACAACAAACAUUGCUAAGUUCAUUUGUAGCACCCCAAACUCGGUCGAGUAGGUUCGACUUGACUCUGGCAAGCUACAUUAGUCACCGAAGUGACUCUCUGUUAACUCCGAACCUAACCUCCAACAUACCACUUAAUAAUAGCAAAUAAUGUGUUAAGUUAAAACACACCAACGAAAAUAAUUCACACAUAGCGGAAAACAUGCAAGCUUAUAAAACCACAAGGGUAGGUUAGCAUGUCAUCUAUGAACAAGUUCAAGCUCGCACAUAUGGUAAAAAAAUAUAAUAAAAGUCCGCAUAACACAAAUAAUAUGAGUUCGUAGAAGAUUACAAGUUCACAAAUCAAUAUAGAUUCGCAAAUAACAACUUAAACUAGGUUCAUUCAUACAAGUUCACAAUACAGAUUAAAUCAUCAUUCAUUUAAAACUUAAGUUCACAUUACAACAAUUCACAUACUAAUAGGCUUCACAUAUAAGUAAUUAUACAUGCAAAAGGUUUCAUACUCUUACAGGGUUUGUAUAUAUGCAUGGGUUCGCUAAAUUAGGGAAACAUACAGGGAUCUCGAUUAUACAUGCAUGUAAUUUUUGAACUUGCAAACAUAUAGGGAUUGCAGGAAACGAUACUUAGUAAUAAAUUUGAAUCGCAUAUCUUAAUAGCAAAUCAACGUAACAUUCAUGCAUAAAAAACAUCGAUUUUAUUCAUGAUACGAGUCACAAAGACCCAACUCAAGCUCAAGAACGUGAUGGGCUCAAAUUACCACAAGGCCCAAUAACGAGGUCAAAGGCCAGGCAAAUGCGUAUGAAACUAAAUGGAAUCAUUCAAGACUUCAUUAGCAAGGCCUUAGAUGCGUAUACAAAGGAAAAAGAAAAUCAAGAUUCACUUUCUUGUUUUCAAGAAACCGAAUCUUGGUGCAAUCUUGUUGUUUUGAGCGAUUUCAAAAAUUAAGAAAAUCAAGAUUUCAAAUCUUGGAAAUCUUGGCCCAAGAAACCGAAUCUUGCAGCUAAGGCGCAUUGGAUCUCAGUUACGAGCAUCAACGAACCAAUUUCGGGAGAGAACGGAUUACAAGCCCAAAUGCUUGAAGAAACAGCCCAAUAAGAUGUUCCAAGCCCAAUCAAGAAAUUUAAAUUAAACUUAGUUGAAAAUCAGGCCAAUUUGUCAAAGUGGCCCAAUUUGUAAAAUUUUAUUUUUUUAAAUAUUUAGUUUAAUUUUUAGACUUUAUGAUUAAAUUCCUAUGUAAAAAAAUUCAGCCUAAGAAGCCCAUUAAAAGUCUUGGCCGAAUUUCCCUUGAAGUUAAUAAUUAGGUUUUUUUUUUAGUUUUCCUAAUAGGGUUAGGAAAAUAGAUAGAAGGCCUAUAAUAAGGCUUGGUCGGCCACCUUAUACACAAUUACAUUGAAUUAUACAUUGAAAUCAGAUUUUGUUGAGUGAAAAUUCUCUUUGAGUUUUCUCCAAGAAUUUUCUCUUGAGUUUUCUUUGGAAGUAGUUUUAACAAUCUUUUUAUUGUGGGAGCCAUCUUCAGCCUUCUUCUUGCCAUUGUCCUACAUUGGAGGGGAGAUUAGAGCCGUUUGAAGGGAGUUGUGAAAUCUUUCUCGAUUUCAAGGCUUCUUAGGACUUUUCUUUAUUUUUCUUGUUGUUUAUUCCUUUUUAAAUUUUUCUGCUUGUGCCGAUUUAUUGAUUAACUUGUUUUAAUCUCUUUUGUUACGUUUCCAGCCAUUACACUCUUCAAGAAUCUGAUCGGCACCUUUCUUGGCAGCAAGAAACAUUCAUUAGUCAUCCUUUUCAAUUGAUCUUGCCGUCCUAUCAUCCUAACUCCAAUUCAAUUCGUUUUGCUAGACUUUGAAUUUAAUUUGCUGUUUUUGGUGUUAUUCUUUUCAGAUUCGGCUGUUUGGAGUCUCUCUUGAAUUCAAUUUCGUGUUCUUGGCUUCCAAGAAUAGUUAUUCAUAAGUGUUUUUGAUUCUUGGCUGAUCCUUUAUUGUUUGGGUAUUUUCGUUUCAGAUCUAAUUGAUUCUAAGUUUAAUUUUCUAUUUCAUUUCAGAUCCAAGCGUUUAGCGUGUUCAUAGGAGUUUCCCGUGACUUGACAACUCGAUCUUGGUCCGUGCGCAACCCUUCUAUCAAUUCAUAACAAAAGAUAAUCUUGAUUUUAUUCAUAACAAAAGAUAAUAAAAAAUUCUAAGUUAUAGUUCGCAAAACAGAAUGACUAAAACUUUAAGGGAACUAUAUGGAUAAUAGAAUCAAACUAUAAUAAUUCUGAAGCCCUCAUAAAAUAAACCCUAUCGCCUAUAUUCCCAGGUUCGCCAAUAUCUAGUUAGGAGUGAGUCUCUCCAAGUCAUCUACCUCGCCACUGUUAUCCACUACCUACUUACCUGCGAAGUAAGAGAGGAGUGGAUGAGUUUAUUGAGAACUCAGUGAAUAAUUAGUAAUCAACUGGGUAUUUUUUUUAAAUUGAGCUUUUAAAAACAAAAAGAAAACUUAGUCAUAAGACCGUUUCAUGUGCUAGAUUCACGAGUGAGGUUACGAGAUCUAGUUCGUAGAUCUUAUCAGAAAAGAACAGUUGUAAAACAAUUUCGCAUGUGCUACUGAAAAUCAUAUUUAAAAACUUAGCUUGUGCUUUCUUGAAAACAAAACUAAUUCAGCAUGAAAUCAUGUUCACAUGCUUAUUUUAUUAGAAUGGCUGAGAAACAUAAAAUAUGUUCUCGCACUUAACAGACUUAUCAGAAUGGUUGAGGAACAUAAAAUAUGUUCAUGCCCACACUUAUCUUAAUCUCGUUGGAUAUGUGAAUCUCCUUAUAACGCCUCAGAAUGACUCAAAGAGUCCUUAUAACAUGUCUCAUUAAUGCAGCACGAGGCAAUACACUCUCCUGCAAACCAACAUGUCCUAGUGAAUAGAGCAUAGCUCGACAUUCCUUUAUCUCUCUACAUGUCUGAGGGCCUCAAUGCCCAAAAUCACAAAAACAGAGAAGUGAGUACUUACAGUCCUUUGGUAUACCAAUAUAUCUAACAUGGCUCACAAAGGAGCACGCAUGGAUUUUUAUCACAGAGAGCUCGCACGAGGAGUUUACUUAUCACAGAGAGCUUGCAUAAGGAGCUUGCUUGAAAACACUUGUAAAAAGCUUGCACAAAAGAUCGUAAAAACACAAUUUCUAAAAUUGUUUUAUAAAAUAUAAUUAAAAACAUCAACUCAUUUAAAAGCUUGCAUAAAACAUGUCUUUCAAAUAAAGAUUAAAAACAUGUUUUGAAAACAGUUUCAAAACUUAAAAACAGGGUUUUGUCGAAAACUUUCUUUUGGAAGUUAGUUUAAAAACAAAGUCUUGAAAACCAUCAUAGUUUGCAUACAAGAUUGAACCUUAAAUAUUCAUACUGAAAAUCAUGAUAGUUAACAUACUUAUGACGAUCCAGAUCACUCACCGAAAAUUGAGAAACUAAACAAGUUUGGCUUUGCCUUUAUCAUUGCUGAUGGAUAGUCCUACUGGUUCGCAAUAUAAACAAAUAUACAGAUUACUUAAAUAGACCAUAAUUAUAUAAUUCACAGACUCAAGCGAACCUAGCUUUCUGGACAAUCACAUAAUAGGAGAGAGACUUACCUUGGAUGCUACGAACUUGACUCAGAACAGAGAUUUAAUGGUAGAAUAUUCAAUAAGAUAAUUCUCAUGAAGUAAGGGUCGUAUUUAUAAACCUAAGUGUCUUAGAAAUCUUUAGGAUACCCUACUUGACUUAGAAAAGGUGUUACUUGCACAUAAAGUAUUCUUAGAUACACCAUAUAUUAUUUCCUAAUUUGAGUCUAACUCAAUCUUUGACUAGUGAACACUAGUUCGCCAAACACACUGGCGAACACCCGAUUCACAACUUACCUGGUGAACCCACUUGUAAUGAAUCUCUCGAGCCCCCUUACCACAUCUUUUGGCGUAUACUGUACACUAAAACACUGGUGAACUCUUUGCUAUUACUCUUUUGGCAAACACCCUAGUUCGCCGAAACAUUGGCGAACACUUACUUGCAAGGCCGAAAAUUCCAAGCUUGAUUUUGGGAUGUUACAUCGACUAUAGAUUGGAUGCUAAUUUCGAUGCUCGAUAAUCUCGAAUUAAAUCUAACCUGAGCAUGAAGAAAACAAACCAUACGUUGAGUAAAGCACUCAGUGGUAAUUCUAUAAUUUAAAAAUAUAAUAUUAGCAUUAACAAUUCUAUUCUAAUUAUAUAAUUAUAUCUAUAUGCACGUAUCUACCAUAUACUUAUAACUUGGAUUUGUCAAGAUUUACAUUUUCUAUAUAAACAUUUUAAACAUAUCAAUAUCAAAACAUACCCUUAUUAGUCCUAUCUCUGAUUUACCGCUUCUAAUAUCACUUAAUUCAAUCGUUCCAAUUAAUAUAUAAUCAUUUCCAAGUUUAAUUCGAGUUCAUAGAAGCUCAAAUACUAUAAACUAAUUAACUAUUGCAUCUAAUUAAAAAUCAUGUUCAAUUAUAAUUAACUCAUCAAGAUCACUAGCAUCUUAACGUAACAUACUAAUUUUUAAACCAUUUACAAUUCAUGACCAUUAGCCAUACUCAAAUACCAACAUAUUUAAGCCAAUGAGUAUAACCACAUAGUUAUAACCAAAAUGACUCAGUUAAGGUCCAUAUCAUCCUUAAAUCGAAACGGGAAUACAAGCGUUACCGAGUCAGGGAUCGCCCUCUAGAUGCAAAGAUCUAAAUAUUGUUAGCUCGAAAAUCUACAAAACCAUACAUUGAGUAAUUAUGCUCAGCGAUAAAUCUAUGAUUCAAACAAGUAAAUUAACAUAUGUAACAUGCAACAUACAACCAUCCCAUUCCUAAUUUAAUUUCAUACUAUUUGUGAUGCAUAUAUUCACUUCCCAUUGACAAGUAUAUAUAUAUUAAGUAACAUCCUAAAUCAUUUUAUUUGUAUUCGAGUCAACCAUGACCUAUCACAAUCAAUUCAUAUUAUUUAAUAAUUCAGUUCCAUUCAAAGCAUACAUUCAACAUAGAGCAGAAUUAGAUCUAGGUCUUACAUAACUUAUGGAAGAUCUAAAGUUGACCUGAGAUCAAAUUGGGACUAAGUUGGAAGGAACUCAAAAUUCAAGGUCGACGCCGUGACAUGAGGGAGUUCCUCGUCACGACAUGACUCGUUAUCUUGGUCUCGUUAUGGUGACAGGGUUCUUCGUCGUGUCGUGACCUAGAGUUCAAACUCGUCUCGACGACUUGAAAUCGACGUCGCAAUGUAAGCUUCUCGUCAUGACGACGCUUGAGCGAUGUCACUACAUCACUAACUUUUUCUGCAACAUCCACAUAUAUCUAAAAUUGCAAGUCAACAUAACACAAUACAUGACCUUACUUCUACUCUAUUCUUGACCAAAUGAACGGUACAUUUAAUAGAUAUAACACUUUCCACACAUUCCUAUUUCAUGUUUUUACUAUUGAUCCCAUUCAACAACUCCAAUAUUAGACCUUUCCUAUCAAUUAUACAAACAUAUGCCAAAACCAAUUCUCAUUUCAUAAGUAAUCCAUAUAUGUUAUCUUCCAAUUUCAAUUGCAUACCUCAAGCCCUAUCUAAGAUACAUAUAUGAAGUUAUAUGUACACUUUCUAAACAUUGUUCUCUUUCAACCAUCCAUCACAUACCAAUAUAACUAAUCAACCAACCACCUACUAGCAUGAUUCAUACCAAUCUAUAUUUCAAAAACUAUUUUAUAUGUUUUAUAUACAUUUCAACCAUUUCCAAACAUGUCAUUAAAAACAAAGUAUUAACCAUUCGAACUAUACUUGCAUAUUUUUUUAAUAUAUGUAUACAGUCAUUAACUUCCCAAAAUCAACAUUCUGAACAUAUCAAAAUAUAAUGAAAACUCUACUAGCUACAUGCUCUUUUAUAUACUAUCAUGAUUCAUGUCCAUCAUUUUCAAUUCAUCACCAAAUCAUCAAUUCAUCAUACCAUUUAACAUAAUUCAAACCAAUUCAAAGUCAAUUUAGCAUUUUCACCAAGUUACCAUAUUUUUAGUUCUAUUCAAUUUAAUCCUAUAUGUAACACCCUUAAACCCGUAUCCAUCUCUAGAAUAGGGUUACAGAGUAAUGCCAAAAUUUACGAAACAAUUUCAAUUAAUUUAUGUCAAUUACUGUUCAUAAUUGAAAUUAAUUAUACUACAUCAUACAACAAAAUUAGCAUUCUAAACCCACCUGUUGUCUGACAGUUUUGACCCUUCUUCACUAAGAAUUAAUUAUCUCCUCGUACGGGAUUUGGAUAAUUUUUUCAUUUGUUUCUAUUGAAAAUAGACUCAUUAUAUUUUAAACGUGUAAAUUUAAGCCCCUAAUUAUUUUUCUCCAAUUUUUGAUGAUUUUCCAAAGUCAGAAUAGGGGAACCCGAAAUCAUUCUGACCUUGUCUCACAAAAUUUAUUAUAUCUCAUGAUUUACAAUUCCACUGCUUACACCGUUUCUUCUAUGAGAAACUACACUCAAUAAUAUUUAGUUUCAUAUUUUAUUCAUCCUUUAAUUUUAUUCCCACGAUUUUUGGUGAUUUUUCAAAGUUAGACUACUGUUUCUGUCCAAAACUGUUUUAAUGCAAGAUAUUGAUUACUAAGUUUAUAACUUCCUUAUUCAUUUUCUCUAUAAUAUUUCUCUUCACUUUCUCUUAUUUAUCUUCACUAAUAUAUCAAGAACAUAAGACUUUAUUUAAGAAAACUCUACUAUAACAUCAUUUCCAUGCUUUUUCAAUAAUAUCAAACUUAAAAAUAUAUUGAAAUCUUGAUGUUCUUACCUUGUCCUAUUAGUUUCAACUUUUAACUUGAUUUUCUCUCUCCUCCAGCUUCUCUUUCUUGAAUCUAACUUGAUAUUCUAGCUCCCCAUAGUCUCCUUGUUAUCUUUCUCUCUUGAUGGAUAUGAAAAUUCUUUUAAUUUCUAAGUGAAAAUGGUGAAUUUUUGGUGGAAGGACCAAAUUAUAAAUAAAGCAAAACUUUCUUUCUUUCUCUCUUCUUCUCACGUUGGUGCAUGGGAAAAAUGGUGGGGAUGGUGAUUCUUCAUCUUCCUUUUCUUAUAUAUAUACAAAAUAAAAUAAUAAUAAAAUAAUAAAAUAUUAGUAAACUAAUAUUUAUUUAUUUAUUUAAUCUAAAAUAUCUCCAAUAUCAGUAUUAUCUUCUAGAUUUCUCUUUCUUCUAAUUGAUCAUUUUGCCUUUUAUGAUCUUUUAAAAUUUCAUCAUUGAGUCAUCAUUUAAUUUGAUAAAAUUAUGAUUUAGUCCCUCGUAAUUCUUUCGCUUAUUCAAUUUGGUCCUAAUUCAUUCAUUUUUCCUUAGUUUCUAGAUCAUUCCAUCCUUAAAAUAUUUGCACUAUUGGUCCUUCAAAUUUUCUAUAUUUACACUUUAACCCCUCAAAUUUUGAGUAUUUACUCUUGGGCAAUAAAACUUUUCUCUCUUUUGCGAUUUAAUCAUUUUUUGAAUUAAUAUGUCAUAAUAUACUUCCCAAUGUUGACAUAACUCAAAAUUACCAUUUUUAUCACUUUAUUUCCUUAUUUUACUAUAUCAGAGAUAUUAUCUUAUUUUCUUACUGUAGAAAUUUUCGGGGUAUUACCUAUAUAUUCAGUAACCAAUCAAAAUCAUAAUAAUUGAACUCAAUUCAUUAAACUCAUCUCACUUCCUAAUCUUACCAUGCAAUACAAAAUAGAAAUGAAACAACCGAAGUAAUUCAAAUUAUAGAAGUACAAACCAAAAGCUCGUGUCACUUAUCAUCGACUCUCGCCUUUCCUUUUCGUUUUAAUGAUCUUGCGUCAUUUUUAGCUAUGAAUAAUAAUUCAAUAAUGGUAUAAUAUCAAAUUCUAUCCAAAUCACAUUCAAUUACAAGAUCAAACAUAUUUUGCAAAUUAUUCGAUUUAAUCCUCUAUCUCAACAAUCCAUCAAAUUCAUAUCAAUACGAUUCAAUGAAUCAUAACCGAAUAUCAGUUCAUUAAAUAUCUCAGAUUAAAAUUCAUCAUAUUCAAUGUAUCAUCCAAUUUAUCAUUUCUUUGCGAUUUAGUCUAUAUCUCUCCUUUUUGUACCAAAUUGUAAACAAAUCAAAUUACUAUCAAAUAUACUCAAGUUCAUAAUUCAAAUAUAAUUUUUUUUAACAUAAUCAUACCAUAUUAACUUACCUGGUUAAAUCAGCAAACAAGUUGAAACUCUAAUAACUAUUCAACAAUUUUGCCUUUUCCCCGAUUAUUUUCGAUUUAGGCCAAUUUCCAAUCUAUACAAUUGUUCAAUUCAAUUUAUCACUUUCACAAAUCUUAUAACAAAAUAUUAUAUACAUGUAUCAGCUCAAUUUUAUUAUUUUCAUGCCCCUAAGGUUUUGCAAUUUAUUCAAUUUAAUCCCUAAAACCAAAAUUGCCAUAACUUUCAAAUUUGAGUUUCGAUUUCGAAACUGGUCUUAAUUACAUCCUUUCAAAACUCUCUAUUAUCAAUAAUUACAGAAAUAUUACACCAAUUUUAAAAUUUAUGCAUUUUAGUCCCUAUGUUCAAAAACUAGUAAUUAAACUUUACAAACUAGUCAUUUUCACUUCUAAUAUUUAAAUCUAUCAAUUUAAUACCUAAAACUUUUAAUUCUCAAGUAUAACAACUUUCAAAACUUUAACAGUUUAUCAAAUUGAGACAUGGGUUAGCUAGAUUAAACUCAUACGAUCUCAAAAAUAUAAAAAUUAUAAGGAAAGAACUAAAUUGCACUAAACAAUUUUGUGGUUGAAAUUUAAACCCUUUUAAGGCUGACGCCCUUUCUUCUUCUCCUUCCUACGGCUCGGAUGAAGAAAAGAAAAGAAAAUGCAUUUCUCUCUCUUUUCACUAAACCAAGUGUAGUUUUAAUGUUAUGUUUUUAUUUUAAUUAUUAUUAUUUUAUUAACAUUUAUAACAUAUAUACAUAAAACAAUCCACUUGCCGCCCACUAUGUUUCCAUUGUGGUAAUUACCACUUUGGUCCUAAAUCUAAGUUUUUAAUUAAGAAAUUUAUAGUAAUUGAACUUUUAUCAUUUUUACAGUGUAGUUCCUAUAUCUUAAUUAAUCACUAAUUCAAUAAAAUUACCAAUUUAAAAUUCAAUUCACCUACUACAUAAUUUCAUAAAUACUUACGGAUUUGGUUUAUGAUAUUGGGAUCCCGAAAUCGCGUUUGUUGACUUCAUUAACUUUUGAGUCGUUACACAUAAUCGGUGCAUUAUUCCCAAACAGUUGGUGUUUAAUGUGCAAAGUGGGGUAAUUCAAUUGGGCUUAGGUGAUCAUCGGGCAACAGCCAAUGGGCUGUUGACUGAUGGGCCGAUGUUGGGUAAGUAUGAUGGGUCGCUUUGGUUUUGUGGAGUAGGCUGAUGAAAACCUUGUAAUGGAGGUUGAGGAGCCAAAAUAACAACCUAGAGAUGAUUCUAAGAAACCUGACCCUAGCUCUUUGUUUUUCAGGAAAUGUAACUGAGAAUGUUGUUGUUUCAGGUAGCUCUAAUUUAGCCCACUCUACUGUAUCGGUUAGUCACUUAAAAGAGGCCCGCCGGAAGCCAUAAUUUGUAUUGCUUGGAACUGUUAGGGGUUAGGUAACCCUCCUGUAGUGCUUGUUCUUAAAGAGCUUGUCCGAUUGAAUAAACCCACAUUUUAUUUUUAUUUGAGACUCUUGUUCAUUCAAAAUUUUAAGAAUUACGUAUUGUUUUACAAUUUGAUUGCUUAUGUGUGGAUUGCCUUGGUCGUAGUGGUGAAUUUGCUAUUUUGUGGCAUUCUUCUGAUAAUGUUACUAUUUUCAGUGUUUCUCAAAUCACAUCAAUGCUCUUGUUGAAUUAGAUGAUGGUUUUAAAUAGGAAGUGAGCUACGUGGAACUUGCUUAGGCAUUUGGCUUCUCUUAAUUCUCUCCCCUCGAUGUGCUUCAGCGAUUUUAAUAAUCUUCUACUGGUAAAUGAAAAAAAGGGAGGGAUGGUCUAUCCCACUACUUGGUUUGAUGGUUGUCGUGACUUCAUUGCUGCCAGCAAUCUUUGGAGGUGCCCUUUAUAGAGAUUUUUUUUUAUAAAAAUAUCCUAAAAAUUUGAUUAAUUACGAAAGUAACUUAUUUUUCUGAUUAUAUACAUAAAUGAUUUGAAAUCUAUAGUAAAAAUUGGUGGAGCCAAAGAGUUUGAUGCCACCAACAUGCCAUGUCAACAAACGCAAUAAAAAAUAAAUUUUUUUGGUGGAGCUAUAUUGCUAUUUUUGAAAAAUGGAGAGGUGCUUUAAAAAAAUUCUUUUUUGGUGGGGUCAAAGAGUUUGGCGUCACCACUUUUGUAUGUGUAGUGUCAUUUUUUUUUAAUUUUAAAACUAUAAAAAAUGUUUUCUUAUUGGUGGAGUCAUUCUAAAUGGCACCACUAGCUCCACUACUUUAUUACCAAAGUUUUUUUUAAUGUGUUUUUUUAAUUGAAUUUUUUUUAAAAAUAAUACUUUAUUUGGUGGAGUCAUUCUUUUUGGUGUGACCAAUUUGGUAUAUAUAACCCCCAACGGCAUAUCAAUCUGAGUUGAAGAAAUAAAAUAAUUUACUUAUAUUUUGUUACAGGAUGAAUGAGAGAGAGAUGAUGAGUGUUUUUGUGUUUUUGUUUAUUUAGUAAAUUUUUUAAUUUGAAGGUAUGUUUUGUUUAACGAUAAUCCGGUGGAACUCCGACACCGGUAAAUUUAAUGGUUAUUUUUGGAUGCCUGUUUUUUAUUUGGUAACGGUGCAAAUUGGUUAUGCAGUCAACAGGUGGAUUAUUCGGGAUUCCCUAGGUUAAUGGUAUGCUUGAAGAUUUUAAGGAAUCCUAAAUUGAACCGCACAGGUCAGAUCAUCAAGAUCGGCAGCAUUCGGGCUACAAUUUAAUAGAACCAAGAAAGUCGCUCUUAUUGUAACAAUUUAUUUUUGAAUUUGUAAGACACAAUGAUGUCGAUCUUGAACAAAAUUAUUUAAUUAUUUUUUUUUGUAAGACACAGUAUUUUGUAAAAAAUAAUUUUCAUGUAAAUCAUUUAUGUAAUGUGAAAUCAAUAAAAAUCAAGGGGACAUUUUUAAUAGAAAUCAAGAAAUAGAAGACCAAAAAAUAAAGGAAGUUUAGAAAAAAAUGAGAAAAAAAAGAAAGUGGGGGAUUGAAUUGACUGGAAAAGAAAUUAGAAAUGAUUUAUUUGUAAAAAAAAAUAACCUAGAGAAUUUUUAAGAGAAAUAAAAAAUGAAAAGGUUAAAAAAUAAAUAUACUGAUCAGUCACAUUGCUAACGUGAUGUGAUCAGUCAUGGUCAAUUUAAUAAUUAAUGGAUUAAAAAAAUAGAAGGGGAGAAUAGAAGAGACGACCAGUCAUUUAAAAAGAAAGGCGGGGCUUUGGUCCUCCCUUAAAAUUUUGUAGAAGAAGAGGAAAAAGAGAAGAGAAGAGAAAAAAAAAAGAGUUAUAUUGUUUUUGAAGCUCAUAAAUACAAGCAAGGUAUAUAUAGCAAUUUUGAUGUUCAUAUAUUAUAUUUAAAAUAGUUAUUGUAAUGUAAUAAUUAAUUAUAUUUAAUAUAUAUAUUACAAUUAUGCAGAUAUCAGAAUGUCUUCUCGAGUAAACACAGAUCACACUUCAUCGAGGAUCAACAAAAUAGUAAAAUUAUUUAUAAAUUAAAUAAAAAAUCAUUUUGGUUUCUUAGUUUUUCUUGCUCAGUGCUAUUUUUCUCUACGUGUUUUGGUUGCAUGAAAUUGAUCUCUAUUCGGUUGUUUUUAGCCCUUUUUUGCAUGUAUUUAUCUGUAAAUCAGUAUAUAUAUAUGUUGAGUUAUUCUUUUGUUUGCGAGCCUCACUGUAACAACCCGAUUCUGGGCCUAGUCGGAACAGUGGUUUCGGGACCACAAAUCUGACUAGGGAAAAUAUUAUUAUUAUUAUAUUUUUAUGAUCUAAAAUUUCACGGAAAAAAAUUUUAAAAAUUUCGUUCGAAAAUUUCGACAUUUGGGCACUCAAUUUAGUCAAAAGGACUAAAUUGUAAAAAGUGCAAAAGUUGAGUUCUACAUGUUAGAAGUGUCUAAUUGUUAUGAAAUUAUAAAUUGAUGGUCCUUAUGUGGUAAUUAGACCAUUAUAUAAUUUAUGGACAAAAAUAGACAUAAGAAAUGGGUGAAAUAGAUUUUUUUUAAAUGGGGGCAUUUUAGUCAUUUAGUAAUAAAAAAGAAUUAAAAAGGGAAAAAGAUGGCAAAAUGUGCUCAUCUUCUCCAUGAUGAACGAAAUCAGCAAGGGGGAAGCCAUAGUUAGGGUUUUUAAGCUUCCAAGCUCAAUAGUAAGUGAUUCCAAGCCCCGUUUUUAAUGUUCUUUACGUUUUUGGAGUCCUGGUAGCUUAAUUUAGCUUAUUCUAGCAAUAAUUUAACCUAGGGUUUAUAUUUGGAAAAAUACCCAUAGGUGAAAAGUGUUUAUUUUGCUGUUUUAUGGUGGAAUAUGAAGCAAGAAAUUAUGUUAAACAACUUUUGCUAAGCGAUUUUAAAUGAAAACGGGUAAAUUGACAUAAUCGGUAAAAAUAGUAAAUGUUCAAAAGCAUGUAUUAGAGUGAGAAUUUGAUGUUUCCAUAGAAGGGAAAAGUGUUCAGCACGUUGUAAAACAUGAGAAUAAGAGAUGAAAUUUAAUUUCUGAGCUUAGGGACAAAAGUGUAAAUAUUCAAAAGUUUGGGGGCAAAAUUGUAAUUUUUCAAAAAUUUGGGUGGAGGACUAUUUUAUUAAAUUUGAACAUUAAAUGAGUUAAAUUUGCUAUUAUAGAUCAAGAAAGAUGAGAAGACUACCUCAAACGGGGAAAAGAGAAGAUAGUGGAGUAAAUUGCAAAAUUACGAUAUUUUGCACCAAGGUAAGUAAACAUGUGAAAUAAUGCAUAUUUUUUAUAUUAUUUGAUAUAUGUUGAGAUUUAUUUGAACAUAGAAUAAAUAUUUGGCAAAUAUUCUAAAAGUGUGGUUAAGUUGGGAAAGGUGGUAAAGUGUUGAAAAACACAGUUUCCGGUUGAACACUCGGAAUAGGCUGGAUUACAUUGAAUAUAAAGGGGGUUGCUAAGUGCUGAUUCCCCCAAGGGGUUGCUAAGUGUUGAUUCCCCGAUUCAUUGGUGGUUGCUAAGUGCUUAUUCCACCGUAUCUUAAAUGUGAAAGGGGUUGCUAAGUGCUGAUUCCCCGACUCAUUGGUGGUUGCUAAGUGCUGAUUCCACCGUAUCUUAAAUGUGAAGGGGGUUGCUAAGUGCUGAUUCCCCCGAGGGGUUCCUAAGUGCUGAUUCCCCGAAUCAUUGGUGGUUGCUAAGUGCUGAUCCCACCGUAUCUUAAAUGUGAAAGGGGUUGCUAAGUGCUGAUUCCCCAACUCAUUGGUAGUUGCUAAGUGCAGAAUCCACCGAUAAAGGAUAACAUUCCGAAUGUUCAACGAGGAAAUUGGAAAGGUGAAUAUUUAUAUAUGGUGGGCAAGUUUAUGGGAGAAAUAUUGGGUUUGAUACUUAAUCAACCCAUAUGUAAGAUGGGAGGAAAUAUCAAAAAUACAAAAGAACAAUUUAAAUACAAAACUAUUUUGAAUAAUAACAGAUGGGCAAAUUUGAAAAAUCACCAUAAAUGGUGGAAAAUGAAUUAGAGGUUGAAUAAUAUAUGAAAUUGAAGCUGGAUGAGUUUAUUUUCAUAUGAAAGAAAUAGAGCAAGCAAAAGAGUUGUAUGUUUGGGGAUAUUUGAAUUUUAUUGAGACAGGGUUGAAUUGAUUUAGAAAUCCCUUGUUCCAAAUUUGAAAAAUCACCAUAAAUUGUAAAAAAAUAAUUAUGGCCUGAAAUUUAUAUUUUUGGAUUCCUUAAUUAGUCUAUUUUUAAUAUAAACAAACGAGAACAUUGUUUGAAUUCUAUACAGCGAGUUAAGUAAAUUUUAGUAAGGAGAGGUCAGAACUGUUGAGUAGUAAAACAGGGGAAUCUUUAGAGAAUAAACUGUACUAAUUGGCCAAAUCAAAAAUUCUGAAAAUUUUAUGGUGGAAAUUUAUAUGAAUCUAGUUUCGGGAAAAAUUUACAGAACUUAAUUUGGAGCGAUGUAGCUCCAGAUAAAAAUAAAUUAGUGACCAUGACGCAGAAAAACAGCUUGCUGGAAAUUGAACAAACAAUGAAAUUUAUGUGUGAUUAAAAUUAUGUGAGGAAUUUAUUUAUUGGUCAUAUGUUUACUUACUAAGCUAUAUUCUUACUCAUUUUUAUUUUCCCUUGAUUAUAGUGACAUCAAUCAGCUCGGAACUUGGACGACGUCAGAUAAUCAUCCACACUAUCAUCAACUUUUUGGGUAUUUUGCAAUUAAUACUUUGGAAACAUGGCAUGUAUAGAUGACUUUAUGUAAUUUGGUAUAAAUAUGUUUAUAUUCGGUAUUGUUCGGUUUAAUAUGUUGGUGUUUAUUAAUGGAUAAAUUAUGUCUGAACAUAUAACUGUAAUUGGUUGGAAAUAUUGAAGUUGUUUGAAAUUGUCUUUGAAAAUUUGCAAGGGGUUUUAUGUAAAAAUAAGCAGAAAUGCUGCCGAAAUUUUUAUAAAAAAAAAAUAUAAGUGUUGAGUUCUAGUAAUAUCUCAUACUCUGUUCCUGCAAGGAACACGGGUAAGGGGUGUUACACUUACCACGGUAUAUACAUAUGCAUUUCAUCUAAUAUUAUAUAUUGUUGAGUUAUUCUUUUGUUUCUGCACUUAUUGUUAAAAUUGAGUGACCCGAAUCCUUGUUAAAGUAAAACACAGUGGUAAAAUAAAAUAAAAGUAAAAUCCAUAUAGAAUUACACUUCUUUUAUUUUAUUUUAGAAUAAGGUUUUUCAACCUUAUUACACUUCAUCUAUUUGAUAUUAAUUAGAAUAAGGUAUUUCAACCUUAUUACACUUCUUCUAUUAGAAUAUGGUUUUACAAGCAUAUAAAUAGACAUGUCUACUUCUUUUGUAAUUAUUUGACUUCGACAUAGUGAAUUAUCUUCUUCUCUACCCGUGGUUUUUUUCCCGAAAAGGUUUCCACUUAAAAAUAUGUGUGUUCUUUAUUUUUCUUUAUCUUUUCUUUGCGAUACAUUGUCAUUAACGACAUUCUAUUUUUCACACUUAUCACUAAAUAAUAGGAUGAAACUUAGAAUUUUUGAAGGAUUUAAAUUUGUGUAUUUACUAAAUUUGAAAUACUAUGUUGAAAUGGAUAAAAUGUAAAUAUUAUUUUACUUAGAAAAUAGAUGCUAAUAUGCAAAUCUAAUUUAAAAUAUUAUAAUAUUGAAAAUUUUUAUUGGAUACAAAUAAAAUUUAAUAGCUUAUAUUACAUUUUAAGGGAAUGCGGAACAUAUAAGUUAUCACUAGAUUAGCUUAUAUUAGUUUAUAGCAACGCUUAAAACAAGUUUUAUUUUUUUUUCCUUUUAAUAACAUUUCAUUAAUCAUUUUCUUCUAGCAGGGAUGGUAUAAAUCUUAAACUAAUCAUAUAUAUAUAAUACAAUAAGACAUUAAAAUUGUGACACGUGGUGUAAUUAUAUUUUUAUUUAAUUUAAUUUAAAUAAAAAUUACUCAUUUAAUUUAACUUAAAUAAAAAUUUAUUUAAUUAUAUAUUAUCUGUAAUUAAUUUUUAAAUUUAUUUUAUGCUAAAAAAUAAAAUAUAUAAUUUCUUUAAUUUUUUUCUGGGAUCUUAUUUGAAUUAUUUAUUUUUUAUUAGCAAAAUUUAAUUUCUUUAAUGAGUUAAACAAAUAGAUAUAUAGUACAGAGUAGGUACGAAGAAGAAAAUAGAUUGGAGAAUUAUUUGAAAACAUUGACAAUUUUAUGUUUAAAUUAUAUAGAUACUUGGUUUAUCAUAUUUUUAUAAAAAAAAAUUACCAUACAGGAUGGGUACCAAGUUUUGAGGUCACGGUUUCAUUUUCCCAAGUACGAUCCGGAUAAGUAGGUCAUGCCAUACUUACAGUUUGCGAGAUUUGAGGACGUCACAUUGAUCCGAAGGUUCGACCUAAGGGCAAACCUAAUAUCCACCUUGGUUAAGCGGUGGUGGCCGGAGACCCACACCUUCAUUAUAUCAUACGGGGAGUGCACGAUCACAUUGGAGGACGUCGCUAUGCAACUUGGGUUACGAGUUGACGGUGAUGUGGUCAUGGGCCGAAUCAAAGUGUUGGAAUCUUAAGUAGUUUGCCACAGAUUGCUUGGACGGUCCCCUGGUGAUGGCGAACAGAACUUCACGUGCCUGACAUUGGCAUGGUUGAGAGCAAAUUUCAAGGAGUUAUUAAGCACUACUACUGAGCAUAAGGUGAUGUGCGCUGCUCGAGCCUAUAAUAUGCAACUGAUCUGGGGUACUUAUGCCGAACAACACAUCUAAUAGGGUCCACUUAGAGUACUUGCCUCUAUUGGAGGAUUUAAAUUGUGCUGGUACUUACAGCUGGGGAUCAACAGUGUUGGCUAUAUUGUACCGUGAGCUUUGUCGAGCAACAAAACACGGGGUAAGCAACAUGGCCAGUGUGUAAGGCUACUGCAAUCUUGAGUUUUGUACAAGAUUCCGUUUCUAGUGAUAGUUAGGCACCAACCAUAUACGUGGUCACUUGUAAAUAGGUAAAGACAAAAUUAUAUUUAACAAUUAACGACUCAUAAGUGUGGAUAAUAUUUUCCCAAGUUUAAGUGCUAACAUGUUUGUUUUGGUUUCAGAUGGGCAACAUAUUUGGAAAUUGGCGCAAGCAAUACAUUAAUCAUUUACCGCUAGAUGAUAGAGGCGUCCGCUGGAGAGAAAGUAAUAUACAUUGGUUUAACUUAUCCACUUGCAGUAUGUGACUUAACCCAUUCUGUUAUAUUGUGCAAUUCCUGUAGAUAUCGUAUUCCACACCAAACGUUGCGACCCUUAUUCCACAGUGGGUUCACGCCGAAGCCCAUGUGUGGUACAUUAACACGUCGAUGCUAUACUUUUCAACCAUUGAGUGGUACAAUGUCGAUCGAGUUAUGUGAUAGUUUGGGUGUAGAUAAUUUGUGCUGGUCGAUCCAUAACAAUUUACUGAUGUCCAUGGUAAUACUAUGAGGGGAAAUGACAAAGCGGAUUGGACUGUGGACUAUCAGCGUUAUAUAGCACUAUGGAAUGCCCGGUACGAUAGGCAGCCUGAGAUGCACUCCUGCAUGUUUGACUUCAGUCCCUCAAUUGAAUACAUGAAAUGGUACAUGGCCUGAUGGCAUAUUUAUUUAUAUGGUGGACAACUUAUGAUAGUACCGAAUCGCGACUACAAAUGUGGAAGUCACACUAUGGAGGAGUCCGACCCAGAGGACCAACAUAUGAUGGACCCCGACCCAAAUGACCAACCUCUAAACACACACACUUCACCUAGAAGACCGAUGUACUCUGUCACUUAGAAAUUUUCCAAGUUCUAGGAAUAUAGUUCUGCAUUCAUUGACCUUGCUCUCUGAGUGUUCUCUUUCAUGACAUUCUUGACACCUUCGACAUGCACGUGUCUUGCCUCCAACUGCUUUGCUUAUCUCAACCCUAUUUUUGGCAUCAAGGUUGCCAGCCUGUAAAACGUAGCUGAAAAAAUUGAUGAAAUUGGCAAGUGACGCGUAUGCCUUAAGAUGGAAUUAACGGCCUCAAAGAGGUUGGUCGUCCUAUGACCAUAUCGAUACCCAUCAUCAAAACAUUUAGCCCAUUUUCACGGCUCCAUUCUACCCCACUAUUGCUUGAGAAAAGGAUCGAACCCUGCCAUAUCAGUCUCCAACAUUGCCAGCUUAUGUCUGAAUUGAUGUGGUUCCAACUCGUACCCUAUGUAUGUAUUUUGAUAAAACACGUUACCAUCCAUUUUAGUAAAUGGAUUUGAAAUAUUUACAUAUACAAAUUUAAAUACGAUAUUUUUACCCGUGUUCACGAUUUGUUUGCGCUGGUCUUUGUUCUUAUAAUCAUUGUGGAAGUUGACAACGAUGUGGCGAAUGCAGUAGAUGGACCUCCAUGGAACUCGCAUUGCUGAAUUGUAGCAACAAGACCCUUCGAUCUGUCGAAGACAAUGCAAAUGUUGUUUUGUCUGACAACAUGCCUUCACAAGUUCCUAAUGAAAAAUUCUCAUGAUUUGGAAUUCUUUGACUCCACAAUGGACAAAACAAUCGGUAGUACAUUUCGCUUACCGUCUUGCGCAACUACAAUUAGAAGUAUCUGUGUGUAUUUUCCAUAAAGACACGUUCCAUCAAUCUGCACAAGUGGUUUGCAGUGGGAGAAGGCCCUAACACAUGGAUCGAAAGUCUAGAACAAUCGGUGAAAAACUCUCUCCCCAAUUCAAGUAGUUCAUUUAGGCAUCUGUAAGGCAACGUUUGCAAGCCCAUAACAGUUCUUAGGACGUACUACACCAUCAUUGAAAUCCACCUCUGAAGUUUAUUGUAUGACUCAUCCUAAUUGCCGUACAAUUGCUGCAUGACCAUUAAUUUCGCUUACCAUGCUUUCCUGUACUACACUUUGUACUGCAAUCAAAUGUCGACACAAGAAUGGUUAUGCUUUCUUUCACUAGUGGCAUGAUGCAGAUACUUUUGGUAUCUAAUUUCCAGUGGACUUAAGUCAUACGUGCGACAGUGCAUGUAUGACAUCCUUCUAAUUUUCGUAUUUUCCAUUGUUGAGUCAUCUGUAUAAAUGCAGCCUGAACUCGCCAGCUACACCUAUCGCUAGCUCUCCAACAUUCCCCAACAUAUAAUGUCAAAGUAGACUUAGUGACCUUGUAAUUAAUCGACACUUCAUGCUAUACUGUUUGAUGGAAAACACACAAUCUACCUUGUUCUUGAAUCGUUGCCCAAUGAACAAUUCUUUCAACUAGAAAUUUGAUGUCAAUCUGUGAGCAGUGACUAUAUUGACAUACUCAAGAAACUCAGAUGCAUGCGUUGCAUCUGUAUCUACACUCAACAUGUCACCCCAAUGUCAUUUCAUAAAACAAUGCCACGACUCGGGUUACUGAAAAAAGGGGCGUGAGCAUCUUCAACCUCCUCUAGGCCUUCAUCGUUGAUAUGUUUGGAACCUCAUCAAUAUCAGUGUCACUAAAAUAUUCAACAUCCUGAUCAGAAUCUUCACCAUUAUUGGUCCCUUCUCUAACGUCUACCUCAAUACCUAUCACCUCCGGAUGUAACUGUAGACAGGGACCAAUGGUAGGGUUGUUAUACAAACUCCCACCAUAAUUUAGAUUUUCAGGCAUUUGCAAUGUCCCUUCGUAGUCUAACUAAUCUAUCCAUCCGACAUUAAGAUCAAAGUCAAAUAUGCGAUGUUGACUUAUUGGACUAACAAUUUCAACGGGCUCUAAGUCCGCUAACUCAGCAAAUAACUCAACCUGUUGGAGGUUUUCACUCCCAGUCAACCACCAUAUUUCCAUCAUAGUGCCCAAGUCAUCAUCAUCUAAUAGUUGCAUCUCACAAAAUUUCAAUGGAUCUAUAGAGAUUGGAAACUUGUAAAAUAAUUUGGACAUUGCCCUUCCACAACAUAUAACUAUUUUCGCACUGAUCUUCAUUUUCAUUUCUUCCAGCUUCACAGUUUUAUUGAAUCGCAACCCUACUCUCUGUCGACUUUGAAAUACACAACCAACAUCACAUUCACCAAAAACACCGAGUUAUUCAUCUUUACCAGAAUUUUUGAGCUCUCCUACUAAACACAACAAAUUCUUUUUCUUCUCUUCCAGUUCAACUAUUACAAAAAAACCUCAACAAUAUCUAUAUAUGUAGGACAACCAAGGUGGUUGAGCCAUAAAGAAUGGUUCCACCAAAAUAAAAUAUCAUUUUUAAAAUUUGUAGAUUGAAAAAACAAUACAUUAAAAAAACCAUAUAGUACACUAGUGGCGCCAUUCUAUAUGGCUAACCAAAUAAAAUAUUAUUUCUUUAAAAAUUUAAAAUAAAAAAUAACACAUUUAAAAAUAUAUUAUACAUAGUAUACUGGUGGCGCCAUUCUAUAUGGCUCUACCAAAUAAAAUAUAUUUUUUAAAAAUUUUAAAUUAAAAAAAACACAUUUAAAAAAACCCUAAUAAUAGAAUGGUGACGCCAUUUAGAAUGACUCCACCAAUAAGAAAACAUUUUUUUAUACUUUUAAAAUUAAAAAAAAAAUGACACUAACACAUACAAAAAUGGUGGUGCCAAAGUCUAUGGCUCCACCAAAAAAGGAUUAUUUUUUAAAGCCCCCAAUUUUUCAGAAAUAGUAAUAUUUCUCUAGUAUUUAUACAUGUGGCGUUAUUCUACACGACUCCACCAAAAAAAUGAAUUUUUUUAUUUAGUUUGCUGACGUGGCAAACUCUUUGGCUCCACCAAUUUUUAUUGUAAAUUUCGAGUCAUUUACAUGUAUAAUUAGAAAAAUGAGUCAUUUUUAUAAUUAAUUAAAAUUUUAAGGCCAUUUGUGUAAAAAAAACCCUGUUUUUAUUUGGGAAUGUGGUAGAAGGUCUAGUUUUUUGGUAAGGAACGUCUCGAUAGGGCCUUCGUGAAUAUAGGUUGGACUCGACGUUUCCCAUAUCACAAACUCUAUAAUCUUACAAGUGCUACUUGGAUCAUUAUUGGUGAUAAGUGGUUUAAAUUAAUUUAUUUAAGGAUUUUACAUAAAAAUAUUAAAAGAUAAAAAAAAUGUUAUUAUAAUAAUAUUUGUUAUUCUAAAAUGUCACUUACCAUCAUAGCUAGUGUCAAAGAUCCUAUUAACUAACUUCCAAAAUAAGAAUAUUGUUGGUUAGGGUCUACAAACAAUCUUCUUAAAGCUGCCCUUCAGACCUUAACAGGAGGAUAAUUCUCUCCACUCGACCUCUCUCUUUAUGACUCUCCAAAAUCAUUUUUGAUCACCCAUUCUUAAACCGCGUAUCAACUGUGAUAUAAUACAAACCUAACUUAUCAAUCAAACACAAAAACAUAUUAUCAAUAUUGUCUACCAAAUUUAAAACUAGAUACUAAAAUUUAUUUCAUAAUAAAUAUGUCAUCCACGUGAUAUAAUUUAAUGCUGACAUGUCAUCCACGUGCCAAUCCAAGUGCAUGCUACGUCAGCAAAGUUACAAAUAUUAAUUUUCAAUCUAUUUUGAGGUGACUUGAUAAAAGAAAUACAAAUUUAGAGGUUAGAACAGGGGCGUAGCUAGGGGCUGGCAGAGGCGUUGACCCCCUAAAAUGGAAAAUUUUCUACUUAGGCUCUUUAAAAUUUUAAAAUUUUUAUUUAAAUUAAUAAUGGUAAAAUUAUACUUUGGUCCCCUAAAAAUGAUAAAAAUUUGAUUUAAUCCUUUAAAAAUUAUUAAAAUAUAAACUAUUAAAAUAAUAAAAUUGUAUUUUCAUUGUCAUAAAAAUUAUAAUUUAAUUUCUCCUCUCUAAAAAUUUUCUAGCUUAUUCUCAUAUUAGAAAGGGUGAAAAGUUAAAUAAAAGGAUAAAAAGGAUAAAAUAACUUCUUCUUCUUUUUUGGCAAUGUUAAAGGAUGAUUAUGUGAAUUAAAAAAAUAUUACACCGAUAUAAAAAUUUAAUUCUCAAAUAUUCUAAAUUUUAAUUACUAUCUUAUUUAUGUUGUUUCCUAUGAAGUUCAAAAUUAUGGGGUAUAGGUCGUUUUCACGUCAUAAAUCUUAAGCAAGAAGUUGGCAGCAAUCCCCGUAAUGUAUUCAAGAUUCAAGGACGUGGUCCAUACAAGAAUCAAAAGUGAAUCAGAGCCACCAAUUCCCAAUCAUAUAAAAAUCAGGCCAGGACCUUAAAUUCAGUUUCUACCGUUGAUUUAUGUUGAAUCACCCGAUAUUAUGGACCCUAUGUGUCUUAAACCAACAGAAUGUGACAUUAUCUGCCGUCCUACCGCCCCUCAAAACCAUCCACCUGUCCCCCUGCCUGCCCCUUGCGUGGACGUCUAAGUAGCCUUACAAACAAAACACUAAAUCAUUUUAUCCUAUGUCUUAAGCCGAAAGGAUCGGACACGUAAACGUUCCCUUCUAAACACAUGCCUCUAUCUCAUUCGCUAACAUAUUUUUUAGUCCCUCACUCCAAAAGAACGCGUUCACGACACUUAUUUAAUCUAACCGUCCAUUCUCAUGUGAGUCCAGCAAUCGUAGCCGUUACCUCGUGGAUCGCCCCUCCUCUCGCCACGUAGGGAAAAGGACACGAGUUUUUAGAAUUAAUCAUUUUAAAUUUCGUUUCUAUAAAUAGGCUAUUUUACCAAAGUGACCUAAAAAAAAUUAAUAUUUACAAAAAUGACCUAGGUUAAAAAACAAUCACCAAAAUGACCUGAAAUGAAAAGUAGAAUGGGGUUUUGGCUUGUCAAUGGCCACCACCAACUCGUAUUUUGGACUCAUGAUUGCUUGAUAAUUGUGUCAGGCUUUAAAAAAUUAAUUUUUUUGGUUUUGGCCUGCCAAUGGCCACCACCAACUCGUAUUUUAUUUUAAAAUCGUAUUUUGUUUGUAUUUAUUUCAAAAAUUACUUUUCAAAUUUGUUGUUAUUUUUAAAACGAUGAUUUCAAAUUAAAUAUGCAGCUCAUGAGUUAGAACCACGAAGAUUCAGGCAGAGGUUCGCGAGGCUUGAAUCUCAGAUGUCAUCUUUACCAACAGAUCUCCGGACAUGGUUGGGUAGCAUGGAGAACUAGCAAUGGACUCAAAGUUACGAUAAGGGGUUUCGGUAUGGGUAGAUGACGACCAACCUGGUAGAGGCGGUCAACUCUGUAUUGAGGCACACACGCCAUCUCCCGGUUUCUGCUGUGUUCUCAGCAACAUUCUAUAGGUUGGCAACAUUAAUGCCUAAGAUGGGGUUGAGACAAGCUAAGUAGAUCGAGGCUGGGCACGUGUACGUAGAGGCCAUCUGAAAGGCCAUGGCGGCAAAAUAGUUGAAGGGCACAAACAAUGAACGCUAAAUUGUAUUCCUACGACUUGGAGACUUUUCAAGUUCAAGAGUACAUCGGCCGUCGUUCGAGUCUUCCACCUAGGUCGUACGCAGUUGAUCUACGAAAUAGACGACGCGAGUGCGGGAUAUUUCAGACUCUUCGAUAUCCAUGUGCACAUGUUCAUGCAGCGUGUGCGAGAGCAAACUUAAAUGUUGAACAAUUCAUAGACGAGAUCUACACGUUUCAACGCACAUUAGUAUAUGGGGGAAUGAAUUUUCUGUAAUGCCCGAUGUCUCAAACUGGGAAGUUCCACCUUUCGAGAUGGUGCCUGACCGUAGUCUCUGCAGACAUCCUAAAGGUCGACCACAGGUGACGAGGAUUCGAAAUGGCAUGGAUGUCAGAGAGACGGGUGAACCCAAACUGUGGACUGUGUGUCAAACAUCUGGACACAACCGAUCAACAUGCCCACAUCGUGUCUAUGUUUCCGGUCAAUCGUCUCGUAAUGCUGGACUCCAAGAUGACGAGUGAUAUAUUAUUAAGCACAUGUUCUUGUAAAAACAUUGUAAAUGAAAUAAAAUUAGAUAAAUUGUAUGAGAAAAAAAAUUACAUGGAAAGGUUGAUAAUUUAAAUGAAAUGAGAAAAAAAAAUUUGUUUGAAAUGAAAUGGUACAAAAUUUAAAUGAAAAUUGAAAGAAAGAUAAAUUUAAAUUAAAUGAGUAAAAAUUUUCAUUGAAAUGAAAUGAGAAAAAAAUUAAAUUAAAUUUGAAAGAAAGAUAAAUUUAAAUGAAAUGAGAGGCACUUUUAAUUUAAAUAAAAUGAGAAAAAAAUUUAAUGGAAAGAUAGAUAAUUUAAAAGAAAUGACAAAAAAAAUUAAAUUUGCGUUGAAAAAUAGAAAAUUUAAAUGAAAUGAGGAAAAAAUUAAAUUUAAAUUUAAAAAUAAUAUAUAUGAAUUGAGAAAAAAAUAAAUUUAAAUUGAAAAAAUAUAAUUUAAGUGAAAUGGAAUUGAAAUGGGAAUUGAAAUGAAAUUGGAAUGAAAUAAAAUUAAAAUGAAAUGAAAAUGAAAAGAAAUGACUAAUCUGCAGGCCUAGCCUGCAUCACCUAAGCAUAUGCCUGAGAAUGGCCUAAAAAAAAAGUCGAAAUGACUUUUAUCAAGCCUGAUAAUUGUGGUGUCAGGCCUGUUUUGAGGCAGUUCGGUUGCGCACAAUCUAUCCCGAACCCUUCUGUCGACUUCAAAGAAGUCCACGGAAUGGACAAAAAGGGUUCGGAUUGAGACGCUUUAAAUUGGGCGCAAAAACAUGAACCAUAUAUUUUCCCAUGGAAUAUGCGACAUUCGAGGCGCCCUCCUUUGUAUGUCUUAGAGGGACGGUUCUCUCCUACGCCCGAGUACGCAGCAUGGUAUAUGGCAUACGGGAAACCUUUUAUAUUCCAAGGUCAAUACAUGCUGAUCCAAAAAGACGCGCAACCGGAAUCUUCUCGAUGGCAACCAAGGAACACAUAAUUGCGUAGUAACCGAGUUCCGCCAUUCGAUAACAUCGAGUCCGAUACUACCUUGAACCCCGAUCUCGAGCCACAAUAUGAAGCAUCCAGCUCAUCAUCACACAACCUGGAUCCGAAUUCGCUGCGAGAAAUUCCUCCAUCAUUCGAGGAUAUUUUUGGUGACGACAUCGAGCCUCAACAUUUGACACGAUCCGAAUCGUCCUCAUACCAUCCGGAGAUCCAUCCCGAAGCACGUACACCCACCAUUGAGGAUAUUUUUCCAUCAGCACCUCCGGUCACGCAAUACCCAUUUACUCCCGAUUAUGAUGUAUUUGAUUAUUCUACUUUUCUAAGUACACCGGACGAGACACCGGAGACUGGACCGAGCAAUUACCAAACGCCUGAACGAGGUGCAUGGCAUCACCGACGGAGACAUCCGAACCGUUACACGCCGGCACCAGGGACGUCACCGAGAUCGCGAAAAAUUUAAAAUUUUUCUAUUAAUUUUUACUUUAUUUUUAAUUGAUUCUGUAAAUAUUUCUUUUAUAAUGAAAUUAUUCUAUUUUUUAAUAUUAAUUUAAUUUCUCUAAAAUAAUUAUUUGUUUGAAUAAAUUACUUUGAAAUAUUUAAAAAAAAAAUCGAAUACGUAAUAGUAUACGACAAUUUUAAUUUACAUACACAAUAAAAUACAACCAUUCUACAAUAUUAAUACAAAAACAAUAUAAAAUUCAAACAAAAAUAAUAUGCACUAUAUUAAAUUUAAAUUCAAACAGAUGGGUAAAAUUAAUACACAAAAAUUUUAAAUUCAAACUUUAUAUAUUACAGAUUAAUUUAAAUUUCAGAUACAAAAAAAUUCUAAGAAAUUAAUACACGAAAAUAUAAAAAUGAAACCUUAAAUUCUAAACAACUAUAUUAAAUUUACAGAUAUAAAAAAAAUACAAACAUUGUUAAGAAUUAAUACAAUUUAUUUUCAAUAGUAGUUUCUUCACAAUUAAUCGUCUUCUGCUUGAAUCAGGUUUACGUUGCAUCAGUACAGAAUAAUUGGAUAUCUGAAACGAUCAGUAAAAUUAAAAAGAAACCUUUGCAUUGAGACUCUACUAACCGGUUCCAACCACAACCUAGUUGCGGAAUAAACACUAUUACACCAUAGAUAAUGUCCAUUUGCGUUGGACAACUCGAUUAACCAUCUAUGGUGCAAUUAAUCAUUCAACCCUUAAUGGCAUAACCUUUAGGAUGGACAUGACAACAUAAACCUUAAAAUUCAGUUGUACACUACGAAAAAAUCCCAUCUACAAUCCACUACAAAAAACUCAUUUGAUGAUAUACCACAAAACACUCUCAUUUUGAUGGCUCUCUCAAUUUUUUUUCUCAUUCCAUUUGCACUAUCAGAACCUAAAUCACCCACUAUAUAUAAGGUUUGGUGCCGACCAUUACAAGGCUAAAACAAUUUUUUUUAAUACUGAGUCUGGUGCCGGCCAUUGACAGGCCAGUACCAAUUUUUUUUUUAAAAACACGUACUCUGGUGCCGGCCAUUGACAGGCCAGCACUAAAUUUUUUUAAUUUUUUUUGGGUACUUGGUGGUGGCCAUUGACAGGCUAACACAAAAAAAAAGUUAAUUUUUUUAUACUUUAUGGUGGCCAUUGACAGGCUAAUAUCAAAAAAAUUUGACAGGUCAGCAUAAAAAAAAAUUAAUUUAUUUUUGUACUUGGUGUGGCUAUUGACAGGCCAACACAAAAAAAAAUUAAUUCUUUUACUUGGUGGUGGCCAUUGACAGGCCAGCAUCAAUUUUUUUUAAAUACUCACCUUCAAGCCUCAGCUCACAUUCAAAGCGGGAAACUUCCCCAACUCAAUAAAUUUACGCAAAACAAAAAGGAAAGAAAAGGGUGUACGAUUCAUUUCCUGUUUUCUUCUCAUCUCUGACAGGUAAUCGGAAAAGGCGAACAGUUCGAAUAAAUAGAAAAUGGCGUUGAAUUUGGCGCAUCAGAUUGGUUCUCUAGCCGGGACACAAAUUGCAGCUGAAGUCACCACCGGAGAACAAUCAUCCUCAGCGACGGCUAAUGUGUCGGGAGUUCGGAAAGUUCCAUUGGCGAAUCUCCGAUGCAACGCCCCAGGAGAAGCUCUGUCCCCUCCAAUAUUAACUCCACCGUUGACGCUGCGAAGCGCGGAAAACAGGCCGGCUAUGAUGAGUCCGUCUCUGUCCGCCGCUUGCCAGGCUUUCGGGACGUUAUCACCGCUGGAGACGGCUGAGGAGUCAUCGGCGUCUGUGGCGUGGAAGGAGGGAGGGAAGAAAGAGGAGAAGAAAGGGGUUCCGGUUUACGUGAUGAUGCCGUUGGAUAGCGUGACGAACGGGAAUACGGUGAAUAGAAAGAAGGCGAUGAAUGCGAGUCUCCACGCGCUGAAAAGCGCGGGAGUGGAGGGGAUAAUGAUUGACGUUUGGUGGGGGCUAGUGGAGAGGGAAGCGCCGGGUGCUUAUAAUUGGGGUGGCUACGCCGAGCUUCUCGAGAUGGCUAAGAAGCAUGGCCUUAAAGUCCAGGCUGUCAUGUCAUUCCAUCAGUGUGGCGGCAACGUCGGUGACUCUUGCACGUUCGUAUCUCCUCCUUACCUCUCUUUACUGUUUAACUUUUAAAAUUUAAACCCUUCUUUUUCUUCAAGAUCCCGUUACUCAGCUUAUGAAAAUUUUAUUUAAAAAAAUAGUAAUUUUAAAUUAAUUUUUGUGGGGAUGGGAUCCCUUUUUGAAAAUCAAGAAGAAAGAAAGUUUACACGUUUGAUUAAUUAUUGAUUACAAGUCAAUCAUUUGCUUAUUUUUGAAUUUGACGGAGACAAUCAGAUGAACCAACGUUUUUAAAANNNNNNNNNNNNNNNNNNNNNNNNNNNNNNNNNNNNNNNNNNNNNNNNNNNNNNNNNNNNNNNNNNNNNNNNNNNNNNNNNNNNNNNNNNNNNNNNNNNNNNNNNNNNNNNNNNNNNNNNNNNNNNNNNNNNNNNNNNNNNNNNNNNNNNNNNNNNNNNNNNNNNNNNNNNNNNNNNNNNNNNNNNNNNNNNNNNNNNNNGGCAGGGAAUAUGGGGUUUGUAUGGAAAUUUUCAUAAGCCCCCAUACGGUGGUCCAAAUCCUGUAUUUUUUAUCUAAAUCUUUAUUGAAUCAAAUACUGGGAUGUAUUGAUUUGAUGUUAUGGAGCUACUCUUUUAAAGGAAAAAAUAUGGUUGUUUUUGUACAGUAUUCCUUUGCCCAAGUGGGUUACAGGGGAGAUCGAGAAGGACCCAGACCUCGCAUACACUGAUCAAUGGGGAAGAAGGAACUACGAAUACCUUUCACUUGGUUGCGAUACCCUUCCUGUCUUGAAAGGCCGUACGCCUGUUCAGUGUUACGCUGAUUUCAUGCGUGCCUUUAGGGACAAUUUCAAACACCUCCUUGGUGAUACCAUUGUGGUAAUGCUUCUAAUUUACUAAUAAUUGUUGAUCCCAUUUUGUCUCAUCCUCUUGGAAGAAUUCAACUGCUAAGGAAUUACCAUUAUUUUUCACUACAGGAAAUCCAAGUCGGAAUGGGUCCGGCAGGUGAGCUUCGGUACCCUUCGUACCCGGAGGCGAAUGGGACAUGGAAGUUCCCUGGAAUUGGAGCCUUCCAAUGUUAUGAUAAGGUACCCUGACAUUGCACUGCUCUCUCUUGUUUCUAUUUCAGAUUAGGUUCUGUUUUGGUGUUAAUAAUACGGAUGUUAUUUGAUGCAGUAUAUGCUUAGCAGCCUAAAAGCAGCGGCUGAAGCGGCGGGUAAGCCAGAAUGGGGUAGCACUGGCCCAACUGAUGCUGGUCACUACAACAAUUGGCCAGAAGAUACGCCUUUUUUCAAGAAAGAAGGUGGUGGUUGGAAUACUCCAUAUGGUGAAUUCUUCCUUACCUGGUACUCUCAGAUGCUGUUAGAACACGGGGCGAGAAUUCUAUCGUCCGCAACAUCGAUUUUUGACGGUGCAGGUGUGAAGAUCUCUGUGAAAGUUGCGGGAAUCCACUGGCAUUACGGAACCCGAUCCCAUGCUCCUGAACUCACAGCUGGGUACUAUAACACAAGGUUCCGAGAUGGUUACCUCCCGAUCGCACAAAUGCUAGCACGUCAUGGUGCCGUUUUCAACUUCACUUGCAUAGAGAUGCGGGAUCAUGAGCAGCCCCAAGAUGCCUUGUGUGCACCUGAGAAGCUAGUGAAGCAAGUUGCUUUAGCAACAGGAGCAGCACAUGUUCCACUUGCCGGGGAGAAUGCACUUCCCCGUUAUGAUGAAUACGCCCACGAGCAGAUCUUACGAGCUUCAUCGUUGAAUGUCGAUGGCUCAGCAGUUGAUAGAGAGAUGUGUGCAUUUACGUACUUGAGGAUGAACCCAUCGCUCUUUCAUCCGGACAAUUGGAGACGGUUUGUUGCAUUCGUGAAGAAGAUGAAUGAGGGAAAAGGGGCUCGUCGGUGUUGGGAAGAGGUGGAGCGGGAAGCCGAACAAUUCGUGCAUGUCACGCAGCCUUUCAUUCAGGAGGCCGCCGUUGCCCUUAUGCAUUAGCGUAGCUUAGUAAAGAGUUUGUAUUAAUAACAGUUCCUCAAGGAUUCUGAAAUGAUAUAGUUUUUCCUUUCACAUUUUUUUCCUAUGCAGUGGCUAGGGAAAAAAUGCAUGUUGUAUAAUUUGGUAUUCGAUUUAGUUCCAACUCUUUCCAAUUUUAAGCAAGGAUGAUAUACAUUAGAUUAUUUAUUUGCCUUUUUUAAAAGAUAUUAGGAUUUGAAUUUUUUAAAGAAAGGGUUUUACGUUUAUAAAUAUGGUAAAAGUAUCACAAUGUUUAUAACGACUGUUAAAAUAUAUUUGUAUAUUUAAAUUUAGUCUUCAAUUUUUAUAUAUUUAUAUAAUUUGAUUUAUUCUUUUAUUGAAAGUAAAUUAAUUUGAUUUAUUCUUUUAUUGAAAGUAAAUUAAAAAAUUUCGAAUCUAGUUGCCUGGCUAGCAAAUUAAAAAAAAAAUUCUAAGCUCUCAUAAAUUUUUAAAAAAUUAUAAAUUAAUUGUUAAAAAUUUAGAAUUAAAUUUUUUUAUUAAAGCAUUAAAAAGUUUCUAAUUUUAAAAUUAUAAAAAUUUGGUGUGAACAUAUUAAAAGUUUCUUAUUAGUUUUAUAAUUUUAAAAUUAUAAAAUUUAUAUAAAAAAUUAAUUUUUGUAAUUUGUUUAUAAUUUUUAUGAUUUUUAAUAUUUUUAAAUUUUAAAAGUGUAAAUGAUUUUUUAAAAUUUGUUACUAAAGUCUUUUUGAUCCUUUAGUUUUGUUAGUUUAAAAAUUACUUCCAAUAAAAAAAAUAUGAGUCAAAUUGAAUACAUGUGUAAAAGUUAAUGAUUGAAUUUGUUAUUAUACCUUAUAUAUAAAUAUCAUAUUUUAAUAGAGAGGUGGCUUUGCUCACUCAUCUAACAUAAAACGGCCAAUUUGCACAUUUAUUUAGUAGAAAGGCUAAAAUGCAAUCCAAUGUAUAAUACAAGAGAUUUUGUGAUACUUUUAUCAUAUUUAUAAUAAAAUUGAUAAAUACAGAUACAUAUUCAAAUAACUAUAAAAUAGAAUCAAAUUAGUCAACAUCCUCUAAAUCUAAUGACAAAAACAUUUAUGUCGUGACAGGAGAGCUUAGGUUGAAUUACUAGCAACUCCAUUCUUACCCUCAAUUAUUAAAAAAAUAGAAUCAAAUUAUUUACAGAUGAAGAAUAAAAAUGGAUAUGGAGUGAAGGGUGAGUAUUUGUUCCACGUAAAAAUAUAUGGUACACUAUUUUUAGAAAAAGUAUAUAUAUGGUACACUAUUUUUAGAAAAAAUAUAUGAUAAUUUUUUAAAACUGCUUGUAAUAAAAAAAUAAUACACCACACCGUACUAAUACCUUUUUUUUAUUAAUUAAAAUAGUUGGAUUUGAUUGCUUUUUAGAAUGCAAAAUUACCGAAAGGAAGUGUGGAAUACUUUGGAGGAUAAAUUUUUGGAAAGAAAGUUUGAGAUCCGAGUUCAACAAAAGGAACUCUCUUUGAACUGUGACCAUAAGAGGUAUUGGAAAAUCAUGGUUUCAAACAAAAUUGGAGUGUCUAAAUAUCAGAUACUCUUAAGAGAGUUCUACAUUUUAUAUGAUGACAACAGAUUUGUUUCCCAUCAAACAUAUAUCCCAUUUCUUCCAUCUUUCAAUUACAAAAGAAAUUAAACCUCAAAUUUAAUCUCUUGUAAUAGGAGUUAGAUUAUAUUUUACUUAAUUAAUAUAUGUUUGAUCAAAGAACAAAUUAAUCAGACAGUGACACAAAUGGAUUAAUUUGUUCUUUAAUCUAAUGUAUAACGGUUAAUUUACUUAUGUUUUGAGUAAAAGAGACAAAAUAUAAUUUAACUCUUAAUACAAAUAUUUUCACGAUACUUUACCCAUUUUUUUUAUUUAACAAAUCAUGUUAUGUUCCCUCUUCUUUCACGUUUUAAUCCUCCAAAUUGGUAACACUAUUAUUGUAGAGAAAAUUUAUCCCUCAAAGAACCGACUUUUCUCAAAUCAUGAUCUUUUCUAUAGCAUUGGCAAGAGUUCUAGAGAGGUCUACAUUUUGGAGUCAGAUGGCCAUCUUUCAUGACUUCAAAAAGGAAAAUGAAAAACACUUUUUCCAUGGAUUAAAAAAAGGGUUUCACAUGAUUAACCAUUUGCUACUCCCCCCCCCCCCCUUUUUUUCUUAAUUUUGUGGACGGUAAUGUGAUAAAGUCACAUGAAUUAAAUGCUCAAGAGGUUGCCUUUUUCCUUCUUUUCUUCACCACUAUUUAGCACAUUUUUCAUCUCCACCUUCCUUAAUAUAUAUUUUAUUGAAGUUUUAAACAAAAUGUUAUUCUAAUAAAAAAAUAUUUUUACAUGAUGUGCUGGAAAAUUUUUUGUAAAAAAUUCUACAAUAGCUUUCAAAAUUAUCUAAUAAAUUUACGUUCAUUGGAAUGUUUUUUUAUUACAUGAUCACCAUAUAUUUAACAAAAAAAUUUAAAAUAUCACUCCAACAAAUUUAAUAAAUAAUUUUAUUGGUAUUAAGAAUUGGAAUUGAAUUGGUAAAUCUAAAAACUCGAGGGUUUUAACCCUCAAACACGAACACUAUUAAAAUGUCCUAAACCUUAAACUUUUAUCCCGCAAACCCUAAUGUGCCUCCUAAAAACUCUAAAAGAAAAACUUUAAACAGGUUCAGUAGAGAUAAUGAGAAAACACGUCUAGUUGAAAGUGUCUUGUUGACAGAAUAGAAAAGCACAUCUACCUGGCAACGUUUUCUUACAACUUACGUUAAAAACGCGUUCAGUUUAACACGUUUUCAAAAAUCGACAUAAUCCUACAAAAUUUUUAAAAAAAACCUACCUAAUCUCAUAAAUAUUUAAAAAAAUGACAUUUUUUUUAUUCAUAUUUGAUAUAUUGAUUGGAUUAGGAUAACUUAACUAUGUGACAAAAAUUAGGUUUUCAAGACAUAAAAGUAGUGGCUGAAAAGCAGAGGCAAUUCUAGGGGGGGCUGGCAUGGGCCCCGGUCCCCCUAAAAUGAAAAAUUAUCAUUUAGGCUCUCGAAAUUUUUUUAAAAAUUUAAAUUAGUAAAGGUAAAAUUGCACUUUGGCCCUCUAAAAUUAUAAAAAUUUGAUUUAAUCCUUUAAAAAUUAUAAAGAUAUAAACUAUAAAAAAUUAAAAUUUCAUUCGGCCCCCUAAAAAAUUGUUCUGACUUCGCCCUACUGAAAAGUAAUAAUGGCAAUGCAGUUUCCAAGAAGCCUCAUGGGAUAAUUUGAACUUUUAUUAUGUUGUCAUUGCACCAAGCGUUACUAACUUAUUAUGAUGGAAGAGUUUAUGGAUCAAAUUAAAUUAGGUGUAGACGAUGUAUUUCGUGUUACUUUUGGCUGUUCGUAAUUUUGUUGACAAUUAAAAUAUUAUUAAUUAAAGAGAUUUUGUUUCCAAAAUCUAUUUAAAAAAAUGCUUUUCCAAUAAAAAAUAAAAGUUUUGUUUUCUAGUAAAAAGCAUUUUUGAGCAUAUAGUUUACUUUCAUAUCUAUUAAAUAAUAAUGUAUUUACAUAUUUGCUAUAUUUAUAUUGUACAAAAUUUCAAGGCCAAUGAGAUUUGAAAAUUUGGAAGAAAUCAAGGAAUUUUAUUUAUCAAAUUAUGAGUUAUAAUCUUUAGAUAAAUCCUUUGAUUUUUUCUUUAAUGGAGAUUCGAUUUAAAGGUUGUCUUGAACUAAUCUUGGAUGAAUUCAAUCCUCUUUAAGAGUUUUCAAGACUUGAUCUUAGAAAUAAGUUUAGAGAGAGUUUGGAACGAAGAGUUUUCGAGAUUUGAUCUUGAAUGGUUGAGUCUGUUUCAAUGGUCAUCAAAGUUUGAUCUUGAAGAGAAAAUUUAUCUCCUUUGUGUUGAUGCCAAGGAACUAAGAGGAGGUUUAAUCUAAGGGUUAUUUAUACUUGAGCGUGGAUGGAUGAUUCCACUUCAACAGGAUCAAAGAGUAGCUUUCUUUAGAACUAAUGCAACAUUCUUUAUAAUUUCUUUGAGUUGUUUGAUUUCUUCAGAGAUUUAUGAGAGAACUUCUAGUUUUCAAAACCUUUUCGUCGGGCUUCGAUUUCUAAACUUUCAGAUUUAUGAACUUGUGAAGUUUUGUUGAAUGCGUGGAGGUGGCCCUCUUUUAUAGUAUUAGCUAGACAAGUAAAAGAUAGCUCUUAUAGAAUAUAAUCUCUUCAUUUGAGUGAUCUACAAGGCAUAAGCUAUUUUAUUUAUUAUUUAUAAAGAAAAUGAAUUCUCUAUAAAAGGAUUUAAAUGUUUUAUUUUAUCUCUUAAUUUAAUUAGAGGUAAAUCUUAUUGGUCCAAAACUUUUCCUUCUACAUAUAUAAAUUAUAUUUUAUUUUAAACAAAAUUUACUAUACAAUUAUGACAUAUUUAUAAAGUAUGGGAUUAUUAAUAUAGGGAAUAAAUAUUAAAAUUAUACAUGAAGUUUGAUCUAAUAUACAAUUAUAUUCAUGAAAUUUUGAUUGUGUUUCAAAUGUAUACACUAAACUUAGAUUUUGAUUCAAUUAUAUACAUUUAAAGAAAUAAAUACAUUAAUUUAUUUAGUAUAAUUAUUUGUGUAUACAUUAUGUAAAUGUAAAAUGUUGCUAUAUUGUCAAUAAUGUUGGUGGCUUGUGAAAAUUGCACAAAAUUAAACUUCAUGUAUAACAUUACAAAUUGGGUGAAAAUUCAUGUUCAAUUUUGAGAUUUAUCCCUUAAUACAAAAAUAAUGUUAGAAUGAAAUGAUUUUAAAGAGCAUAUUUAUAUAGGUUUAAUACUAUUAAGUUAUUCAAUUAUCAUUACAAAUAAUCUAAUAAUAUUAUUUCUAGCAUGAUGUCAUUUUGAGACAUUUUGUCUUCCCAUAAUAAUGUCAAACCCUAAAAAUCUCACAACACAUGUUAUAUACAUUUUCCCCUAAUUGAAUUUUUUAACAAAAAUAGUAAUACUAAUGGUAUCAAUAUCUUAUCUAAGCUUGAUUACUUUCAAUUUGAUGUUCAUGGCAGUCCAUUUCACUUUUGAUCUUCACAAACGAAUUUACUCGCCGGCUUCAAUUUCAUACAUCCAGUUUUCCAUCUUCAUUUGGAGUCCCAAAUCUCAUCUUUACCUUGCUUACCCAAAAUCUUCCAUCUUUGCCUUAGAUGGAAAAUAGUCAUAGUUGAUACGUCAUCAGAAAUCUGAUUUUCCAUGGCUACAGCUCCAUUUUUCACCGUAAUUUCGAAAACAUUAAUAAGAAAAUUGAAACAAAUAAUAAUAAUAAUAAUAAUAAUAAUAAUAAUAAUAAUCGUCAAUGGUUUUAAGUGGUGUACAACAUUUUCCCUUAAAAGGCUUUAAUAUAUUGUCCAAAUACAACAAAACUUUCAACCCUCCAAGUAGAAUAGUGAAAAUGACUAAUAGGAAGAUCUUUUAUAUAGAUAUAAAAUAGAUGUAUUUUUCCAUAAUAUUCCUUUCAUAAUGAUAUAUAUAUAUAUUUUAAUGAGAUACCCUUCCAUGAGGACAGGGAUGUAUCCAGGAUUUUACUCUAAGGGAGACGAAACUUCUAAAUUUAAACGACAUUUUAUUUUUAAUGUAAAAAAAGUGCCAAUUCUUCUUGGAUACUUGUUCUUCUCAUCAAAUAAAUCAAUUUAAUAUAUAUUUUUAAAAAGCAUGAAUGAUUUAACUGUAAAAAAAAUAAAAAAAAAACUCACACUAUAUAAAAUUAAGCAUUUCUUUCCAAUAUGCAAAAAAGAAUAACUAAUAUAUACCAUACAAAAAAUUUCAUAAAUAUCAUUAUAAUUCCAAAAAUUAAAUUAAGAAACUUGGCCUUAGUCCUAUUUCUCAAUACUAGGAAUCCUAAAUUGUACUCUUCGCUUUUUCAUAAGAUCAAACUCAUCAAUGAUAGAAUCUGUUGAAAAUUCUCGAGCUAUCUCUUUUUCGAUGUAUGCCACCAAGUAAGUUGAAAGAAAAUCAUCCUCCAUUCUGUUGCGAAGUCAUGUAUUCACAAUUUUCAUUGCUAAAAAUGUUCGUUCGAUUGUUGUAGCAAACACGGAAAGAGUUUGUCGAAACCACUUUUUGAAAAAAAAAAUUAGAGUAGACUUAAGGAAAUGAAAAUUGGAGUCGCCACCGAUCUUUUAUUAAGGUGUGACCGGAUCACCUUAAAAAUGAUUUUGGUCUAUGAAUUUCAGAAAGAAUGGAUUUGGGAGUCAGUUAUGUACGAGGAAGGAUUAGCACCCUCGUAACGUCCAAUAUUGGUACCGUAUUCACUAGUUAAUGUCUUAAAGUCGAAUGUCGAAAGUUUUAAAAGAUUAAAAAUGAUUCCCCUUUUAUUAAUGACAUAUUUUUUCAAAGAAAAAAAAACGUUUGGAUAAAUUUGAAUGAGUGUAAAAGACUUUCUUAUCUCGAGGAAACAAAAUGUCGUACCCCGUAAGUUAGGAUGCAACAUUUGAAUCCUCAAAAAUAAGCUAACCUUCAAAAACUUUAUUGAAAUUUAACGAUUUUGAAAAAUAAGAAAUGUUUAGCCUUUUUAGUUCGACGAGAAAAUCGAAACCCCGUAAGUUAGGGUACGAUCCCUCGAAGUUCCAAAGACAACAUGUAGUUUGCUUUUAACUUUAUUAAAGAAAACAUGUUUUUGAAAAUAAAAAAAGGUCAUUUUAAGUUAACAAGAUAAUCGAGACCCCGUAAGUUAGGGCACGAUUUCUCGAAACUUCGAAAAGUAUUAUAAAGCCGACUCAAAAUGUAUUUAAUUGAUUGGCUUGACAUAAAGAAAAAAAAAGUAAUAAUGAUCACAUACAUUGGAAUUUGGCUUACGAUACGAUAACGAGAAAUAAGAGCGUAAUUGUAUACAUGGCAUAAUAAUACAUAGCAAGAAUAUAAAUAACAUGUAAAUACAAAAUAACAAAUUAAGGUAUACAUAUAUAUAUUAGUCUAAAUAAAUAAUACAUAUGGAAUGAAAGACUCAAAAUAGAUAAUAAUAUAUAUUAUAAUAUGUGUAAAGAGUUGAAAUAAGUAAAAUAAAAAAAUAGAGAAUUUAAAAGAAAUAAAGUAUAUAUAUAUAUAUAUAUAUAUAGAAAAAUAGGUAAAAAUAUAUAAUUUGAAUUCAAUAGUAUAUUAUGUAUGUAUGUAUGUAUGUAUAUAUGUAUGUAUGUGUAAUGAAAAUAAUUUAAUAUAAAUUGUGUAUAUAUACAAAAGUAGUAUUGUAUAAGAAUAUUAUCAUAUAAUCUUUACAUAUGAAAUAUAUAAAAAAGUGGAUUUUAAAAAUAUAUUAUAAAAUAAAAAUUGUUAAAAAUAUAUAUUAUAUUGGAUUAAUAGGAAGAAAAUAAAAUAAUUCAUUAUAGAAUUAAAUAAUAAUGUAUGAUAAUAGUAUAUAUAAAAAAAGUUUAAAAUAAUAAUAAAUAAUAAAUUAAAUUAUUUUUCCAAAAUUCAAUUCACCAAGAAUAUAACUCCAUAAAUAUUUAAUAAAAAUAUUUAUGAUUUCAAUUUAUGAAAUCGGAGUCCCGAAAUCGAAUUUUUCCAACACCAUUGACUUUCGGAUCGUUACAUCAAAAUACAAGAAAGUCACUAACCUAAUAUGCAUGAGUAUGAGCAAAAUCAAUUAAUUGUAGAAUUUGGCUUUAAAGUCCAUAUUGAGCCUUUAAGUUUAGUCUUUUAAGGCCCAUCAUACAUUAUUAUUAUUAAAGUUAUAUAAUUAAAACUGAAAAAUACUUUAUUAAUAUAAAGUAUAAUCUUACGGCUUAAGGGGCGAAUUAUAUGAAAUAUAAUUUGGCCAAGGGGACGAAUGUUUUACAAUGUGGACACCAAAUCUAAAAUACAUGAUAAUUUAUAUAUAUAAUUCAAAAAUCUGAAAAUUCCAAGGGGGUGACUACCCCCCACGCCCCCUGGAUCCAUCAUUGCAUAAGGGCUUGUUGUUUCAAAAGAUAACUUUACUUAAAAGCUAUGUCCAAAUAACUUUAUUGAUAGUUUGUCUAGUGGGGUUGUGUAGGGGCGAAGCUAGAAAAUUUUUUAGAGGGGCUGAAAUUAAAUUGUAUAUUUGUAUGAUAAUACAAAUACAAAUUUACCAUUUUAAUAUCUUAUAUCUUAAUAAUUUUUAAAGGGUUAAAUCAAUUUUUAAUCAUUUCUGGGAGCUAAAGUGCAAUUUUACCAUUACAAAUUUAAAAUUUUAAGGGGCUUAAUUUUCCAUUUUAGGGGAGGUUGGGGCCUCUACCAGCCCCCUUGGAUUUGCCUCUGGGGCUAUGGAAAGAGAUAUGGGCACAACUGUAUGAAAAAGAUAAACACAAAAAAUGUUUACGCAACUCAGACUUAUGUAUAUGGGGCCUUGCUCAGAUAAUGUAAUGCCCCGAUUUAUUUAACUUUGUUUUUAUGAAUUUUGUCAUAAAUGAGUAUUUAUUUCAGUGGUUAAGUGAUUUGAGUGAGUACUUAAGGUCUUGGGUUUAAGUCCCACUUUUGGAAAAUAUGCUAUUUUUGAUCCUAGCCUUAUCUUUAGUGGUUUGCCUUAUAUUUUACUUCCGGGCAACUCAUAUUAGAAUGAGUUUGCUAGUUCAGGUGGUAAUGUGUUAGCCUGCCCUACGGUCUUGUGUUUGAACCCUUUGUGUGAGCAAAGAAUGUUAAUUUUUGCUUCUAUGAGUGUGUGCCAGUUGUGUAGUAAAAGUUGGAUGGAACUGAUACUCUAAACUAGUUGGAUGAGGUAGUGGGUUAGAUUCUGUGGGAUUGUGGUUGGUUAGUGGGGGAGUUGGGAUAGUGUUAAUUUUAUUUUAAUUUUGUUUUUUUCCAAAAUUCCUUUCCAGUUUCAUGUUCUUCACUCAACUCCCAUGUACAUUUCUUCUUCUUCUUCUUCUUCUUCUUGUCUCUCUUAUUUUUAUUGGAAUUAAUUCUGUAAAUAUGUAUGGUAGUUUUUGAGUAUAUCUCUUUUCUUUUAAUUAGGAGAUUAGAUGCUAAAGUUUAGGAGAUAAUAUUUUGGUUUAAUUAGGAGAUUAGAUGCUAAAGUUUAGGAGAUAAUAUUUUGGUUUCUAUAUUUGUAUUUUAUCAUGUAUAUAUGUUCUUGAUUUUGGGAGGAAUGAGAGACAGAGAAAAUUCCCACAAUUCUUGUUAUUUUUUCAUGGUAUCAGAGCAGGUUUUGAACGUGUAAAUUUUUGCUAAUGGCUGGUGGGAAAGGUGAUUCCGGUCACAAAUUCGGUGAAGGGGCGGUUGUGCGAAAAACGAUUUCUCCGUACAAUAUAACCUCGCUUGAUAAUCCUACACUUGCAAUCACUCAAGUACAAUUGAAAGGGGAAAACUAUGAAGAAUGGGCUCGUUCUUUCUGAACGGCGUUGCGUGCUAGGAAGAAGUUCAGAUUUAUUGACGGAUCGAUUAAAAAACCAGAUGAUACAUCAGACAACAUUGAAGAUUGGUGGACCAUUAACUCGUUGCUAGUUUCGUGGAUUCGGAAUACCAUUGAACCAACUCUUCGAUCCACCAUAUCUCAUGUCGAGGUGGCUAAGGAUUUGUGAGAUGAUAUCCGGAGAGAUUUUCAAUGGCCAAUGGUCCAAGAAUCCAACAACUCAGAUCUGAUCUUGUAGAAUGCAAGCAAAAAGGAUUGACUAUUGUAAAUUAUUUUGGAAAAUUGAAACUGAUAUGGGAUGAAUUGGCGAUUUUUGAUCAAUUGCCGACUUGUAAAUGCGGGAAUUGUACUUGUCAACUAUCAGCCGAGUUGGAAAAGCGAUGAGAAGAGGAAAAGUUCACCACUUCCUGAUGGGAUUGGAUGGGACAUAUAGCACGGUUAGAUCCAACAUCUUGGCCAACGAUCCAUUGCCAUCCUUGAGCAAGGCUUAUUCGAUGGUUAUUCAGGAAGAACGAGUGAAGACCAUAUCUCGUGAGAUGGAAGAUCGCCCCGAUGUGAUGGCUAUGGCGGUGCAAAGUCGAGGCAGUGGAGAAAGUAAUGAGAAGGGGGGUUUGUUCCCAUUGCAAACAACCCGGACAUGAUAUUGAUAAUUGUUUUACUAUUAUUGGGUAUCCUGAAUAGUGGGGAAUACAUAUAUAUAUUAGUCUAAAUAAAUAAUACAUAUGGAAUGAAAGACUCAAAAUAGAUAAUAAUAUAUAUUAUAAUAUGUGUAAAGAGUUGAAAUAAGUAAAAUAAAAAAAUAGAGAAUUUAAAAGAAGUAAAGUAUAUAUAUAUAUAUAUAUAUAUAUAUAUAUAUAUAUAGAAAAAUAGGUAAAAAUAUAUAUUUUGAAGUCAAUAGUAUAUUAUGUAUGUAUGUGUAAUGAAAAUAAUUUAAUAUAAAUUGUGUAUAUAUACAAAAGUAGUAUUGUAUAAGAAUAUUAUCAUAUAAUCUUUACAUAUGAAAUAUAUAAAAAAGUGGAUUUUAAAAAUAUGUUAUAAAAUAAAAGUUGUUAAAAAUAUAUACUAUAUUGGAUAAAUAGGAAGAAAAUAAAAUAAUUUAUUAUAAAAUUAAAUAAUAAUGUAUGAUAAUAGUAUAUAUAUAAAAAAAGUUUAAAAUAAUAAUAAAUAAUAAGGUAAUAUAUAUAUAUAUAUAUAUAUAUAAUAGGUAAAUAGAAGUAUAACCAAAUAUAAUAAUGUCAGCAACAAUAAUAAAUAGUAAUAAUAACAAUAAUAAUAAAAAAGUAAUAAAUUAAUUAAUAGCAAAAAUAUCAAACAUGACUAAAUUGAAACGAAAACAGAAAUUCUGGGGCAAAUAUGAAAUAAAUAAAAAUAAAAAGGACCAAAUUGAGUGCACGAAUAACAAAGAGGGACUAAACGGAAAACAUCCCCGCCCUCCUAAAACACAGCACCUUACAUGGAGCAAAAAUGAAAUCAAAGCAAAAUUUUAGGGCAAAAUUUGGAAUAAAAGAAAACUUAAUUGCAAAACCAUUAAAAGGUGGAAAGACCAGGGUUGUAAAUAACCCAUUUAACGAGAACAUGCGGAUCCCCCAUGGAGCAGGUCGGGUAGCACACGGGUGGCCCUAUACGGCGUCGUUUUGGCGCUAAGGGCACUAACUCAAAACGACGCCGUUUUUUAUUGUUAUUUAAACAAAAAAAACUGUUUUUAAAAAAACAUUUUCAGAAGCUAUUUUUUGUUUAAAAAAACAAAAGGGGGCUAUUCUUUGCUAGGGUUUCACAUCCCAACUAGCCCACCGUGCCUCCGCCGCGAUUCCACCGUGAACAGUGGCCGGAGCUGCACCACGAAGGGCCUUUCGCUCCUUUUCGCGCGGAUCCGAAGGCGUCCAAGGUAAACCCUCUUCUUCCCUUUUUAAUAUACAUUUUUUUAUUUAAAAAAAUCGAAACUAAAAGGAAAAAAAAUAGAAUACUACCUUCUAUCUCUCAAAAAAACUCAGAUUACCAGUAAAUCAUUUUUUUGAUUGAUCUUCUCCCUCCCUUUUUACAAUAUCAAGUCUGCUUUUUAUAGCAGAUAAUGGAAAAAGAUAAAUGUAAAAAAAAUCUAAUUUUAAAUGCGUUAUCUACUUGUUCCUUUGGUUUGUGAUUUUUCUGAUUUUCUUGAUGUUUUUUUCCUGCCUGUGCUGUUUGUUGCCAUUUUUGUUGUGCAUGUACAAGCUCGGAGGGGACGCAUGCGCGCGGAGGCGUAGCACGUGUGGGGCAGGAGCUGCGCCUGGAUCUUCUUGGGUUUCUGUUUCGUGGUCUAGGGCUAGGCAUUGGGCCUCUGUAAUUGGGCCACUGUUUAUUAGGUUAGGGAUUUAGAUUGGGUCUUGGUGUAUUUUGAAUUUGGGCUUGUAAUAGGAUUUGGGUUUAGGCUAGCAAUUUUAAUGUAAUUGGAUUGUAUUUGGACUUUGAAUUUUGGUUUUAUUUAUUUAUAUACGGGUCGGGCAAAUUGGGCCAAUUAUAGCUGCCCUUCUUUGCUCGUUGUCGUGUAACGGGAACGGAGCAAAGACUUUAGAUGGCCAAUUUUGCCGGGUCAUGCUGGAUCUUGGUGCUCUUCUUCUUCAAGUAGCCUCAUGCCCACCUAUUGCAUCUUCAGAGGUAUUGGUGCUUCGAUCCACUCCACUGUAACGUUAGGGAAAUAGGAUUUGUAGCUCUUCAAGGGAACAUUUGCUAUCUUCAGUCUGCUUCACUGCAACUUCAGGGAGAUAAGACUUGCAACUUCCACUUGUUUCACUGUAAUUUCAAGGCAAUAAGGUCUGAUUCGAUCUGCUUUACUGCAACUUUAGACAGAUAAGAUCUGUAAUUUAUAGCUUCAACCUGUUCCACUGUAACUUCAGGGGAAUAAGAUUCACUAUCUUUAGUCUGCUCCACUGCAACUUUAGGGAGAUAAGACUUCACUUCAAUCUGCUCCACUGCAACUUCAGGGAGAUAAAACUUGCUAUGGCAGAUUUAAUUCGACCUACAGCAACUUCAGAGGCAUAGGAUUCAUCAUUUUAAUCCGCUCCACUGCAACUUCAGGGAGAUAGGAUUUGUAACUUUAAUCUGCUCCACUGCAACUUUAGGGAGAUAAGAUUCACUAUCUUCAAUCUACUCCACUGCAACUUCAGGGAGAUAAGACUUGUAACUUCAAUCCGCUCCACUGCAACUUCAGGGAGAUAGGAUUAUUGGCUUUAAUCUACUCCACUGCAACUUCAGAGAGAUAAGAUUCGCCAGGAUCUACUCUACUGCAACUUUAGAGAGAUAAGAUUCGCCAGGAUCUACUCUACUGCAACUUCAGAGAGAUAAGAUCUGUGAUUUAUAGCUUUAAUCUGUUCCACCACAACUUUAGGGAAAUAAGAUUUGCUAUCUUCAGUCUACUCCACUGCAACUUCAGGGAGAUAAGACUUCAUUUCGAUCCGCUCAUUGCAACUUCAGGGAGAUAGUAUUAUUGGCUUUAAUCUACUCUACUACAACUUCAGGGAGAUAAGAUUUGUCAUCUUCUUCAAUCUAUUCCACUGCCACUUCAGUGGUAUAGGAUUUGUAGUUUCACCGAUCUGUUUUCAGGGGAACAUGACCUGUAGAAUCCAUUGCAUGGACCUAUUUAUGCCUAAUUAUUAGGAUGUUAUGAUCGGAAUGAGUCAAAAUUUACUAACUAGAUGUUAUGAAUAAAUGGAAAAUGAAGAUGAUCCCUUUUUUUAAUGUUUGGGUUAUCAUUACUUAUUAUUCGUUAAGAUUUCAUCACUGAUGUGUUAUAGAGUUGUCUUGUUCAGCUGGUGCCUUCGACAGAAACCCAAAGAAAAACUCAAUCAGUUUGCCUCAAUUGUUCUUUUGAGACUUGAGUUUUGGGCUAUCCUUCUUCCACUAUAACCCAGGGAUACAAGAUCUGACUCUUUUCAAACCUCUUUUAUCGCAAUUCAAAGGCAUAGUAUAAGAAUCUUCUUCCCUCAUUUUAGUCAUUUACACCAUUCCUAGGAUGUCGUGACCAGGUAUUUAUGCACGAGUAUAGAAAUUUUUCUAAGAAUAACUUCUUCUUAUUGUUUGGCGAUCGAAGCUUUAUCACCGGCACAAUAUUUUGUUUAAUAAAUAUUUUUGACAACAAAAUUCGAAGAGAUAGUCUUAAUUUAGACUUUUUCUUUUUAGAUAUUUCAACUUUUAAACUUGGUGCAUUCUAAAUAAUAGUCCUAUUUCAACUUCCUGUAUUAUUUAGAAACUUCUUAGAGUAAUAUGCAAAACUUCAUUUGAGAAAGUAUUAUUAGUCCAUUAAUCAUUAUUCUAAUGCAACACACUUGCAAAAGAUCAUAUCAAUGGAUAAAAAUUGAAUUGAUUUGGGAGCAUGGCUCGAAAUGAAUAAAUUGUCAAGGAUAGUAAAAAUAAAAAAAAGGGAAUUAAGUGGGAACAUGUAUCUUGAAAAAGAAUGAAGUAUUCCAAGAACAACAAAUUCAAUAUAAAUAGUAUGAAGACUAGGUGCCCCAAAUAUCGCAGCUUGAACUUCUCUGCACAACUUUCUAAAGACCAUUCUGAGUUUGACAUGUGUUUAGGAGAUCUAAGUACUUUGUCAAUGCUCCAAGAUAUCGCCUACCUUUUCCUAUUGAUUCAAGUAUAGCAAGAUCACCACAUGCGCCAAUUUGAUCAAAAUUUGAGCUGCUCUGAUCACCUCAUGUCCCAUUCUGAUCAAAAUUUGAGUCACCUUUUUUGGGUUUUCAACUCAAAUCCCCUUUGGUCUCAAGGUGCCUUUUGCAGGUUUUCACAUUGGCCUCUCAUUUUUUUAAAGAACUCAAGGCACCCUUUGCGAGUUUUCACUUUAAUCCAUUUUCUUUCUUCAGGUGAAGUAUUUCUUAAAUGAGUCCGAGUUUACAGGAUUUGGCAAGUUUUUACCAUCCAUCUCGCUCAAAAUCAAAGCUCCUCCAGAAAAGACCUUCUUUACAACAUAAGGUCCUUCAAAAUUUGGAGCCCACUUCCCUCUAAAAUCCUUUUGUAGAGGAAGGAUCUUUUUCAACACCAAGUCCCCCUCGUGGAAUUCUCUGGGACGAACCUUUUUGUUAUAGGCUCGUAUCAUUUGUUUCUGGUACAUCUGAUCGUGAUGAAUAGCUUUUAGUCUUUUUCCUUCUAUCAGGUUCAACUGAUCAUAUCGAGAUUGUAUCCAUUCGACCUCAUCCAACUUUAGUUCAAUUAAUACCCGGAGAGAAGGGAUUUCAACUUCAAUGGGUAAAACUGCCUCCAUCCCUUAAACUAGAGAAAAAGGCGUUGCCUCGAUAGAAGUCCUGAUAGAUGUUUGAUAGGCAAGGAGAGCAAAUGGUAAUUUCUCAUGCCAGUCAUUACAAGUUUCAGCCAUUUUCCCCACAUUUUUCUUGAUAUUUUUGUUGGCCGCCUCUAUUGCACCAUUCAUUUUUGCGCGAUAUGGUGACGAAUUAUAGUGUCUGAUCUUGAAUUGACUGCAGACUUUCGCUAUUGUGCUGUUAUUCAAAUUCAGCGCAUUGUCAGAUAUGGUUCUUUCAGGCAUUCCAUAUCGACAUAUGAUCUCUUUUUUUAAGAACUUACUGAUUGCUGACUUCGUGACAUUAGUAUAUGAAGCCGCUUCUACCCAUUUAGUGAAAUAGUCAAUAACCACAAAGAUGAAACGGUGCCCAUUAGAAGCCUUCGGCGAUAUUGGCCCGAUGACAUCUAUACCUAACAUGGAGAAAGGCCAUGGAGAAGUCAUAACGUGAAGAUGUGAAGGAGGUGCGUGCAUUUUGUCCCCAUAAAUUUGGUAUUUAUGGCACUUCUUGACAUAAUUGAUGCAACCUCUUUCCAUGGUGGACCAGUAAUACCCGAAUCUCAUAAUCUGUCUAGCCAUGGUGAAUCUGUUGGCAUGUAUUCCGUACCCUCAUGGAUUUCUUCCAAAAUUUCCUUGAUCUCCACAGCGUCCACACAUCUCAAUAGUACUUGAUCCUUUCCCCCUUUUGUAUAAAAUCUCUCCAUCUAAGACAUAGUCAAUGGCUAGUCUCUUUAAUGUCCUCUUAUCAUUCUUCGUUGCCUGAUUAGGGUACUCGUAAUUCUUCACAUAUUGCAAUAUAUCUUGGUACCAAGGAUGGUUAUAAUUUUCCUCUUCCUCAAUAAUAUAACAAUGAGCCGGGGUUUCAUAAAUGCUGAUUUGAAUAGGCUUCAUGCCUUCUAGUUUGUUCAUUUUGAUCAUGGAGGCUAGGGUAGCCAGAGCAUCAGCCAUCUGAUUUGCUUAUCGUGGGAGAUAACAAAAAGUGAUACUGUCAAACUUUUCGAUCAACUCCAGAACCAAUCUCUGAUAACGGAUUAACUUUGGGUCUCUAGUUUCCUAUUCCCCUUUGACCUGGUAUAUUACCAAUGCCGAGUCCUCGUAUACCUCUAUUAUCUUAAUUUUUCACUCUAUGGCUGCCUGGAUGCCCAUGAUGCAAGCUUCAUAUUCAGCCAUGUUAUUAAUACAAUCAAAAUCCAAUUUACUAGUAAAAGGAUAAUGAUCUCCAUUUGGGGACACAAGGACUGCCCCAAUCCUAUUACCUACAAACUUUGAAGCUCCGUCGAAAUUUAACCUCCAAGGAUGAUUCUCUUGAGAAUCUUCUUCAGUAGUUGUCACACACAUCAAGUUUUCAUUUGGGAAAUCAAAAUCCAGAGGUUCAUAAUCUUCUAAAGCUCUGCUGGCCAAAAAGUCUACUAUCCCACUCCCUUUGACAGCCUUCUGAUUUACAUAUACUAUAUCAAACUCGGAGAGCAAAAUCUGCCAUCUAGCCAUCUUCCCAUUCAACACAGUUGAGUCUAUCAUAUACUUUAAAGGGUCUAACUUUGAAAUUAGCCAAGUCGUAUGGUAUAGCAUGUAUUGCCUCAAUCUCCGUGUUGUCCAGAUCAAGGCACAACAUAAUUUUUAAUAGGUGAAUAUCUCAUUUCACAAUCAGUGAAUUUCUUACUGAGAUAGUAUAUCACCUUUUCUUUCCUUUCAGUCUCAUCAUGCUGGCCCAACACACAUCCCAUGGAAUUAUCAAACACCGUUAAAUACAAAAUCACCGGCCCAUCCGAACUAGCUAGUGACAGCACUAGAGUAUUGGACAAGUAUUGUUUUAUCUUGUCAAAAGCUUUCUGGCAUUCUUCACCCCACACACCUGGAUUAUGUUUCUUCAAAAGACGAAAUACGGGGUUACAUUUCUCGUUCAGUUGUAAAAUGAACCGAGCAAUGUAAUUCAGUCUUCCUAAGAAACCUCGACCUUCUUUCUGAGUACGUGGUGGAGGCAAAUAUCGUGUCGCCUUGACUUUGUCUGGAUCGAUCUCGAUUCCUUUUUCACUGACUAUGAAGCCCAACAGCUUUCCUAACUUGGCUCCGAAAGUGCAUUUCGUUGGAUUAAGCUUGAGCUGGAACUUUCUCAGUCUUAAGAACAAUUUUCUCAAGACCUGCACAUGUUCCUCUUCUGUUCUGGAUUUUGCAAUCAUAUCAUCAACGUAAACCUCAAUUUCCUUGUGCAUCAUGUCAUAGAACAAGGCUACCAUGGCUCUUUGAUAUGUCGCUCUUGCAUUCUUUAAUCCGAAUGACAUCACCUUAUAGCAAAAUGUUCCCCAUAAGGUAAUGAACGUGGUCUUUCCCAUAUCUUCAGGAUGCAUCUUUAUCUGAUUAUAUCAGGAGAAACCAUCCAUAUAGGAAAACAGUGAAUGACCCGCCGUAUUAUCCACUAAAGUGUCAAUAUGAGGCAAUGAGAAGUUGUCAUUUGGGCUGGCCUUGUUCAAGUCUAUGUAAUCCACACAUAUUCAUACUUUCCUAUAUUUUUUAAGGACUGGGAUGAUGUUGGCUACCCAUUCAAAAUAUUUGACCUCUUGUAAAAAACCAGCAUCAAACUACUUUUUGACUUCCUCCUUUAUUUUAAGCACAAUAUCAGGACUCAUCCUUCUGAGCUUCUGCUAAACUGGCUUGCAAUCCUCUCUUAUAGGAAGGCGAUGCAUUACAAUGUCAGUGCUUAACCCGGGCAUAUCCUGGUAUGACCAUGCGAAGAAAUCUUUCAAUUCUUGGAGUAAUUCAACGAGGUAUCACCUUGUCUUUGUGGAAAUAUCAAUUCCAAUCUUCACCUCUUUUCUUUUUUCUAAGCUCACAAUUUCUAUUGAUUUCUUGUGAGGUAGGAUUUGUUUUUCUUCCUGUUCUACCAUCCUCAACAAGUCCGGAGAUAAAUCACAAUCUACGUCAUCUUCAAAGUCGUGCGAUCCCUCUAAAUACAUGUUUCGUUCAAAAGGAAAUUCAGAAUUUGUAGCAGCGUUACUCAUGUCAUCGAUAUUCAAGGACCUAUUGUAGUUACAAAAGAAUAUACAAAGAAUGUAUGAAUUUAUGAAUAAUUAUUUGUACAGUAUGAUUAUGAAUGAAAGAAUGAUUUAAAAGAAAAUCCAAAAAAAAUUAAAGAAUUAAAAAUAAUUUCUCGUAUGGAAAGAAUGAAAGAAUAUUUGCUCAGAAUGAUUGCAAAUAUGUACUUCAUUAAAAUAAUGAUGUUUCGACAUGAGCCCAUUUCACAAAAGAGUUCUUAUUGUCUCUAGGCUAAAACAAAAAGUGUGUUCUAAAUAUUACUUUAAGAAAGCUCUAAAAACAUCAGGUAUUUCUUCUACGGUCCAAUUAUUUAGAACACUCCCAGGCUCAUAAGGACGUAUAUCUAACAAGGUCCAUUCUUCAUUUGUGUCUUCAUGUAUGGCAUUGAUGUGAACAUUUUCCAACAUCUCUUUGAUGCUUUCUUCCAACAGUAUCCUUCUCUUAGGAUGAAUGAUGCCUCCAGAUACAAAGGUUUUGGAUAUGUGGGGAUUUAUCAUUGGUUCCUAUUUAAUUACCUCCCCAUUUAGGCGUGCCAUUCUUCUUUCUUGCCUUCUUUCUAACUCCUUCUUUCUUUGUCUUAUAUCUGGCUUGUAUCCUAAGCCAAAGCGAUCUUGUUUUUCUUUUAGCACUGGUGCCUCAAUUCUUCCUUGAAGAUGUCUCUCUAAUCCUCUUCCGGGUAAGGCUCCUUUCCCUACCAACAACUGUAACCCCAUCUCUGUGGUUUUGGAUAUUUUAGGCAUUGGAAUUUUGUUCCCCUUAGAAAUAAAUGUUGCAUUUACAAACUCUAAAGAUAGAAAGGACCAUUCAACUGCCUCAUCAUUAGUUUCCACGUACAGCGCAUAAUUGGCUACAGCCGCUAUGAUAUCCUCUUUGGCAUUUAUUGUCACCAACCGACCUUCUGACACUAGUUUCAACUUCUGAAGUAAUGAUGACGGUACAGCCCCCGCCGAAUGUAUCCAUGGUCUUCCUAAUAAGUAGGAAGGCUUGAUAUCCAUUACAAAGAAAUCCACCUCGUAGAUAGUCAGACCAAUUAAUAAGGGUAUUUCGAUUCUUCCCAUGACCUUCCUUUUUGUGCCAUCCAAUGCCCUCACUAUAUUCUGGCAUGUCUUCAUGUGCGAGCUAUCCACGGGCAGUCUGUUAAGUGUGGAUAGGGGCAAUACAUUCAAUGUUCAUCCGUUGUCGAUGAAAACUCUUAGCAAAGUAUACCCUUUGCAUCGGGUAGUAAUGUGCAAAGCUUUAGUAGACCCCAUACCCCCAGGUGGUAUUUCAUCAUCGUUGAAGAAAAUAAAGUUAUCUGCACUUAUAUUAUUGACCAGCCGAUCUAAUUUAUUGACAGAGAUAUCAUUGGCCACUUAGGUUUCAUUCAGCACUUUCAUCAAUGCACUUCGAUGCACCUCUGAGCUCAAGAGUAAGGCUAACACAGAUAUGCGAGCUAGUUGUUUAUGCAGCUGUUACACAACACUAUACUCGCUAUGCUUCAAGAAUUUAAGGAAUUCCUUGGCUUCUUCCUCUUUUACUAGCUCGUUGAUAGGUAACACAGGCUCGGUUGUUGUCCUCUUCUUUUGUUCUGUCACUAUGACCUUUCCUUUAAUAGGUUCUGUUUGAGGACUUAUCAAAUCAUAGUGUUUGCCACUACGCGUAUGAGAACCUAUACCCUGAUCCUCUUUUGCAGCAUUGGCUAAAGUCUCCCUUCCUAGGAUGGUUACGUUGCACUUAUAGUUCCACGAGACUUUCUUGCUAUCCUUGUAAGAGAAGGUUGCAGGUUUCUGAAUUAUGAUUUUUAGCAUUACCGGUACUCCCACUUCAUUAUUCUUUGGUCGCGAGAUGAUGACCAUAGGAUGAUUUACUUUCGGAACCUUUGUCAUUGAUUUCGACGCGCAUAUACUUCGUUCUUCAUUGACUUCUUCGUAGAACUCUACUUCCUUAUCAUCCAUCAUGCCUUGAACCAAGACUCUGAAUUCUAUGCACUCUUGGAUCUUGUGCCCUUCUCCGUGAUGGAACUAAUAAUAAUUUCUCGUCUUUUUGUAGCUCCCUUUUAAAUUCAAAAUGAUUAACCCCCUUUCUACCAUCUUCUUCCAGACCCAUAUCAAAUGAGUUCUUACUUCUGUAAUGUCUGCCUUAAUUCUUCUCCCCAUGUUUCCACUCAUCAUGUUUACCCCAUUAUCAGUAUGAUUAGGUAAUGGAUUUUUUGCACUGGAUGAAUUAUCAAAUUUGACAAUGCCCAUACUAAUGAGCUUUCAACCAGCGUUUUAAAGGCAGUGCAAUUUUCUAUGGAAUGCCCCAUAAUUCCCGUAUGAUAGUCGCAUUGUGCAUUUACAUCGUACCAUUUGGGGUACGGAGGUUGUAGAGGUUUUAAGUAGAAAGGGGAAACAACGUGUGCAUCGAAUAAACUUUAAUACAACUCCCUAUACGACAUUGGAAUUGGCGUGAACUCGAGCUUCUCAGUGUUUUUUCUUGUGUCGAAUUCUUGUCUUGAUGAACCUUGUUGGUUAGCAGCCACCUUUCUUACCUGAUUCACCGUAAUCGAUUUUAAGUAACCCUUUCUAUAUGUACUCAUAUUGUUCACAUUAUUUUCCUUUUUCUUCGAGGCCGACCUUCUGUUACUUUCUCCAGCAUCAAUCUUCCCACUCCUUAUGGCGUUUUCAAUCAUUGCACCAUUCAUGACUAUGUCAGAAAAACUUUUUGUGGCACUUCCUAACAUAUGUAUGAUAAAUGGGGCUUUCAGUGUGUUAAUAAAGAGUAUUGUCAUUUCUCUUUCCAGGAGCGAUGCUGAACUUAGAUGGCAACCUCCCUCUACCUUUGUGCGUAUUGCCUAAAACUUUCAUUCGACUUCUUUUCCAUAUUUUCUAGGGUGAUUCUAUCAGGAAGCAUAUCUGUUACGUGACUGUACUACUUCAUGAAUGCUUGUGCUAAAUCCCUCCAUGAACUAAUCCUGGUACGGCUCAAUUGAUUGUACCAUUUAGAUGCUACCCCUGUGAGGCUAUCUUGGAAGCAAUGUAUUAGCAGUUGGUCGUUAACAUAUCCAGUCAUCCGUCUACAAAACAUGGUAAUAUGAGCUUCAAGGCAACUGGUCCCAUUGUACUUCUCAAAUUCUAGCAUUUUGAAUUUGUAAGGGAGUACCAAAUCCGGGACCAAGCUCAGAUUUUUAGCAUCAAUCCCAUGGUAGCUCUCAGUGCUUUCCAUUGCCCUGAAUUUUUCUUCGAGCCAUUUACACCUUUCCUCUAGCUGUUUUUGCAAUUCCUCAUUUGUUUUUUCUUUUUCAUCCAUUUCAUCGAAUUUAAGGAUAGUAGGAUUAAUAGUGUUAUCUCCAGGGUUAGAGCCUGAUCCGCCUUGAAAGCUCAUUGGUGUUGAGGCACCGACCUGAAACUACUGAGGCCUGAUUGUGACAGAGGAUUUACGCGGGUACACCUCAGCUUGGGUCUGCACAUGUGGAGGAGUAAAGCCUGGGGGAUACAGAGGUCCCUCAUUGUUUCAUUCUUCAACAUUAGCCAUAGGGCCCUUUCCUUUAUUAUUUCCCCCAGCCAACAAUUGAGUCAACUGAGUCAUCAUGUUUCUUUGAGACUCCAACAUUUUGUCCAUCAUAUCUUGCUGAAUCUUAGCUAGCUGCUCUUGCAUUUGCAGCUGAAGUUGGUCUUGCAUUUCAUUUUGGAACAGUUCAAGUCUUUCCAAUCUUUGGUCCAUGUCUUUGGUUUUUGCUCGAGUACCGUAACGAUGUUUGUUUGGUUGGUUGGUUUCCAGAUUAACUGAGGAAUUAUUUUAAUCAAUUAGGAUCUUUUAAUAGUAUUUAAUGCAUAUGAUGCAAUGCAACGUAUGAAAUGAAUGCAAAAAAGGCGUCAAUUCUGAUUCAUUUCCAUUUAGAAAACUUUACUAGAAAAUAAAUUUCUUUACAUAAAAUGGGCUACAAAUAAGGUUUUGCCCUAAUACUUAGAACUCUAAUAUUCCUAAGUAACGAGGCUAACUCUUGCCCCUAAUCUGAUUCCAAUUCAUACUUCACACUCAGCAUAUCGGCCUGCACUGCCAAAGUCUACAGGUGAUCAGCUACCUCUCGAAUCUGAACCACGGCUUCUCCCAUAAUAUGAUCCCUGUUUCUAACUUGAUUCUAAAAGUAGUGAAGCUGCUCAUUAUGACGAUCUUCGUUUGCUUCCAAGUACUCGAUCCGGAUCUCACAAUUUUGCAAUGCCAUUUCUAACUCGUCUAUUCUUUUUUUCAUUUAUUCAAUCCUGCUCAAGCUCGCUCUCAACUCUAUUGUAGAAUUUCAAUUUCGAUACUGACGAAAAGAUCUUUCUAACUCGGUCACUCUGUCCUUUAGUUCACUUUUUUCCUUUUAGUUCUUUGACAAACUCUUCUCUAAAGCCUCAUUUCGUGUUUGAACCUCCUGGAAUUUCCUUUCCCAUCUAUCGACCUUGUUCUUUUCUUCUCGAAUCUCUUCAUGCCACUGCUCUAAAGUUUUCCCAAACCCGACAGUUCUCAUUUACAGGCGCAGUCUCUUAUAAUUUUUCUUCAAGCUAUCUAAAUCCUUCUCAGCUUUAUUUUUCCCUUUUCUUAAUUUUUCAAUCUCGAGUUUUUGAACAUCCAUGUCUAAUCUCAAGUUCAUUUUUUCUUCUUCCAUUUGUUCUAUCUUCUUUUCUAAUUUUGCAUUUCUUCUUUCAAAAUCUUGUCUUAUGAUUUCUAGCUCAGAAGAGACAACCCGCAAAUGUUGCUCUAAUGACUGACUGUUUCCCUAACUUGGCUUGGGGAUAUUAUCAGUGAUCCCCCUAACCCACCAUUCAUUCCACGAUUAAUCUCUUCAUCCGGCGAGUCUGGUUCCAUGCAUUGGACAUCUCUCAAAUCUUCUUUUUGUAACCAUCGCCCUUGUAUGGGAAUUCACACUAAACUAUUCCCUAGGUUGUGGGUAUAAAUUGCCUUGACCUAUACUGCCUGAUUACUAGCAGCGGGGCAUAACCAAUAGCUCCUCAAAUUCCAUGAAGAGGAACCCAAUCAAAAUCACAGCAUUGAUACAGGAUCUUAUCGAGAAGCAACCAAGGAGCUCUCCACUCGAUGUCCUCUUCCUGAAGAUUCUGAAGAAUUGCUACCCAUUUCUACUCCAAGAUGACAUCCCUUCUCGGUGUAGCUACUAUCUCUUUCAGUGGAAAAUAGUUUUCGGAGAAGACCCGAUACGAAACCUUAUCAACCUUCCAGAAGUGACUGUGGAACCAAGUGAUUAGGAGCUGCGUACAUCUGAUGAAUCUACCCUCCCCCGCUUUUCGGCAUAUAUUCAGUGACCUGAAGGUUUCUGCCAAAAUUAUCGGGACUAGUGUAACUCUCUUAUCAAGCCGGUUGAAUAAAUCAGUAACUGCUUCAUCAACGUGCCUAAAGGCUUUGGGGAAGACAACUAAGCCGUAUAUACUCAAAGCAAAGACAUCUACUCUCUUCUUCGUAUCUGGGUGUGCUAGAAUUAGAUCCUUCAAGCUCUUUCAGGGAAUGCACUUACUAUCCCCCUUCUUCUUGAUCCGAGUUGCAACCCACUGCUCGCUCAUCCCAGUUAUAUUCAUCAACUUCUUCAAAAAGGUUAGUACAUUUACAGCUCUCGAGUAGGCUCUGUCUGCUUGAAUCUUUGAACACCAAAGUAAAGCCAUAUAUUCUUCUAUUGUAAGCACCAAAUUGACCUUCCCAAAUGUGAAGCAACUGUAAGCAGGAUUCUAAAACUGGGCGAGAGCUCGAAACAGGUGCUUGUCUACCUUCAUAUCAAGCAGAAAGGAAAAUUCCCAUAAUUAGAGUAGAACAGCUGUCUAACCUCAUCGUUCCAUUGAUCUUAUAUUUCCUUCAACUCUUGCAAACUGUUUUGAGUUAUGCUAAUGCGAGUAAAGUCCCAUAGUUCCAAUGCAUACCCCUCAGCCAAACUAUCACCUUUCUCACGCUGUUUUGUUUCGGACCAAGUUCAGACAAUCGCAUUAUCCUCCGCUUUAUCAAGAAACCCUUUUCCAUGAUAAGCUUUCUAUCUAGCAACUGAAUAUGAACCAACGCCUUUUAUAAUGAAAUGCCAUGUAGUUGAAAUGCCAUGCAAUCAAAAUAAGACACAAAAAGUCAGUAUCAUGUAUAAACAUAGAAUCCAAUACAAUCAAGAAAUAACAAAACACUUAUUUGGGUAUCUAUUAGGGUCUGGUGUAGUUCUACCUAGGGUGAGUUCCUAAGGUUCACUAUGAAGUUUGGCUUCUAGGUCAAAGGUACCUGAACUAGCCGAUUCCUCAAUCCUCACCCAUUAUAGGCUCAUGCAGGCCGAGUUCGGUUCAGUGGAAUACAUUUCCCUAUGACUAUACGGAGAUGAAAAUCUCAUGAAGGCAUAGGUACAAAUGUAUCCCGAAAGUGAUCCACUAUCCUAUACGGAGGUGAGAACCUCACGAAGGAAUAGUUUUUCACUCCCACUUAAAAGGGUAAAAUCGUCAAUCUCAUAUAAUAUGCAAUGCAAAUACACUAACAGACCUAGACCAACCGAGCAAGAAAACAAUAAUGCAAAUGGGAUAUCAUGAAUUUUAAAACAAGUUUUGACUGUUCGACCAUAAGACAGAAAUUAAUCAAUUUGUGGCUCGACUCUUAAAACAGUCCUCAGUGGAGUCGCCAAGCUGUCGAAACCACUUUUUGAAAUGAUAAUAAAUUAUAUAAAAAUAUCAUGUAAUAAUAAAAAUAAUAAUAAAGUAAUGAAUUAAUUAAUAGCAAAAAUAUCAAACAAGACUAAAUUGAAACAAAAAUAGAAAUUCUGGGGCAAAUAUGAAAUAAAUAAAAAUAAAAAAGACCAAAUCGAGUGCACGAAUAACAAGGAGGGACUAAAGCAGAAAAUAUCCCCGCCCUGCCAAAAUGCAGCACCUUACAUGGAGCAAAAAUGAAAUCAAAGUAAAAUUUUAAGGCAAAAUUAGGAAUAAAAGAAAACUAAAUUGCAAAACCAUUAAAAGGUGGAAAGAACGAGGUUGUAAAUAACCCAUUUAACAAAAACACGUGGAUCCCAGUGGAGUAGGUCGGGUCGCGCACGGGUGGCCCUAUACGGCGUCGUUUUCGAUUGUUAUGUAAACCAAAAAAGCUGUUUUAAAAAAACAUUUUUAGAAGCUAUUUUUUGUUCAAAAAAAAUAGGGGCUCUUCUCUGCUAGGGUUUCACAUCCCAACUAGCCCACCGUGCCUCCACCGCGAUUCCACCGUGAACGGUGGUUGAAGUUGCACCACGAAUGGCCUUUCGCUCCUUUUCGCGUGAAUCCGAAGGCGUCUAAGGUAAACCCUCUUCUUCCCUUUUUAAUAUAUAUAUUUUAUUUAAAAAAACAAAUCGAAACUAAAAGGAAAAAAAGGGAAAAAAAUAGAAUACUACAUUCUAUCUCUCAAAAAAACUCAAAUUGCCAGUAAAUCAUUUUUUUGAUUGAUCUUCUCCCUCCCUUUUUAAAAUAUCAAGUCUGCUUUUUAUAGAAGAUAAUGGAAAAAGAAAAUUUUAAAAAAAAUCUAAUUUUAAAUGCGUUAUCUGCUUGUUGCCUUUGGUUUGCAAUUUUUCUGAUUUUCUUGCUUUUUUUCCUGCCCGUGCUAUUUGUUGCCAUUUUUGUUGUGCAGGUACAAGCUCGGAGAGGACGCACGAGCGCAGAGGCGCAACACGUGCGGCACCUGGAUCUUCUAGGGUUUCUAUUUCGUGGUCUAGGGCUAGGCAUUGGGCCUCUGUAAUUGGGCCACUGUUUCUUGGGUUAGAGAUUUAGAUUGGGUCUUAGUGUAUUUUGCAUUUGGGCUUGUAAUAGGAUUUGGGUUUUGGCUAGCAAUUUUAAUGUAAUUGGACUGUAUUUGGACUUUGAAUUUUGGUUUUAUUUAUUUAUAUACGGGUCAGGCAAAUUGGGCCAAUUACAGAGUAAACACAAGAUGAAUAAUUCCAUCUUGAAAAGAAUAAAUACUUGACUUUUUUGUCUUAGCUAGCACUUGACACGACUCGACAACUGUAGAAGCUUUCUGCAACUUCGUGCUUUAAUGAGCAUCAAGUUGAAAAUGCUCCAAUUAAAUCUUCAUGUGUAGCUUUUCUUGCUCCGUAAAAUCGUCCAAAUAAAAUUCAUUCAUAAGCUUGUAGAUAUCUUCCGCCCAAAAAGCUUUGUAAUUAUCGCGUGGAUCCAAAGCAGAGCUAAGAACAAGUAACUCCACUACCUCAUCAUUAAAGUAAGAAUUCAUUUUUGUUAGCAAUGAAUCGAUACUAGUAAUGAAUAUAUCAAAGCUUUAGUGAUGCUUAAUUGUGAGGUUAUCUCUCUAGAUGCGAGACCAACCUCGACCAGCUUUGUACGGAGCACUUAAAUUUGAGACUUUUAUCUCAUGAUCUUUACAAAAUAAUUCAACUUUCUCAAAAAAAGGAUCCCACCCGUGUUCUUUGAAUUUCUAAAGAAGCGUUUUAGCUUAUGACAUCGGCUGCAUCACAUUUAGUAUGAACUUUGAGCAUAUGAAAUUUGUGUUGUUUAUGUCACAGUUGGUUCCAGUGCGUUUGGGCAAUAUUUUCCUUCUGGAUUUUCUUUGGUGUAUCAACAAUUAUAUUAACAAUGCAGUUGUGCCAUCAGUCUUAUUAGGUGCACAAUUUCUUGCCAUCUUUCAGCUACAAACCUGUUACUGUGAUAGUCUGAGGGAAGGUUUCCGUAGGAAAAAGCAAAAUAAUUCUUCUAGUUCAUCUAAUGGUUGUGGCUCAAAUGUGAAAUGCAAUAGUAGUGUUAAAGUAGGUCAUACUAAAAAUAUCAUCAAAGGUAGUAGUUAGAGUAUGGUUCAAUGCUCCUGUGCUAGUAUUUGGAAUAGCCUUGUUAUGUAUCCACUUCUACUUUUCAAGAAGGGUUAAAUAGAGAUAAGAGUAUAGACAGUGAAAACCAAGUUUAGUAUUGCAUAGCAGUUCUCAUUACUUCGAUGAUCUCGAAUUUCGCUAGUUAGUUAAAGCUGGGUAUCAGGUUGGGUAUGAACUAUUACGGGUUAUAAUGAUUUUCAAUGAGAUUAAGAGCGAGCUACAAUAAAUUUUAUGUCUGGAUUAUUUUGACGUUGAGAAGAAAUGCUUGAAUUAAAUUUCAUAGAGCUAUGACACAAGCCGAUCGACAGUUUGAAUGAGAAACUUAGAUUCUGAAAUACAUAAUACAUGGAUAUAUCAAUCAGAUCGGAGACAGUUGGGAAAAUUAUAAUUAUGGGUUAAAUUUGUUUUUGAUAAUAGAAGCUAGCAGAUUUGUAUUACAAAGGUACCAUUGGAAGCUUUUCAUGGAUGGAAUGUAGAACCCAGGUAUGCUACACAGAUGGAGCGACAACAAAUUAGUUGGGCCAGAGUAAUGGGAACUAUUAUCAGUUACGAGUUUCUAGUGCCGAUGAUGAAAUUAUUACAGGGAAACAUCAAAUUUAUUUAGUCAAGUUUGGUAUCUACUUAGUCUAAGCCAGAUAAGAAUUCAUUGUUUAUAAUUACGUUUCAUUCAGAUGACCUUGAAUCAUGAUGGUUUGAUUAAAAUGAAGUUAAGAGUUGAACCGUUAAUUCUACAGAGAAAUUUUGAGACACAGAGAGAAAUAUUUGAAUAUGUGCACUGAAUAAUUUUGAGAUUUUAUAGGACAUCCUAUAUGAGGUUCAUGGCAUUGUUUAUUUGAUCUCUAAAUCAGAUAGCAGCAAAAUGUAUAAGGGCUUGAGACAAAGUUACUGGUGCUCAGGAAUAAAACGUGAGAUUUCAAAGUUUAUACUGAGAUAUCUGAUAUGUCAAAAAGUCAAAGUAGAAUAUCAAGUAAUGUCUAUAAUAUUACGGUAUUGUAUGAAUUCUGAUUGGGAAUGAGUUACAAGACUACCUUUGAGGAAGAGAAAGAAGACUUGAUUUGAAUAACUUUUAUUAGGUGAAAAAAGAAUUUUGAGGAAGAAAUUUUCUUAAGGGGAAAGUUGUAACAACCCGUUUUUCAGCAUUGUCGAAAACAGUGGUUUUGAGGCUAUAAAUUCGAUGAGUGAUUUUGUAAAUAUUACUAUUUAAUAUUUACAAGUCAAAUAUUGUAUUAUAUUUGAUUUUGAUAUGGUAGUUUAUGUUAUUUGAAUGAAUAAUUUAAUUUAAGUGGUGUCCCUAAAGUCAAGUGGGUUUAGAAAAUAAGGUAUCGAAACCUCAUUUCUAUAAAUUGAGCCCAUAAAUAUUUUAUUAAAAUUUGGUUAAGAAAUUUUAAGGUUUAGGUAGUUAAUUAAUUAAAAAGGAUUAAAUUGCAAAGGUUGCAAAAGUAGGUUUCUAUUGAUUAAAUGGAUUAAAUGGCUAUGGAAAGGCAAACUAAAGGAUCUAGAUGGUAAUUAUACUAUAUAUAUUAGUGGUGGACAAAUAUGGACAUAUUCUAGUUACUUUAUAAGUUAUAACUUAAGGUUAAAUAAGUAAAUAAAUAAAUAAAAGUUUAAUUUAAUAAGCCAAAAUAGCAUCAUCUUCUCCAAAUUGCUAAUUUUUCAAAUCGAAACCCUUGUUGAGAAGAUGAAGCUUUCGGCCAUGGAGUUUUACAUGCAUGGUAUGUUGUUAAGUCAUGUUUUUAGUGAUUUUUAUAUUUUUAAGCUCAUAUUAACUUAAUUUAGUUAGCCUAGGGGCAAUUUGUAAAGUUAUGAAAUGUUUAGAAUUAUGCCAUGGAUGUAAUUGAUGUGUUAUGAAUUUAGAUAAUUGAUUAUUAAAUUUGGCUGUUAAAUAAACAAGUUUUGUUAAGUAAUUUUUAGUGAUUUUAAUGUUUAGGGAUUUAUUUGUGAAUAUGGUAAAAUUCAAGGAAAACAUUGUAAAUUUUUGAUAAUUAUGGGUUUUUAUAAGAUUGGGUAAAAAUCGGCUAGCAUGAAUUAUGGUUAAAAAUGGUGAAAUUUCAAGUUUCGGGUUUAGGGACUAAAUUGCAUAAAAUUAAACUAUUAGGGAUAAUUUUGUAAUUUUGCAAUAGUAUGGAUUAUAAGCUUGAAUUAAAUAUUUUAAGUUAAUUGAAUGGUUUAAUUGAUUGGAAAAUUAUUAUUUAGAUCAAGAAACGCUACAAUUGAAGUUAAAUCAAAGAAAAGCUUAAGUUUUAGAUUAGUUGUCGACUCCGUUUUAACAACAGUUCUAGUUGAGGUAAGUUCAUUUAAGGAUGGAAAUUCUUAUUUUUUCCAUUUUGUAUGAAUACAAAUAGUUAUUUAUGUUAUGCUAAAAUUAAUUGAUAAAGAUGUGAUAAAUUAAUCGAAUUAAAUAAUAUGAGAACUAAUACUAAUGUAUUUAGUGAUUUUUAAUUAUAGAUUGUAUAGUUUAAAGGUUACUUUAAUUAGAGUAAGUUCAUAGUAUUUCAAUAUGUAAAUGUAAUUUGCUAGUGAAUUAUAUUAUCGUUCUUUAGUCAAUUGAUGUACAUAUGUAUAUAGGUGAAAUUACCUUGGAUAUUUAUAUAACUAUGUGUGUUACAAAUAUUUUUGUAUCUAUGAAGUUGAUAAAGAAUAUUAGUAGUGCUUUUCUUGGAAUCAUAUUAAAAUUAUAUAUGAAUGAAAUGAAUUUAAAUAUGUAUACGAAAAUGAAGAAAGUGUUCCUGAAAUGCACAUUAGUGCCCCUGUUUGCACUUUGGUGCCCUUAAAUGCACAUUUGUGCCCCUGAACACACAUUUGUGCCCCUGUUCGCACUUUGGUACCCCUGUAUACACUUUAGUGUCCCUGCUUGCACGUUUGUGCUCCUGUUCGCACUACGGUGCCCUUGUAUACAAUUCGGUGUCCCCGUUUGCACGUUUGUGCCCUGUUCGCACUUUAGUGCCCCUAUUCUGUAUAUUCGAUGCCCCUGAUAAUGGAGUAAUGAUCGAUUAUGUGAACCGAGUACUAAUGAUUUGGACUAAAUGAUAUGGAUUGUUACAUGGAAUUGGUGUAAUUACUCGAGUACUUAAGUUAAGUUCCUAGUUCAUCGGGCUAUGAAAUAAUUGAAUUGCAAUCUAUUUAUAUGCUUAUAUAUUACGUCAUAAUUAUGGUAUUUGUAAGUGAAACAUAUUAUAAUGAAUUUAUUAGUUACAUGUAUGGAUUGUUACUUUGAGGAUAUGUGACUUAUGGCAUGAAAAGUCCUUUGAAUUGAAGGUUGUUUUAAUGUAUUUUGAUUGAAAAGGUAACAUUUGAGUUAUGUGGACAAAUGAUUUAUAUAGUGAAAUUCUUUUCAUAGUAUGAACGAGUUAGUAAAACUUUACAGAAUAUAUGAUUGUAUAAAAUGAUCUAUGAUUUAAUGUAAGAAUAUGAAAUUUAUGAUAAGGUUAGUUAAAAGAAGAUGAAGGUAUAUGAUAGUCAUAUAAUAGAUGAUUGGUGAAAUUGAAAUGCUUGAUAUAUUUUAUGCAUCAUUUGGGUUGGAUUUAUGUGUAUUGCUUCACCUAUUAACCUUUUGAAGUAUGAUGUAUAGGCAAAGGAAAUUUUGGUCUAUGAUUAAAUGAGUUUUCUCAUGGUUGAUUAAUCCAAUGCAAUUGGUAAGUUUAAGAUCUUUUAUAUGAGCUUAUUAAGCAUUAGUUGCUUAUAUAGUUGUUUUCUUUAUUUUGUAGAUAUAACAGCCCGGUUUAGACCUUAUUCGGACAGUGGUUUCGGGACCACAAAUCUGAGUCAGAAAAAUAUUUUAAUAUAAUUUUCGUGCUUAUAGUAUGUGAAUUGAUAUGUGUAAAAUUUUCGUGAUUUAAUUUAUCUGUUUGUGUGCUUAAUUUGUGAAAAGGGCUAACUCACAUAAAAAGUAAAAGUGGCAUUCUUAUUGUUAAUAUGCUAAUUUGUUAUGAUUCGAUUUAUGGGAAGUCCUUAAAAGGUUAUUGUGCCAUUAUAAAGUUAGUGGACAUUUAUGUCCAUGAUUCAAAUGACUUAAAUUAUUGUUUUAUUUAGGUUAAAAUAGUAAAAAGGUUAAUAACAUUAAAUAAAAUAAAGUAAAACAUAAAAAAAGGCCAUGCAUGUUCAUUUUAUUUGUCCGAAAUUUGAGAAAGGAAAAUAAGCUCUUGAGCUUUCAAGUAUUCGAGACUUUGGAGCCAAAAAGUUGGUAUGUUUCUUGUUCGGUUUUCGAUAAUUUUUACGUUUUUGAGAUCGUUGCUUCGUAUUCUAGCUAGCUCGUGUACUAAUUUUUGAAUUGGUUAAUGAAUUUGUGAGUUGCCAUUGAUGAUAGCUUGAUGUUUUUGUUUCUUAAUGAUGAAAAAUAAAUAUUUGUUGAUAGAUUAUUAAAUUUUGUUAAGUAAUUUUUGAUAAAAAUUCAAAUUAGGGAUUUAAUUAUGAAAAUGAGAAAUUGAGGGGCUAAAAUGUGAAACAAAUGAAAUAUGUGGGCCUAUAUGAGCUAAAGGAAUAUUCGGCCAAGCUAUGAUGUUGUCAAAUUUUGAAUAUUUUGUGUUUUGUGAAAUAGGGACUAAAUUGUAAAAAAUGUGAAAUAUUAGGGGUUAAAUUGAAAUUUUCCCAUUUAUGUAUUUUUGGAAUAAAUUUGAAUGAAAUGUGUUAUUAAAUAGCUAAAUUUGAAUUUAUUUAGAUCAAGAACAAAAGAAAACAGAAUUAGAACGAGGGAAGUCGAAAGUGGUCGAGUAGUCGAUUUCAUCCGCUUGUCUUCGUCUAAGGUAAGUUCGUAAGUAAAUUAUUGAAGUUAAAUUUACUGUAUUUAUUUCAUGUAUAGCCGAAUCUAAAUGUGUAUGUGUACCCUAUAAUGCUGAAUUAUAUUUGACAAAUGAUGAUUAAUUACAUGUUUUUAAUUGAUUAAUUUACGACAUCUGAAAGUCAUACGAACUACAGAAAUGCUGAAAUGUGACAUCGUGUAAGACCACGUCUUGGACGUUGGCCUCGAUUUGAGAUUUGCAUGUAAGACCAUGUCUGAGACAUUGGCGUCAUAUAAGAUUACAUGUAAGACCCUGUUUGGGACAGUGGCAUCGUUGUUUGAUUACUUGUAAGACCACGUCUGGGACGUUGGCAUUGUACGAGCUUUUUAUGCCGAUCGAGUAUCAUUUCUCUGAAUUCGAAAGGUAUAACGGGAAAUCAUAUGGUAAAACCGAAUGUGAGUUUGAUUUAAACAAUUCAGGUAUGUUUAAGUUAUACGAAAUUGAAAGUAAAGGUAGGUAGUAUAAAUAAAACAUGAAAAGAAGAAUUAAUCGUAUAAAAAUGAUUAUAUAUGUAUGUGUACAUGAAUAGUAGAAUUCGGCCUACAAGUGUAAUUUUUAUGAGUUCUUUGAAAAUUAUGUGCUUACAACUUACUAAGCUAUUUAAGCUUACUGUGUGCUUGUUCAUUCAUUGUUUUAUAGAUUUUGGAAUCUUGUUACGAGUUCGGGAGUCGUCAAGGAAGUCCGUCACACUAUCGAUCUCUAUCUCGGUAUUUUGAAAAUUCAAAAUUUUGAACAUAUGGCAUGUAGAGGCUAGUAUUUGUAUUGUUUAGUCAUAAAGUGUGUAUAUAUAAUUAGCCAUGCGAAAAUGGCUUAAUCUUGAUAUUAAUACUUAUGUGUUCGGUUAUGGUAAUAGUAUAUUAUGAAAAAAUAUUUCAUGGUAUUUAUAUAUGUGUGGUAUUUGAUUAUAUAGAUUUGUUAUAAUGUUUAAGCUUGUGUAUUAUGGCCAGAGUUUGAACCUAUUAUGAAAGUAGGUUAUUGGUAUAUAUAUAUAUGCAUGAGAUGUGAAAAUAAUUUUUGAAUGGUGGAUAGUUGUAUAAUUUAGCUUAGUAAUGUAGUAAUGAUAGAUAUGUAAUGGAUAAGCAUGCAUAUAUUAUAUAGGUUUGGAAAAAUGAAUUUUUAGGUAUAGUUCAUGAUGAAAUUGACAUGAUUUAUUUUUGGAGGUUAAUUGUGAUGAUCGAAUAUGUGGUUAAGGGAUUGGCUAUGUGUACGGAAGUUUUAAGUAUGUGAUUGAAGUGUACUUAAAGUAUGAUAUAUAUAUAUUCGAAAUGGUUCAAAAUAGCAUGGUCUCUUGCGCAUAAAAUUGUAAUGAGAAAAAAAUGUAUGAUUUGGUGUUAUAAUUUGAGGUAUAAUUAUCUUGGAAAUAGUUUGUGAGUUAGUAUAUAAUGUGCAUGCAAAUUCGGAUAUUCAGUAGUGAAAAUAAAUGUAUAAACUAGUAAUGUAACCACUUAAGGUUGGUUUACUAUGAAUAGGUUCGUGAGGGUAUGAUAUGUUUCAAUAUGAGUGAUUGAAGUUUGCUCAAAAUAUUGUGGAUAUAUGCGCAUAACCUCAUGAUGAGUGAAAUGGUAUAUUUGGCCUUAUUGUAAUGGUUAUAUAUAUAUGGUAUGGCUUGAUUAUGGAAUUUGCAAAUGAAGUAUACUAUGAUUUGUAGUACGUGUUAUAAAUUGGUUUAUAUUAAUUAGGUAAAUUGAGUGUAAGACUCUGAUGAUUUAAAUUUCAUACUUGACCACUUGUUGAGGUUGGUUAGGCUGAAUAUGUUGGGUCUAUAUGCUGUGUGAUAUUGCAUAGUAGUAUAAUUUGUAUGGUAUAAGUUUUAUAAUAAUAUAAGCUUAGAUAAUAUUGUUUUUUUUAAAGCAAAUGAGAUGAAUUUAGGAGUUUUAAGCUCUGAAAUUUGAAUGGGAUAAAUGUAUUGAUGUGGUUAAUUUAUGAAACAGGAAUUGUAAUGAAUGUGUUAUGAGCUAUGAUUUGUUCGGUAAUGCCUCAUAAUCCUAAUCUAGCGACGGAUACGAGUUAGGGUUGUUACAGUAGAUCAUCGGAAAGCUCGAACAGUUGGAAUCUUUGUCGGGGCACGAUCACACUAUCCAUCGAUCUACUUUGGUAGCUUUUGAAUAUAUUGAAAUGGUUAUAAGUGGCAUGUAUAGGGUUGUAUGGUAUUUUGGUAUGAUUUGAAUGUAAUAAGGUUUUAAGUUUUGAUUUGGUGAUUGGAUUGUUUUUGAAUGGUUCCAAGUCAUUUUUGUUUAUGUCUUUUGAUAAAGGUUUGUUAAUGGUGUGUAUUCAUAUGGGAUGAUAGUAGCUAUGCACACUCUCAUGUAGGUAAAAAGAAAAAGGUUGUUUGAUAUGUUUGUGAUAUGGUCAUUUGGUAUGCAUAAGGAAUGCUAAGUGAUGUAAAAUUAUAUUGUUGAAUAGGUUCAAAAUUUAUUGUAAUAGUGGUACCUAUUGUUGGAACAUUGGUUAGAACAUAUAGGAUGAUUGAUUUGGUAUAUUUUGAGCAAGUUUGGAAUAAGUUUUGGUUUUUUGAAUUCUUGUGGAAAUGGUGUGUAUUGAUGUGUAAGUUUUGGCUUGAUUUUAGCUUGAUUAAUGGAUUAAUUUGGAAGCACAUAGCCUGAGACACAGGCUGUCAUGCGGUCGUGUGGCACACACAGGUAUCCCUUACGGCCAUGUGUGCUUUGUUAGUUUUGGUGCAAGAUUCACACGGGCUUAGACACAGCCGUGUGUCUCAAGUCAGAGAGUUAUAUGGUCUAUGACACGGGCUGGGUCACGGCCGUAUGCCCCUACUUCGAAUGCUCACACGGUUUGAGCUGUGUCACACGGCCGUGUGACCACUGUUUUUUAAAUUUUCAAGUUUUUCCUAAAAUUUAUGUUUUGAUUCAUUUUGAUCCCUGAUUGCUUUUAAGUUAUUUUUAGGGCCCCGAAAGCCUGAUUUAAGGCCUAAAUAAGUAUGUAUGCUAAGAUUGGAAUGAAUUAUUGGUAAUUAUACUUAAGUUGAAUUAUUUGUUCAGAUUUAAAGUUAAAGGUUUCGUAUUGUACAAUAACGCUCUAUAACCCUAAUUUUUCGACGAAGAUGGGUUUAAGGGUGUUACACACACACACAUAUGCACAAUUGAUUCCAUGGCAUUAUACUAUAUCAUUUCGAUAUCUUUUAUUAAGCCGCAAACUCAAACCAAUUUCACAUAACUCAUUUUAUUACCAUAUUAUAUUGUCAAUCUAUUUCAUUACAUUUUGAAGUUUCUAAUUUCAAUUAUAAUAUCAUGAUCGAUGAAACCAUUCAUAAGUCCACAUCAUAUCCUGAAAUUAUUUUCAAUUACAUAUCAUACCCUAAAUUCGAUAGUAUUUGCAUACUCGUACCCUGUACACUUUUCUUAUCGUAUGACAAUGAUUUCAUUACAAUUCAAUCCAAUAUAUAUGUUCACAUUCAAUUUCAGAAUCACAAUUCAAUUCAUCAUCAACACAUAAAAUAUCAUGAUAAACAUGUCUUAUGAAUCAUCUUAAAUAUGAACAAAUAACUAGUUAGAAAUAUAUCAUAUUAACAUGUCAUUUCCCAAACUGGAUCGUUGAAUUCGUCACAAUUUCAUACCAAUCUUUCGGACUUAUAAAUCCAGUUUACAAAUUCCUUUCACAUUAACAAUUAUUUUCAUUAUAAUUAUAAAUUUUUACAUAUUAAAUCCUUAUUAACUUGACUCGGACACGAACGGAUACACAAAUCCAACCAACAUCGCAAUUUGGCACUCGGUGCCUCAUCGAAUAAUUUUCAAAGAAAAUAGAUUGUACCCAUCACUCAUCAGUAUGACCAAAGCGAAAAUUGUGCCCAACACUCAUCGACACAUAGUCAAAGUAACCAUUUGGCACUAGAACAUCCGAAGUAAUUAUUUUGUGUCCAACGCUCAUCGGUAUAACGAAAUAAAGGUUGUGCCUAGCACUCAUCAGAACGUUCGAAGUAAAAUGUGUCCCAUGCUCAUUGACAUAUAGUCGAAAUAACUCCACCCGAGCAGUUAAUAGGGUAAAAAUUUAUCCAAUUCCCUUAUAAGUUCAAUUCUCAUUCUAUCGAUAUCAAUAUCAUUAAUUUAUCACUCAUGAUAUCAUUUCAUACAUAACAUAGCAUACCAUCUCAAUUCCAAUCCAAUUUCACCAUUUCAUUUAGUUUUAAUAUUUUCACUUUUAUUCAAUUUAAUCCUUAAUCUCAAUUAUCAAUUAAAUUCACACCAAUGUAAUUUGAUCAAUCAUAAUAAACUCAAAUAAUCAUUUUCAAUUUACCUCAAUAUCAUACAUUGCAAAACAAAAUAAAUAGGUAACAAAUAUAAUGAUUCAAUUUAUAGAAAUACAAACAUAACAUGAAUUAACAUAAUAAGUUCCAUAUGAACUUACCUGGCAAAACAACAACCAAAUGAGCUUUUAAGGGCUAUUCGACAAUUUUUGCUUUUCCGCGAUUAGCCUUGAUUUGGUUCAAUUCUUGAUCUAUAAAAUAAUUCAGUUCAAUUUAUCAAUUCCAGACAUCUCAUAUCAUUCUAUUAUAAGCAUGUAUAAGUUCAAUUUCAUUUUUAAAUGUCCCUUAAAGUUUUUAAUUUUAUUCAAUUUAGUCGCUAAAACCGAAAUAGUCAUGUCUUUCAAAUUUGAGCUUCCUUUUACAAUCUGAUUUCAAUCUCAUCCUCUAUAACCUCUCUACUAUCUAUUUUUAUCAAAAUCUCAUAACAUCUUUACAAAUAAGUCACUUUAAUCCUUAUGUUACAAAACUAACAUUUAAACUUUAUAUAAGCUUAAAAUCUAUCAAUUUAAUACAAAAAAAAACUUUAAGAAAUCAACCUCUUAACACACGCACUUCACCCAGAAGACUGAUAUACCCUGUCACUUAGAAAUUUUCCAAGUUCUGGGAAUAUAGUUCUGCAUUCAUUGACCUCGCCCUCUGAGUGUUCUCUUUCAUGACAUUCCUGAUGUAAUACCCCGAAAAUUACUACAGUAAGAAAGUAAGAUAGUAUCCUUGAUAUAGUAAAAUAAAGAAAUAAAGUGACAGAAAGGAAAAUUUUGAUUUAUGUCAACAUUGGGAAGUAUAUUAGGACAUAUUAAGGCAAGAAAGGACUAAUUCGCAAAAGUGAGAAAAGUUUUGUUGCCCAAGAGUAAAUACUUAAAAUUUGAGGGGUUAAAGUGUAAAUAUGAAAAAGUUAAAAGAUCAAUAGUGCAAAUAUUUUAAGAUUGGAAUGAUCUAGAAACUAAGGAAAAUGGAUGAAUUAGGACCAAAUUGAAUAAGUGAAGAAUUAUGAGGGACUAAAUCGUAAUUUUACCAAAUUGAGUAAUGACUCAAGGAUGGAAUUUUAAAAGAUCAUGAAGGCUAAAAUGGUCAAUUAGAAGGAGAGAGAAAUCUAGAAGACAAUGAUGAUGUUGGUGAUAUUUUAGAUAAUUAAAUAAAUAAAUAUUAGUUUAUAAUAUCUUGAUUUGAUUUUUUUAAUGAUAUUUUAUUAUUUUAUUAUUUUAUUUAGCAUAAAUAUAUGUGGAAAGAAAGAUGAAAAACCACCAUCCCACCAUUUUUCCCAUGCACCAACGUGAGAAGAAGAGAGAAAGAAAGAAAGUUUUGCUUUCUUUACAAUUUGGUCUUUCCACCAAAAACUUACCAUUUUCACCUAGAAAUCAGAAGAAUUUCCAUAGCUACCAAGAGAGAAAAAUGUUAAGAAGACUAUAGGGAGUUAUAAUAUCAAGUUGAAUUCAAGAAAUAGAAGCUGGAGGAGUGAGAAAAAUCAAGUUAAAGAUUGAAAUCAAUAUGACAAGGUAAGAACAUCAAGAUUUUAAUAUAUUUUUAAGUUUGAUAUUAUUGAAAAUGUAUGGAAAUGAUGUUAAUGUAAAGUUUUCGUAUAUAUGGUCCUAUGUUCUUGAUAUGUUAGUGAAGAGAAAAUAAGUAAAAGUGAUGAGAAAUAGUGUAGAGAAAGGGAAAAAAAGGGUGUUAUAAACAUGGUAAUUAAUAUCUUGCACUAAAAUAGUUUUGGACAGUAGCAGUAGUCUAACUUUGAAAAAUCACCAAAAAUUGCAAAAAUCGAAUUAUAGGAUGAAUAAAAUAUGAAAUUAAAUUUUAUUGAGUCUAGUUUUUCAUAGAAGAAGCAAUGUAAGCAAUGGAAUUAUAAAUCAUGAGAUAUAAUAAAUUUUGUGAGACAAGGUCAGAAUGAUUUCGGGUUCCCCUAUUUUGAUUUUAGAAAAUCAUAAAAAAUUGGAGAAAAAUAAUUAGGGGCUUAAAUUCAUAUGUUUCAAAUCUUUAAUGAGUCUAUUUUUAAGAGAAACAAAUAGGAACAUCAUUCGAAUCCCGUACGAGGAGAUAAUUAAUUUUUAGUGAAAAAGGGUCCGAAUUGUCAAACAAUAGAACAGAGGGGACUUUAAAGAAUAAACUGUACUUAUUGGCAAAACCAAAACUUAUGAAAAUUUUAUGUAAAGAUAUAUGUGAGUCUAGUUUCAGAAAAAAAUUUCAGAUCCUAAUUUGGAGUUCUGUAGCUCAAGAUAAAAAUAAUUUAGUGACUAUGACACGGAUGGACAGCUUUGAAUAAAUUUAUAAGUAAAUAGUGAAAUAAUAGAUAAUGUUACUUAUAAGCAUGUUAUAUAAAUUAAGGAUGUGGAAUGGAGAGGAGGAGGAUGAGGAGGAGGAAAAUAUAUAUAUGAAUAUUCAACUAACAUGGCUAAUUUGCAUGAUUUAGGCUUAGGGACUAAAUUGAAUAAAAGAAAAACUUUAUGGGCAAUUUUGUAAAAAUUUCAAAAAUGACCAAAUUAUAUGAAACAAAUUGUUUUAUUAUUUAAAUUACAAAAUUAAAUGAAAUUAUUAAUUUAGAUCAAGAUCGGGUGAAAACAUGUUUUAGGGAUUAAAUUGAAAAGUGUUGAAAUUAUGGAAAAUUCUGAUAUUUCAUAGAAUUCAUGGGUUGCUAUCAAUAUGUAUGAGAAUAAUUAGGCUUGAAACAAGGAUUAAAUUACAAGAAUUUUAUUUUUCUGAGCCUAAGGAUAAAAUCGUCAUUAAUUAAAAGCUUAAGGGUAAAAUGGUAAUUUUUCCUAGAGCAUUAAUUGAAUGUAUCAGAAUAUGAAAUGAAUGAAAAUGAUGAUCAAAAUUAUUAAUAAAGAUCUGAAUGACUCAAAUAUGAGACUUGAACAUGGAAAAGAAAAUAUAUCAGAUUAGCGAAAUUAUAAACACGAACAAGCAACGAGGUAAGUCCGUGUAACCUGAAUUAUAUUCUUAAAUGCUUGAAAUGUAUGUUAUUGAUGUGAAUAUGAUUUAAAUGUUCAUUGUAUGAAAAUUUAUGAAACUUUGAAAUAUUCGAUAAAAAAGGGAAGAAAUCCCGGUUGAAUGGAAGGAAAAUUCGAUGGAUCUCUGAAAAGGAAUUGACGAUAAAAAGGAUCUAGCCCGGAUGGGUGAUCCUAUCUUGAUAUAGCCCUCUCGAAGAAUAUGUGUAAAAUGGAUUUAGCCCGGAUGGGUAAUCCGAAUUAGGGUCUGAAUUUAGCCUGGACUGGUAAUUCAGAUCCAAGCUCAUUAGAGUAAUUGUUGUUGCAGGGGAUUUAGCCUGGACUGGUAAUCCCGACAAUACUCUAUGAGUUUAUAUUACAGGGGAUUUAGCCUGGAUUGGUAAUCCCGCUGUAAGGAUGAGGCUCGCGGGAGUGUACUCUCUAAAAUGGAAAUGUGCGCAUAUGAAUAUAAAUUGACGGACCUGGUAUUGUACACUAAAAGUGUACCUUUGAAAGUCCAUCGAAAUUCUGAGAAAUUCAUCGGGAUAAUAUGGGAAAUAAUAGGGUAAUUAAGUGAAAAUUUAAAUCGAACGAAAUGAAUAAGUUGAGCCAUUGAAAGGAAACGUGAUUGUGGAAUAUAUUUGAAAAUGUGAAUUGAAUAUGAAAAUGUGAAUAGAAAGCAUGAACUAAGUGUUCAUAAGAUAAAUAAAGGCUCAAUGUAAGAGUAAAUGAUGUUAACAAAUGAAAACAAAAUUGAAUUGUAAAUAUUGAGCAAUGAAUUAUUAUAGGAAAUAUAUUAUCAAAUUUAAUACUGAUUUUGGAUUAAAUGCGGGAUUAAGUACAAUCGUUCUGUGGUAAAUGAUGAAUUGACGGAUAAGACCAUAACUGGGUUAUGGCAUUAUGAACAUAAGACGAUGGUUGGACCAUGACACUGUUUAUAUGUUCAAGACCAUAGUUGGACUAUGGCACAAAAGAACAAUGUACUCAUAUCUGUAAGUCGUUCUUCGAUUCAGAAAGAAACGGUAAAAGACUUAUGUGAUUGAAUUGAAAGAUUUAUAGAUUAUUAUUGGUAUUGAUCUGAAAUAAAUGUAUCCAUUGAUAUUUAAAUGAUAUAACGAGCAAAGUUCUGAUGUGAGAUAACAUUAGUUUGAAGUGAACUAUUACUGGUAUGUACGAGAAAUUCAUGAAAAUGAUGGUACAUGAAAUAUCGAAAUAAAGAAAUGAAUGAUAUAUGCCUAUGAAGAAACUGCAAGAGAAUGAUAUGUAUCAUUACAUGUAAAUAUAUGAUUAUCUUUAAUAUGUUGAUACAAGGAAAUUAUGUAUGAUGAGUUUAUAUGUAAUAUGUGCAAGUACGCUAACCAAUGUUGUUGCUUGAUGCUUAGGGAAGUGCCAAGCUAUUGGUUGAAUGGUAAUAUGUUUAAUUAUAAGAUGCAUUGAAAUGGUAAGUGCUCAAAUGAAAAUGUGCUUGUGUUCAUGAAAUGGUGGUAAGUUUAAAGUUAUGUAAUUUCUUAUGAAAAGGCUUAUUAUAUGAUUAAUUCUAAAAAUGCUAUGUUUAAAUGCAUUAGCUUGUGCCUAUGGUUGAAUGAUAUGUUUAUGGCUGGUGUGUUAUACAUAUGGAAUGAGUGUAGAAAGUAAAGAAAUGCAAAUGAAAAUAAUGAAAUUCGGAAGAGUAUAAAGUUGUUUAAAAUCCUAUUAUGCUAGGGAUAAUAUGUACAAGUGAUGAUGUGGAUUUAUUCACCUUGUGAGUUGUUGAAUAUAGCUUCAUGAGUAUUGUGGUAUUAAUAGUGGAUUAUUCUUGAUAUGUAUAGAUUUCAUAUUUGAAAUAAAAUAAUAUGAUUAAAGUCUAUACGAGCUUACUAAGCAUUUAUUGCUUAUGUAUUAGCUUUCUUCUACUUUUCAGAUUAUCGGAAGCUCGAUUAGGUUGGAAGCUUGUCGGAGACAUAUCACACUAUCCAUUGGUUCUAUUGGUAUGUUCCAAUGUUUGGAUUUUGGUUAUAAUGGCAUGAAUAGGUAUUUUGUUUAAUGAUGGUCUAUUUUUAUUCACAUGGGCAGAGACAUGGGCCUGUAUCCCCUACUUUUAAGAAAAUUUUUAAAAAGUUGGGAAAUGUUCGUAUUUAAUUCGUAAAGUUUAGUAAUGCUCCGUAACCUUGUUUUAGUAACGGAUAGGGGUUAGGAGUGUUACACCUGACACAUUCGACAUGCACGUGUCUUGCCUCCAACUGUUUUGCUUGUCUCAACCCCAUUUUUGGCAUCAAGGUUGCCAGUCUGUAAAACGUGACUAAGAAAAUUGAUGAAAUUGGCAAGUGACGUGUAUGCCUCAAGAUGGAAUUAAUGGCCUCAAAGAGGUUGGUCGUCAUAUGACCAUAUCGAUUCCCAUCAUCAAAACAUUUAGCCCAUUUCCACGGCUCCAUUCUACCAAACUAUUACCUGAGAGAAAGAUCGAACCCUUCCAUAUUAGUCUCUAACCUUGCCAGCUUAUGUCUGAAUUGAUGUGGUUCCAACUCGUACCCUAUAUAUGUAUUUUGAUAAAACACAUUACCACCCCUUUUAGUAAAUGGAUUUGAAUUAUUUAUAUAUAAAAAUUUAAAUACGAUAAUUUUACCCGUGUUCAUGAUUUGUUUGCGCUAGUCUUUGCUCUUAUACUCCUUGUGGAAGUUGACAACAUUGUGGCGAAUACAGUAGAUGGACCUCCAUGUAACAUCGUAUUGCCGAAUUACAGCAACAAGGUCCUUUGAUCUGUCGAAGACAAUGCAAAUGUUGUUUAUCCUGACAACAUGCCUCCACAAGUUUCUAAUGAAAAGUUCCCAUGAUUUGGAGUUCUUCGACUCCACGAGGGAGAAAACAAUAGGUAGUACAUUUUGGUUACUACCUUGCAUAACUGCAAUCAGAAGUAUCUGCGUGUAUUUUCCAUAAAGCCACGUUCCAUCAACCUGCACAAAUGGUUUGCAGUAGGAGAAGGCCCUAACAUAUGGAUCGAAAGUCUAGAACAAUCGGCGAAAAACUCUUCUCCCUGGUUCAAGUAGUUCAUUCGGGCCACUGUAAGGCAACGUUUGCAAGUCCACAACAGUUCUUAGGACGUACUACACCAUCAUUGAAAUCCACCCCUGAAGUUUAUUUAUGACUCAUCCCAAUCGCCGUACAAUUGCUACAUGGCCGUUUAUUUCGCCCACCAUGCUUUCUUGUACUACACUUUGUACUACAAUCAAUGUCGACACAAGAAUAGUUAUGCUUUCUUUCACUAGUGACAUGAUGCAGAUACUUUUUGCAUCGAAUUUCCAAUGGUCUUGAGUAAAUUAAUUAUAAAUUUAUAAUAAAUUAGUUUAGGGUUUAGGGUUUAGGGUUUUUAAGUAAAAACUCAAAUAAAUUAGGGUUUGGGGUUUACGGUUACUUAAUUAAAUUAUUUGUUAAUUUAAAGAAGCUCCGACAUGAACGCGCUUUUGCUACAGUGGCUCCUGAGAAAAUAAUUUCGAGUAGACGUUUCUGAGCAAACAGUGUCAAAAAUGCUUUAAGCAGGAUGCUUUGUCAGUAGAAGUACUGAAAAAAGCUCCCACGUGGACGCUCUUUUGUUACAGUAGCUCCUAAAAAAUAAUUUUGAGUAGACGUUUCUGAGCAAACAAUGUCAAAAACGCUUUAAGCAGGAUGCUUUGUCAGCAGAAGUACUGAAAAAAUCUUCCACUUGGACAUGCUUUUGCUACAGUAGUUGAACGUUAUUGUAAAAAACUUUGUAUUAUUUAUAUUUUGUUAAAUCGAAAAUUGCCUUAUUUAAAGCGUUAUUGUAAAGAAUUUCGAUUAUAUUAAAAAUAUUAAAGUAAAUUACAAUUACUUUAUUCAAAAUAUUUCCUUAUUUAAAAGAAUUUCUAUUAUAUUAAAAAUGUAAUAGUAAAUUUCUAUUUUAGUACAUGAAAUAAUAUAGAAGAAUUUCUAUUUUAUUACAUCAAAUAAUAUCAAAUUAUUCAAAAUGUUUGUACAAAUAUAUUAAAAUAAAAAUCAAUCUCUGUGCCCGCCGGAUUUAGUGCCACAAGGAGGCCGUCGACGGUUACGCGCUGGAUUCUUCCUUUGUCCAGUCUCCGGCGGGGGUUGUGGUUGCUCCGGCGGGGAUUCUAGUUCCUCCGGUAUGGUAUCUGGUUGUCGGUGUUGGGACGAUGAGUCACCUUGAUAGAAUAGUGACUGUGGAGGUGUUUGCAUCACCAAUAGCGAAGCUGUUUGAAACCCAUACGGUGACGGCGAUUGGUAAAAAGAAGAGCUCCCCGACGGCCCCUCUUGCGAUCCCUCGUGCGAUGUUGGCCUAUACAUCGGCGGUCCACUAAAUGAAGAUGAACCAGGACAUGGACUCCAACCUGCCAUAGGACUCGAAAAAGGAAACAUAUAAGGGUUAGGAUACAUAAAGGAGCUAAGAUACGUACCUGGCAUCAUCUGAAAAGGCUGUGCCGUGGGUAUCAUCGGGUGAACUGAUGGGUCGGGUGACUGUGUCGGUGCUCUCGCUGGCUUGGUGAUUGAAUGGCCGCUGAUGAUAGGCCGGGUGAAUGUUUGAGCCUCGUUGAUGGGCCUGCGUCGUCGUCCCUUCAUCUUGGAUUUAAAGGGUCACGUCGUUCCAUUUGGACACGUAAUUGCCGCUGCCUCUCCUCUGCUGACAGUAAAUACGGCUUGCCAUGGAUCCUAAACCAUGGCAUGUAUUCCGACAUGUACGCUAACUCAGGAACGAUGAUCGGUUCCCGAGUAGGUAUAUAAUCAUACCGAUCUUCCCACAUUUGGAUGUAGUGUGACUAGAAUCUCGGCCAAUCCGUAUGCAAUUACCGUAGGUCGAUUUUGUGAUGAUCAUCCAACACCUCAGGUGCCACGGGGAUCGGUUGUCGGAAUCCAAAUUGCCGUAAUACUCUGUCUGACUGGUGCAUCUCCACGGUCACAUAGUUGACCAACGCGACUUUCACUUGCCAAGCGUUUGGAUUUUGGAGGUACUCAUCCGAAAUUACUGCCCGAAUUGUCGGAUCCUCGUAUGGUGUCCAUUCAAACUAUAUGAACAUGAUGGAAAUAUUAGUUAUAUACAUAAUACAUAAUACUAAAUACUAAAUACCAAUCGACUAGCUCAUGAUGAAAAUAUCAAUUUUAUUUAAUACUUACUUGUGCUUCCGACUUUUGGUCUAAUAGAAGCCGUAUAUCUUUAAGACAGCUAGGUAAUCCAGCAUAACUUGCAGGAUGGUUCCACCUAAUUAAAUAAAUUUUUAGAAUACUAUUAUAUUUUAAAUCUACGUAAUAAUUGUAAAAUCUAAUAUAAAAUUUACCUUAUUAUGAGUGGGAAUGUUUAUGGGUGGUCCACUCGAGGACGUAAAAAUAGAAAGUGAAACCAUGCCCAUGACUGUAGUAGUGACAGGCAACCUCCGAUUUUCGCUUUAUUCGGUCACGUCGCCCCGCACAUCUCCCGGUAUAGUGUUGCCAACACGGUCGACCCCCAACUCAAUUCACCGGCUACUCUAAAAUCAACAAGUUUCAGCAGCCAUCUUAGAUGUACGAGGUUCCGUGACAAUUCUGGCAUCAGAUAGCCUCCAAUUAUCUGAAGAAUGUAUGCCCAAGCAUAGCAGAUUCUUUCUAGUUCAGUUGAAUCAUCAUCCAGAUCCGAGAAUGUGUCUCGUAACCAGCCCAUCUCGAUCCGACCCCUGUUAAUAUUUUUCGAAAUAGCGCCCAAAAGCUCGUAGCAUACCGCUCCCCAAUCGCCAGAUUGAAUAGACCCGGUGACUGGGUACCCGUCCACCGGCAAUCCCAAUUGCAGAUUCACAUCUUCCAAAAUGAUAGUGCACUUUCCACAUGGAAGAUGGAAUGUGUACGUCUCGGGUCUUCACCUCUCAAGCAACGCACUGAUAAAUUUCGGGUCCAACUUGCAUCCCUGGCCUACAGUCGCCACGUGCUAAAAACCCGCUUCCCGGAGGUAAUUCUCUAAUAACGGUGAUGGAGGACCAUGCAUAUUACGGAUAUAGCAUAGCAAUAUCUGAUCUACAGACUUUUAUAACAAAUAAUAAAUUAAUAAUUAUUUAAAAUUGCAUAAAUAAAAAAAUUAAAUAAUAUUUAAAAAUUAAAAUUAACACUUACCAUUUUCAUUUGUUCGACAGAUAUGUGCUUGUCAUAAAGAUGAAUCAAUUCUCCGGCCAUAGUUAAAUUCGUACAAAUUUUUACGAUUUAAAAAAAUUCAAAAAAAUAAAAUUUAAAUUUUUUUUAAAAAUAAUUAAAAAAUUAAAGCUCUUUUAAAUAGGGAUUUGAGAGAAAUUUGAAAGGAAAUUGAGAGCAAAUUGAGAUUAAAUAGGGAUUUGAGAGAAAUUUGAAAGCAAAUUGAGAGCAAAUUGAGAGGAAAUUAGAGAAGGAAUGAUUUAUUUGUGAAAAAAAAUGAAAGGGUGGAGGGGUUUUAUAGUUUUUUUUUUACCGUUGGGGGGUCACCAACGGUCAAAAACGUAGCCGUUGCUACUGUUCACGCGGCCAAAACGCGUCCCCAGUAGAGCGCUUACGUGGCAGGAAAACGCGUCCUUGAAGGCGCACUUUGUUGCCACGUAGGCAAAGCGCUUCCUUGAGGAAGCGUUUUCCUGCCACGUCCCCUGACAUCGCGCUAACGUGGACGCGCUUUCGGGGAAUUAGGCCAAUCCGAUAAUUAAUUUAUUAUCAGGCCCAUUUCGGUAAUUUUUUUAAAAUUGGGUUUUUUUUAGUGUUUUGCCCUAAAUGUUUCGUAUUAGUUUUAUAAUUUUAAAAUUAUCAAAGUUAUAUAAAAAUUUUAUUUUUAUAAUUUGUUUAUAAUUUUUAUGAUUUUUAAUAUUUUUAAAUUUUAAAAGCGUAAUUGAUUUUUUAAAAUUUGUUACUAAGGUCUUUUUGAUCCUUUAGUUUUAUUAGUUUAAAAAUUACUUCCAACAAAAGAGUAUGAGUCAAAUUGAAUAAAUGUGUAAAGGUUAAUUAUUGAAUUUGUUAUUAUGCCUUAUAUAUAAAUAUCAUAUUUUAAUAGAGAGGUGGCUUUGCUCACUCAUCUAGCAUAAAACGGCUAAUUUGCAAAUUUAUUCAGUAGAAAGGCUAAAAUUCAAUCCAAGAUAUAAUACAAGAGAUUUUGUGAUGAUUUUAUCAUAUUUAUAAUAAAAUUGAUAAAUACAGAUACAUAUUCAAAUAACUAUAAAAUAGAAUCAAAUUAGUCAACAUCCUCUAAAUCUAAUGACAAAAACAUUUAUGUCGUGACACAAGAGCUUAGGUUGAAUUACUAGCAACCCCAUCCUUACCCUCAAUUAUUAAAAAAAAAUAGAAUCAAAUUAUUUACAGAUGAAGAAUAAAAGUGGAUAUGUAGUGAAGGGUGAGUACUAGUUCAGCGUAAAAAUAUAUGGUACACUAUUUUUAAAAAAGGUAUAUGAUAAUUUUUUAAAACUGUUUGUAGUAAAAAAAAUACACCACACCGUACUUUUACUUUUUUUAAAAAAUUUAAAAUAGUUGGAUUUGGUUGCUUUUUAGAAUGCAAAAUUACCGAAAGGAAGUGUGGGAUACUUUGGAGGAUAAAUUUUUGAAAAGGAAGUUUGAGAUUCGAGUGCAACAAAAGGAACUCUUUUUGAACUAUGACCAUAAGAGGUAUUGGAAAAUCAUGGUUUCAAAUAAAAUUGGAGUGUCCGAAUAUCAGAUACUCUUAAGAGAGCUCUACAUUCUAUAUGAUGACAACAGAUUUGUUUCCCAUAAAAAAUAUAUCCCAUUUCUUCCAUCUUUCAAUUACAAAAUAAAUUAAACCUCAAAUUCAAUCUCUUGAUAAAAGCAUCAUUAAAGCUCUUAUGAUAGGAGUUAGAUUAUAUUUUACUUAAUGGAUCAAUUUGUUCUUUAUUCUAAUGUAUAACGGUUAAUUUACUUAUGUUUUGAGUAAAAGAGGCAAAAUGCAAUUCAACUCUUAAUACAAAUAUUUCUACGAUACUAUGGGGGAGUCCAUUUAGUGCUUACCGCGCAUGUUCCUAUGGCUUUUGCUAUGGAGGCUUUGGCAUGUUCUCAUGUCGUUCGCUUAGCUGCAGACCUCGGCCAGCAUAAGAUGACUUUUGAGGGGGAUUCACUUAGUGUUAUUCACAAGGCCUGCUGUCCUCUACACAACAUCUUAGCCAUCGAGGCUUACAUUUGGGAUGUGAAAGCGAUAGUUUCUUCCUUUCACCAUUGUUUGUUUGCUUAUAUUGCUCUCGAGGGUAAUACUCUAGCUCAUUUGCUGGCUACGAUGAGGCUGGUGGUUCUUUUUUUCUAAGCGGUGUCGUCCCUAGUUUUACUUCUCUCGCGGCGGAAUGGGAUCGACAGGAUAUCGAUUUGAACGAGAACGACGACUAAGGAGAUUUGUACAUAUCUUGUUCUUUAGAUGGGUCUUUGGCAAAGGAAUGUAAUAGGGUUCACUGUUUCGGUUGGCUUUCGGGGGAUCUGUUGAUCUAGGCAUCGUGGGGGUUGUCCGUGAUUAGUCGCUGUUGACGUUGGUCACCUCUUGUUCUUUACUCUAGCUAUUUGGCGAGCUUGGCGUUAUUUCACAUGGCUUUGGUUGCUAAGGGCCAUAGCUUGUUUUGUUGACAACUCCUUCUAGGAUUUGGAAUGCCUUUCUUUUAUUGGCUGGGAGCUGCUCAAACUGGGCUUUCUGUUUUAUUUUUGUUUGUUUUAGGUUUGGCCCGUCUGUUUUGCUUACUUUGUUUGGGUUUGUUGUUUCGACUUUAUUUGCUUUGUUUGUUGAUAAAAAGCCUAGUUUGAAUUAAAAAAAAAGUUAUUAAAGAAAAACGUGUAUAGUAUAAAAUGCGAUUAAAAAUAUUGAAUUGUUAAUGAAAAACACAUUUGAUGUAAAGUUUUUAUGACAUACUUUUAAUGCCGACUACAAAUGUGGAAGUCACACUAUGGGGGAGUCCGACCCAGAGGACCAACAUAUGGAAGAGCCCGACCCAAAGGACCAACCUUUGAACACACGCACUUCAUCUAGAAAUCCGAUAUACUCUGUCACUUAGAAAUUUUCCAAGUUCUAGGAAUAUAGUUCUGCAUUCAUUGACCUCGCCCUCUAAGUGUUCCCUUUCAUGACAUUCCUGACACCUUCGACAUGCACGUGUCUUACCUCUAACUAUUUUGCUUGUCUCAACCCCAUUUUUGGCAUCAAGGUUGCAAACCUGUAAAACAUAGCUAAAAAAAUUGAUGAAAUUCGCAAGUGACGUGUAUGCCUCAAGAUGGAAUUAACGACCUCAAAGAGGUUGGUCGUCAUAUGACCAUAUCGAUUCCCAUCAUCAAAACAUUUAGCCCAUUUCCACGGCUCUAUUCUACCCAACUAUUACCUGAAAGAAGGAUCGAACCCCUCCAUAUCAGUCUCUAACCUUACUAGCUUAUAUCUGAAUUGAUGUGGUUCCAACUCGUACCCUAUGUAUGUAUUUUGAUAAAACAAGUUACCAUCCCUUUUAGUAAAUGGAUUUGAAUUAGUUACAUAUACAAAUUUAAAUACAAUAUUUUUACCCGUGUUCACGAUUUGUUUACGCUAGUCUUUGUUCUUAUACUCCUUGUGGAAGUUGACAACGUUGUGGUGAAUGCACUAGAUGGACCUCCAUGGAACCUCGUAUUGCCAAAUUGCAGCAACAAGGCCCUUUGAUCUGUCGAAAACAAUGCAAAUGUUGUUUUUCCUGACAACAUGCCUCCACAAGUUCCUAAUGAAAAAUUCCCAUGAUUUGGAGUUCUUCGACUCCACGAUGGAGAAAAUAAUCGGUAGUACAUUUCGAUUACCGCCUUGUGCAACUGCAAUCAAAAGUAUCUACGUGUAUUUUCCAAAAAGCCACGUUCCAUCAACUUGCACAAGCGGUUUGAAGUAAGAGAAGGCCCUAACAUAUGGAUCGAAAGUCUAGAACAAUCAGCGAAAAAAUCUUCUCCCAAGUUCAAGUAGUUCAUUCGGGCCUCUGUAAGGCAACGUUUGCAAACCCACAACAGUUCUUAGGACGUACUACACCAUCAUUGAAAUCUGCCCCUAAAGUUUAUUGUAUGACUCAUCCCAAUCACCGUACAGUUGUUGUAUGACCAUUUCUAUUGCCCACCAUACUUUUCUGUACUACAUUUUGUACUGCAAUCAAUGUCGACACAAGAAUAGUUAUGUUUUCUUUCACUAGUGGCAUGAUACAGAUACUUUUGACAUCCAAUUUCCAGUGGACUUGAGUCAUACGUGUGACAGUGCAUGUAUGACUUCCUUCUCAUUUUUGUAUUUGCCACUGUUGAGUUAUCUGUAUAAAUGCAGCCCGAACUCACCAGCUACACCCAUCGCCAGCUCUCCAACAUUUCCCAACAUAUAAUGUCAAUGUAGACUUAGCGACCUUGUAAUUAAUCGACACCUUUAUGUUGUACUAUUUGAUGACAAACACAUAAUCUACCUUGUUCUUAAAUCAUUUCCCAACAAAUAAUUCUUUCAACUGCAAAUUUGAUGUCAAUUUGUGAGCAGUGACUAUAUCGGCAUACUCAAGGAACUCAGAUGCAUGCGUUGCAUUUGGAUCUACACUCAACAUGUCGUCCAAAGGUCAUUUCGUAAAACAAUGCCACGACUCAAGUUACUGAAAGAAGAGGCGUGAGCAUCUUCAACCUCUUUUAGGCCUUCAUCAUUGAUAUCGUUUGGAACCUCAUCAAUAUCGGUGUCACUAAAAUAUUCAACGUCCUGAUUAGAAUCUUCACCAUUAUUGGUCCUGUAAUGGCCCAAAUUCAAUUCUAUCGGAAUAGUGGUUUCGUAACCACAAAUCUGAUUUAAAGAGAAAUUUAUUUUAAUAUUUUUGCAUGAAUAUUGAUAUGAUAGGAAAAUCGUAUAAAAAUAUCGAUAGAAAAAUUUUACCGAUUUAGUGGUUAAUUAGAAAAAGAAAUUAUUGAAGAAAUUGGGUAAAAAUAAGGUACCAAGACCUCGAUCUCGUAAAAUCGAGUCAAAAACAUUUUUAUAAAUAUUUAUGAAGUGUUAGUAAUAUGGUAUUAAAAUUUCGUUAGAAAAUUUUAAUGUUUGGGUAGUCAAUUAAGUAAAAAGGACUAAAUUGAAAAAAGUGUAAAAGUUACUAGAGGGAUUAAAUAGCUCAAUUGUGAAAUGAGGAGGGACAUAAAUUGCAAAUAACCCCAAAAGAAGAUAUUUUGGGCGGCAUACGCUGAGAAAAAUUAGGAGAAUUGAAGAAAUAAGGGUAAAAUUGGAAUAUUAUAAAAUUUGCUUUAAAAGUUAGGACUAAAGUGGAAUUAUCUAGAUUUCUCUUUAUUUUUCUGCACUCUCAUCAGCCAAAAAACGUCCUAAGGGUUUCUUCAAGCUGGUUUUUCAUAAUUUUUGCACCAAGUGAGUUAAUUCCUGCCUUUUUCUUAUAAUUUUUGUGUUUCUAAGACUUUUACAACUAGGUCCUAUUACUAAAUUCAUUAGUUUUUGAUUUUAUGAAUGAAUUUGAAAGUUGAUAUGAAUAUGUUCUGGAAUUUUAUGAUGAAAUAGGAUGAAAUUGAAGCUUUAAUUUGUUUGUGAGAUGAUUUUAUUAGGUAAUUCCAAUAGAAAUUGAUUUGUAGGACCUAAUUGUGAAAAAGUUUGGAAUUAAAGUUUAGUGCUGAAAUUCUGAUUUCCAAAGGUUAUAAGGUAGUUUAAAGUGAUAUAAUAAAGUGUUUAUUGAGAAAAAUCAGCUCAAUUGAGAGGUUAAUUGAGCAGGGACGAAAUUAUCAUUGUUGAAAGUUUAAGGGAAAAAUGGUAAUUAACACCAUGCACUAAAACAGUUUUGGACAGCAGCAGUACUCUGACUUUGAAAAAUCACCAAAAAUUGUAGAGAUCGAAUUAGAGGGUGAAUAAAAUAUGAAAUUAAAGCUUAUUGAGUCUAGUUUCUUAUAAAAGAAACAGUGUAAGAAAUGGAAUUGUAAAUCAUCAGAUAUAAUAGAUUUUGUGAGACAAGGUCAGAAUGAAUUCGGGUUCCCCUGUUCUGACUUUGGAAAAUCAUUAAAAAUUGUAAAAAAAUUAUUAUGAGUUAUAAUUUAUAUGCUUAGAAUCCCUAAUGAGUCUAUUUUCUGAAGAAAUCCCUAAUGAGUCUAUUUUCUGAAGAAAUAAAGGAAAGCAUCAUCCUAAUUCUGUACAGUGAGAUAAUUAAUUUUUAGUGAAGAGGGGUCAGAACUGUCAUACAGUGAAACAGGGGAAACUUUAAGGAAUAAACUGUACUUAUUGGCUAAACCAAAAAUUCUUAAUUUUUUAUGGUAAGAAGAUAUUUGAGUCUAGUUUCAGGGAAAAUUAACGUAUCUUAAUUUGGAGUUCUGUAGCUCAAGAUAUAAAUAAUUUAGUGACUGUGACUCAGUGAGGCAGCUUUGAAUGCACUAUAAAUAAUAAUGGAAUUGUAGAGAAAGUUACAUAUGAACAUGAAAUGUAUUAGAUUAAUGAUUAAAUUUAUUUAUUUAGAUCCAGAAAAUUCAAAUACGAAGCAAGAUCGAGGAAAAGAAAAAGUUCGGGAUUAGUAGAUUUUUGUUUACGAACAAUUGUCAAGGUAAGUUCGUGUAACUUGAAUUAUAUUCAUAAAUGCUUGAAAUGUUUGUUAUUGAUGUGAAUAUGAUUUGAAUGUUCAUUGUAUGAAAAUUGAUGAAGUAUUGAUAUUCUUGAUGAAAAGAGAAAAUAAAUCCCGGUUGAAUGAAAGGAAAAUUCGAUGGAUCUCUGAAAAGGAAUUGACGGUAAAAAGGAUCUAGCCCGGACGGGUGAUCCUAUCCUGAUAUAGCCCUCCUGAAGAAUAUGUGGAAAAUGGAUUUAGCCCGGACGGGUAAUCCGAAUUAGGGUCUGAAUUUAGCCUGGACUGGUAAUUCAGAUCCAAGCUCAUUAGAGUAAUUGUCGUUGCAGGGGAUUUAGCCUGGACUGGUAAUCCCGCUGUAAGGAUGAGGUUCGCGGGAGUGUGCUCUCUAAAAUGGAAAUGUGCGCACAUGAAUAUGAAUUGACGGACCUGGAUUUGUACACUUAGGUGUAUCCCUGAAUAUCCAUCGAAAUUCCAAGUAGUUCAACGGGAUAAAUAUGGAAAAAUAACAAGGAAAUGGAAAUCCUGGAAUUGAUGAGCUCAUCAAUCAUUUAUCUUUGUAAUGAAUUUGUAUGAGGUUGAGUUUGUAUGUGAUAGGUGUAUGUUUAUGUGAAUUGGAUGUGUGCUUGUGUUAUUAAAUGAUGGAUGUAUAAGUAUGGUAAGUAUAAUUCCUGUUGCAUGAACUUACUAAGCACAAAGUGCUUACCCGGUUUCUUUUUCCCCUGUUUGUAGAGUUAAGAGCUCGGAAGUCGGAUUUGGUCAGAGACACAUCACACUAUCAAUCUCGAGAUCUCGGUACAUAAAGGAACUUUAUUUUGGAAAUCAAUGGCAUGUAUAAGCUAGUAAAUUAGAUGUUAAUGUGAAAUGAAUGUAUGGUUAGCCAUUGGUAUGGCUAACAAAUUUUGGUUUUAGUAUGUGAUGAAAUUAUCUUAUGAAUAUGAUAAAUCUAUCUUGAAAAAAAAAUUCGGUAAAAUCUGGUAAUGCCUCAUACUCUAUUUCGGCGACGAAUACGGGUAGGGGGUAUUACAGGUCCCUUUUCCGUCAUCAACCUCAAUACCUAUCACCUCCAGAUAUAAUUGUAGACAGGGACCAAGGGCAGGGUUGUUAUACAAACUCCCACCAUAAUUUUGAUUUUCAGGCAUCUACGAUGUCCCUUCGCAGUCUAACUGAUCUGCCCAUCCGAUAUUAAGAUCAAAGUCAAAUAUGCGAUGUUGACUUAUUGGACUAACAUUUUCAAUGGGCUAUAAGUCCGCUAACUCAGCAAAUAACUCAACCUGUUGGAGGUUGUAACGCCCCAAAAUUUCUAAUAAGUUAUUGUGAAAAUAUGACACAAAUAUAUGUCAGCUUUAGUAGUUAUGUUGAGUAUCUUGAUUUUAGGCCUUGAAGUGCUCGAGAGUGAUUAGGCAACAAAACGAUACCAAGUGUGUACUCGAAACACGAAAAUAAAGGAUUCGGUGAAAAGCCGGAAUUACUUGCUAUUUGGACAGCAACAGUACGCUAACUUUGAAAAAUCUCCAUAAAUUGUUGAAGUCAAAUUAGAGGAUGAAAAAAAAUAUGGAAUUAAAGCUUAUUGAGUUUAGUUUCUCAUAGAAGAAAUGGUGUAAGUAAUGGAAUUGUAAAUCGUGAGUUAUAAUAAACUUUGUGAGACAAGGUCUGAAUGAAUUCGGGUUCCCCUAUUCUGACUUUGGAAAAUUAUCAAAAAUUGGAGAAAAAUAAUUAGGGGUUAAAAUUUACAUGUUUAAAUUAUUAAUGAGUCUAGUUUCAAUAGAAAUAAAUGGAAACAUCAUCCAAAUUUUGUACUAAGAGAUAAUUAAUUUUUAGCAAAGAAGGAUCGAAGCUGUCAGACAGUAGAACAGUGGUAAGUUAGAAGAUUUUACUGUACUUUUUGGCUAAACCAAAAAUUCUGAAAAUUUUAUGGUAGAAAGUUAUUUGAGUCUAGUUUCAAAGACAUCAAGCAGUUUUUAAUUCAAAAUUCUGUAGCUCAAGAUAUAAAUAAUUUAGUAAUAGUGACUCAAGUAGACAGCUUUAAAGGAACAUAUAAGUAAAUAGUGAAAACAUAUAUGAAUAAUUAACUAGCACGGGUUACAUUAAAAAUGGAUCACGUGGCCAAGGCUAAUUUGGGUUAAAUGGGCCACAUGGGCAUGUGAGCCCAUUUUUCUGAAAAGUUCUUUACGGUUGCACGGGUUGCCUAAGUCGACUGUAGACCUACUGUAGGGUCGAUAAGCUUUACUUAGACUCCUAGAUGUGUGAUUUGUCUGUCUGAUUCCUAUAUCAAGUAUGACUUAUGAUACCUGAAUGUAUGUACUAUUAAUUGCAUAAUGGCAUGACAUAUUUUGUAUGUUGCAUUGCAUCGGGGUGGGUUGAUGUUACUUGGAGGGAGUGUCUGAAAUGUUAUUAAGCCUGUCAUCUCGCAGCUCAUCUGCAACCUUCUUAUUAUGUGCCACAUUUCGGGACAGCAUGGUGUGUAGGAAUGGGUGGGUUGAUUUAAUCCCUACAUGGUGUGUAGGGUUGGACGAAGAUGGUGUGUAGAGGCUAGUGGGUAGGAUUCUGAUUUAAUGGAUCUGCAUUAUGUAUUUGAUAUGGGCCAAGGCCCUAAUGUAUUUCUGAGUCUGUAUCUAAAUGGGCUAAAGCCCAAAUUGAUUCUGUGAUGGGCACAGGCCCCAGACUGUAUCUAACUGAAUUCUAUUGAAUAUCUGUAUACAUGUUUUCUGUGGGGAUUAUACACUGAGUUUAUAAAAACUCACCAUUUUUUGUUUAAUCUGUACAGGUAAUCCCCAAAUUUGACGGGUCAGUGCAGCGGAAGACUCGACGGUGGCCACAUGUAAAUUUUAGACUAUUUUCCGUUAAUGCCUAGAAUUUAUUACUUAUUUAGGGUUUUUGAUGUAAUUUGGACUAUGGACAGUUGGCUUUAAAUUUGGGAAUUUUUACUAUUUUUAUGGGUUUUUUUAAACUACAAUUCAACAAAACACGGUUUUUCUAAAAACUAUGGUUUUAGUAAAUACAAAUGAUUUUUCUUAAAUUAAUUGGUUACAAAAGCUUCUGCUAAGAGACAAGUUUUAAAGCAAAUCAACUAGUUUUUUUCCGAAUUAAAUAAUAGCUAACUUACUGUAAUGGUUUUUAAACUCAACAAUCUUGUCUUCAAAUCCCUUUCCAUGUGACAUCGCCAGAUUCGGCCAUAACGUCUAAGCUGGGUUUGGGGUGUUACAUUUAGUGGUAUCAGAGCCAGGUUGUAAAACUCGGCUGUGGAUUUGGAUUUUAAAACUUGGUUUUAAGGAGAUUAUUUUUAAAUAGUUUGAAAUAGUUUAGACUGAGUAUGUGGCACACCAAGUCUCCAGCGUCGAUUUUGUAAGUGUUCUAAAAACUCUGAUAAGUUUUUUGAAAAUAUGAUUAGCAUAUUCUAAAACUACUAUAGGUAGUACAUUGUACUGAAAACAUUGUAGAUAGUAUAUACUGAAAACAGUAGUGAAACUAAAAACUGUAGUAAGAUUGUAAUUUUUGAUAACAAACUCUAAACUUCUAAUACUGUUUCGCAUAAAAUAUCUACUAAUAAAUAUCGAAACUGUAACUAAUUUAUAAAACUAUUAACACAGAUAGGCUACAAAUUCUACGAUGAGUGCACGAGGCAUCCACGAAUGGGGUAUUAGAGGCCUAGGUAGAGGCCGUAGAGGGGCUCGAGCUGAGUCCUCGUUGUUAGGCAGCAUGGCGAAUCUGGAUACUAGUGUGAGCCGAUUUCACCUGCUACAGAUACUGGGUCUCCUGAUCGCAUAGCCAGGGACGACGCCAUGUCUCAGGUUAUGCUAGGGAUAUUAGAGUGGGUCACUGGACCUAACACUGGAUCUGAGAUCCGAGGGUCAGUUACAGAACGACUUCGGUCUAAUGGGGCUGAGCUAUUCAGGGGUAUCAUUAUAGUCGUCCCUAGCUUGACCGAGUACUAGAUCGAGGCCAGGGAAAGAAUCAUGGAUGAUCUAGACUUUACCCCUGAACAGAAAUUGAAAGGGGUUGUUUCUUUGCUUCGCGAUGAAGCAUACCAAUGGUGGCUAACCGUUAAGGAGGGCACUCAGCCCGAAUGACUGAUAUGGGAUUUUUAUAAGUCUACUUUCUGAGGUAAAUAUGUGGGGGCAAGCUACAUUGACACUAGAAGAUGUGAGUUUCUAAAUCUCACGCAAGGGGGUCGUUCAAUGGUUGAGUAUGAGGUCAAGUUUCUAAGAUUGAGUCGCUAUGCACGAGGAAUGGUGACGACUGAAUAUGAGCAUUGUGUCCGCUUCGAGGAUGGACUCAGGGACAUGUUGAGUGUUUUGUUAGCUCCGCAGAGGGAGCGUGAGUACUAGUAGAGAAGGCAAAGAUCGCCGAGGAGGUGAAGUGCGCUGAGCGCCAAAACCAGGAUAAGGAGAGAGGCAAGAAUAGAAGGGAUUCAGAGCCCUCGAGUUCUGCGAUGAGACCUAAGAAAAAGGUCAGAUCUGGAGGGCCAGUUACAGUUGGGGCCCCUAUUGCAUCUACUGGGAUCACGCUUUGUGGGCAUUGUGGAAGACACUAUCCGGGCGAAUGUUGGAGGACGAUUGGGGCUUGUUUAAGAUGUUAGUCUACUAAACACCGUGUCCGAGAGUGUCUGUUGAGGGCUUAUCAGGUGCAAGCUGUGAGUUCUAGUACUACACCAUUGAGGGUAGUUCAACAACCGCCUAGGGUCGUGGUCAAGCUAGGGGUGGUAAUGGUAUUGGUCGUGGGCAGAGAGCAUCGAGCAGAGGUGCUGGCCAGGCUGAGGUGAGAUAACUGUCCCUAGUUUAUGCUGCUCGCCGUCGAGAGGAUAGAGAUGCUCCAGACGUCAUCACAGGUAUGUUUCUUAUUUUUUAUGUGACUUACACUACAUUGAUAGAUAUAGGAUCUACGUAUUCCUAUGUUGCCUGUUCUGUUUCCAAAAACCUAGGGAUUCCGGUUGAGAGUACUUCUAGUGAGGUGAGGGUAAUCUGUUAGAGUUAGAAAACUGUACAAGGAUGUUCCUUUAAAGGUUCAAGGGACGGUAUUUCUGGCUAAUUUGAUGGAGCUUCCGUUUGGGGAGUUCGAUAUGAUUUUGGGGAUAGACUGGUUGGUCAAACAUCGUGUCAAUUUGGACUGUGCGACUAAAAGGGUCGUAUUGAGAACUGAUGAGGGUAAUGAAGUAGUUGUGAUUGGGGAACGUCGAAAUUACUUUGCUAAUGUGAUCUCUGCACUGGUAGCUGAAAAACUGGUUCGCAAGGGAUGUGAGGCGUAUUUGGCCUAAGUAAGCGUUUCUGUUUCUAGGGACUCUACUGUAAAGGAUAUCAAAACUAUGAGGGAUUUUCUGGAUGUCUUUUUUGAGGAGCUACCGGGUUUACCUCUGAAUCUGGAAGUGGAGUUUGGGAUUGAACUUUUCCCUGGUAUAGCUCCGGUGUCUAUCGCUCCCUAUCGAAUGGCACCAAAGGAGCUUACGGAGAUCAAGGCUCAAAUUCAGGAGUUAUUGGAUCGUGGGUUUAUCCGCCCUAGUGUGUUCCCGUGGGGAGCAUCGGUACUAUUUGUUAAGAAAAAGAAUGGAUCCAUGAGGAUGUAUAUCGACUACCGAUAACUAAAUAAGUUGACUAUUAAGAACAAGUAUCCACUUCCGAGGAUUGAUGAUUUGUUUGACCAGUUCUGAGAGGCGCUUGUGUUCUCUAAAAUUAACUUGCAUUCUGGGUAUCAUCAGUUGAGGGUUAAGGAGGCUGAUGUGCAUAAGAUGGCAUUUAAGACUCGUUAUGGUCACUAUGAGUUCCUAGUGGUGCCAUUUGGACUGACUAAUGACCGGUAACUUUAAUAGAUCUGAUGAAUCGAGUGUUUCUGCCCUACCUGGAUCGAUUUGUAGUGGUGUUCAUCGAUGACAUAUUGGUUUAUUCGAGGACUGAGGAUGAGCAUGAUGAGCACCUUAGGAUUGCUAUUCAGAUUUUGAGGGAAAAAUAGCUCUAUGCUAAGUUCAGCAAGUGCGAGUUCUGGUUACGUGAAGUAACAUUUCUGGGUUAUGUGGUGUCUGCUGAAGGGAUUCGAGUUGAUCCUCGAAAAAUUAAGGUUGUAUUGGAUUGGAAACAACCUAAGAAUGUGUUUGAGAUUUGCAGCUUUUUGGAGCUAGCAGGUUAUUAUCGACGUUUUGUGGAAGGGUUCUCCUUGAUCGCAGCAUCAUUGACUAAGCUUCUGCGUAAGGGAGUUCCAUUUGUCUAGACUGAUAUGCAAAAAGAGAGCUUCGAGAAGUUCAAGGCUGUUCUGACUCAGGCUCCUGUUCUGAUACAGCCUGAGCCCGGUAAGGACUUUGUGGUUUACAGUGAUGCUUCACAUGUCAGAUUGGGGUGUGGAUUGAUGCAGGAUGGCAAGGUGAUAGUAUAUGCAUUUCGUCAGCUCAAAACUUAUGAAGCGAGCUAUUCGAUGCACGAUUUGGAGUUGGCCGCCAUUGUCUUUGCAUUGAAAAUCUGGAGGCAUUAUCUGUACGGUGAGAAGUGUAUUAUCUACACUGAUCAUAAAAGCCUCAAGUAUCUCCUCACUCAGAAGGAUUUAAAUCUUAGGCAGCGUAGAUGGGUUGAGCUACUUAAGGAUUAUGAUUGUACCAUUGAGUAUCAUCCCGUCUAGGCCAAUAUGGUGGCUGAUGCGUUGAGCCGUAGAGCUAUGACCGAUCUGAGAGCGAUGUUCACUCGACUUAGCCUAUUCAAUGAUGGAAGUCUGUUGGCAGAACUUUAGGUCAAACCGACAUGGAUUGAACAUAUUCGAGGUAAACAGUUGGGGGAUAAGUCUCUUAGGUUACGUUUUCAUCAGGUUGAGAAUGGUGGCACUACUAAUUUUGGGAUAAACAGUGAUGGGGUACAUUAUUUCCUCGAUCGAAUUCGUGUACGAAAUUAUGAGUAUUUAAGGCAGUCGAUUCUGAGAAAAGCGCAUGGUAGUCCCAAUACUAUGUAUCCCGACAGAAACAAGAUGUACCGAGAUCUUCAAGAAUUGUACUGGUGGCCAAGGUUGAAGCAUGAGGUUACUGACUUCGUUGCUCGUUGUUUGACUUGUCAGCAGGUUAAGGCUAAGCAUCAAUUACUUUCGGGUUUGCUGCAGUUGGUUAAGAUACCAUUAUUGAAAUGGGAGCGAGUAACGAUAGACUUCGUUAGUGGGUUGCCUCUAACACCCACAAAGAAGGAUUUUGUCUGGGCCAUCGUGGAUCGAUUGACCAAGCCUGCUCACUUCAUCCUAGUAAGGAUAGACUUUUCUCUUCAGAAAUUAGCUAAACUCUACAUAUCAAAAAUAGUGAGGCUGCAUGGGGUACCUAUCUCGAUCAUUUCCGAUAGGGAUUCUCAUUUCACGUCUCGGUUCUAGAAGAAGCUUCAUGAGGCUCUGGGUUUAAGAUUAGACUUCAGUACUGCUUUCCAUCCUCAGACAGAUAGUCAAUCGGAGUGGGUGAUUCAGAUACGGGAAGACAUGUUGAGGAGCUGUGUUAUUGAUUUUCGAGGCAGUUGGGAAGAGUACUUAUCGUUAGCGGAGUUUGCCUACAAUAAUAGCUUCCAGUCUGACAUCCAGAUGGCACCUUACUAGGCACUGUACGAUCGUAAGUAUCGCACUCCUUUAUGUUGGACUGAGUUGGGUGAGCGACAUGUUUUGGGUCCUAAAUUGGUGUCCGAGACUAAAGAUAAGGUUAGACUGAUUCGAGAUCAUCUAAUAGCGGCUUCUGACAAGCAGAAGUCCUAUGCAGAUCAGAAGAGUAAGAAUAUCGAGUUUACAGUGAGGGACUUAGUUUUUCUCAAGGUCUCGCCAUGAAAAAAGGUUCUAAGGUUCGGUCGCAAGGACAAGCUGAUCCCCCGGUUUAUUGGACCUUACCACAAUCUGAAAUGUGUGGGACCUGUCACUUAUCAGUUGGAGUUACCUUCGGAGUUGGACAAUAUUUAUGAUGUUUUUCACGUCUCGAUAUUGAUGCGCUACUGCUCUGAUCCCACGCAUGUUGUUUCUGUUGAGGAGAUUGAGGUUAGGCCAGACUUGACCUUCGAAGAGGAGCCAGUUCAGAUUCUGGAGCGUGAUGUAAAGGUCCUUUGGAAAAAGUCUCUUCCCUUAGUGAAAGUUCUGUAGCAUAAUCAUAGCACUGAGGAGACUACGUGAGAGCCUGAGGAUGCGAUACGUCAGCAAUAUCCUCAUAUGUUCUUAUCAGGUAAAAUUUAGAGGACGGAAUUUUCUUUUAGGGGGUAGAGUUGUAACGCCCCAAAAUUUUUAAUUUCAUUAUUGUGAAAAUAUGAGAAAAAAAUCUGUCAGCUUUAGUGGUUAUAUGUUCUAGGAGUGUUUGGAUGGUCCCAAGUUCAAGCCUUCGCUUGGGCAAAUUUUGGUAUUUUGAAUGAAUUAGGCCUUACUCUUGUUCAGUAGGUUUUUAUUUGAUUGUUGGGUAAAUUACAUCAGAAUGGGCUUGCUGGUUUGGUGGUUAAAUGGUGUGUUAUUAUGGUAGAGGUCUUGUGUUCGAAUCCCUAUGCAGGCAAGGGUAUUAUUUUUGCUCAGAUUUUGGGAUAGAGUUGUAUAAUAGGGGGAUUCUGAGUAGUGGAUAUGUAGUGGGAAUUAGGGGAGAAGAUUAAGGGAUUUUGAGGGUUAUCGAGAUUUUAUUUUAUUUUAUUUCCCCAUAACCGAAUUUUGACUCUCUUUUUCAAAAAAAAUUAUGCCGUCUAUUCUUCUCCCUCUCCUCUUGCCUAAAUUCUCUAAGUUUUUCCAUCUUUCUCUUCUUUUUCUUCUUCUUGAUUUUUCCCUAAUCCAUUUAUUUUCUUUCGUUUUCGUACGUGGUUAGUGCUCGCUUAGUUUCAGUAAGUGUUUCUCUUUGUUUCUGUCAUGAAUCUUUUAAUGACUGAAGUGGUAAUGUUUUUCUCUACGAUUUGAGCGUAGGGGGAGGCUCGAAUUGGUGAAUUCAGUGUUCUCGUCUUAACAAUAGUUAAACGGAGUGUUAUCAUUGGUGGUAAGUUGGGUUUCUGUUCGUUCUUGGCUGUCAAUUCGCUUGUAAAUCCAUUAAAUUGAUGUUGAGUAUCUUGAUUUUAGGCCUUGAAGUGCUCAGGAGUGAUUAGGUAUCAAAAUGAUACCAGGUGUGUACCCGAAACGCAAAAAUAAGAGAUUCAACAAAAAACCAAAAUUGCUUGCUAUUUGGACAGUAACAGUAGGCUAACUUUGAAAAAUAUCCAUAAAUUGUGGAAAUCGAAUUAUAGGAUGGAAAAAAUAUGAAAUUAAAUCUUAUUGAGUCUAGUUUCUUGUAGAAGAAACGGUGUAAGUAAUGGAAUUGUAAAUCGUGAGUUAUAAUAAACUUUGUGAGACAAGGUCAGAAUGAAUUCGGGUUUCCUUGUUCUGACUUUGGAAAAUUAUCAAAAAUUGGAGAAAAAUAAUUAGGGGUUAAAAUUUACAUGUUUAAAUUAUUAAUGAGUCUAUUUUCAAUAAAAACAAAUGGAAACAUCAUUCAAAUUUUGUACUAAGAGAUAAUUAAUUUUUAGCAAAGAAGGGUCGAAGCUGUCAGACAGCAGAAUAGGGGUAAGUUCGAAGAUUUUACUGUACUUUUUGGCUGAACCAAAAAUUUUAAAAAUUUUAUGGCAGAAAGUUAUUUGAGUCUAUUUAAUUCAAAAUUCUGUAGCUCAAGAUAUAAAUAAUUUAGUAACAGUUAUUGAAGUAAACAGCUUUGAAGGAACAUAUAAGUAAAUAGUGAAAACAUAUAUGAAUAAUUAACUAGCAUGGGUUACAUUAAAAAUGGAUCACGUGGCCAAGGCCAAUCUGGGCCGAGUGGGCCACAUGGACAUGUGAGCCCAUUUUUUUGAGAAGUUCACAAAAAUGGUGGUGCCAAACUGUAUCGCUCCACCAAAAAAGGAUUAUUUUUCUAAAUACCCCAAUUUUUCAGAAAUAGUAAUAUUUCUCUAAUAUUUAUACAGGUGGCGUUAUUCUACAUGACUCCACCAAAAAAAUGAAUAUUUUUUAUUUAGUUUGCUGAUAUGGCAUGUUGUUGGUGCCAAACUCUCCAAACUUAUUUUGGGCCUAAUAUUAUUAUCUAAACAUGCCAAAUUUCUCGGUGAACAUUCAAGUUUGAAUGAAUAAUCCAAUCCUUAAACAAAUCUACUAUUCAUAACUUCUAAUCCUUAAACAAAUUUACAUUCAAACCCAAAAAAUCUAAAUUAUUACGAUAACUAAGGUUCCAACGAGUUUUGUCGAUAUCCUUAAUCCAGUUUAUAUAAUUAAAAAGAUAUAAUGAUUUUUUUGGCUCUCCAACUUUCUAAAAAAGUAAUUUUGACCCUCUAUUUAUAUUUUGUCUUUUAGUCCUUAAACUUGUAAUUUUUUAUCAAAUCACCCCAAAAUGGGUGGAAAAGUUAAUGUUUGGUACCUUUGCUAAUGUGACAUACACGUGGAUAACAUGCCAAUAUUUAAUUAUUUUUUUAAAAUUAAAAACAUAAAAAAUUACAUUUUUAUAUUUUUAACCAUUUAAUUUUAGAAAUAAUUUUUAAAAUUUUAAAAAAUUAAUUUAAUGCUGACAUGUCAUUCACGUGGCAAUCCACGUGUAUGCUACGUUAGCAAAGUUACAAAUGUUACUUUUUCAAUCUAUUUUGAGGUGACUUGAUAAAAAAAUACAAAUUUAGAGGUUAGAAUAAGGGCAUAGCUAGGGGCUGGCAGGGGCCUUAACCCUCUAAAAUGAAAAAUUUUCUACUUAGACUCUUUAAAAUCUUAAAAUUUAUAUUUAAAUUAAUAAAGGUAAAAUUAUCCUUUGGUCCGCUUAAAAAUGAUAAAAUUUUAAUUUAAUCCUUUAAAAAUUAUAAAGAUAUAAACUAUUAAAAUGAUAAAAUUAUAUUUUUAUUAUCGUAAAAAUUAUAAUUUAAUUUUGCCCCAAUAAAAAUUUUCUAGCUUCGUCUCAUAUUAGAAAGGGUGAAAAGUUAAAUAAAAGGAUAAAAAGGAUAAAAUGACUUUUUUUUUUUGGUAAUGUUAAAGGAUGAUUAUGUGAAUUAAAAAAAUAUUACACCGAUGUAAAAAUUUAAUUCUCAAAUAUUCUAAAUUUUAAUUACUAUCUUAUCUAUGAUGUUUCCUACAAAGUUCAAAAUUAUGGGGUAUGGGUCGAUUUAAUUACAAUCUUAUCUAUGAUGUUUCAUACAAAGUUCAAAAUUAUAGGGUAUGGGUCGAUUUCACGUCACAAAUCUUAAGCAAAAAGUUGGCAGCAGUCCCCAUAAUGUAUCCAAGAUUCAAGGGUGAUCCACACAAUAAUCAAAAGUGAAUCAGAGCCACCAAUUCCCAAUCAUAUGAAAUCAGGCCAGACCCUAAAUUCGAUUUCUACCAUUGAUUUAUACUGAAUCACCCGAUAUUACGGACCCUAUGUGUCUUAAACCAACAGAAGGUGGCAUUAUCUGCCGUCCUACCGCCCCUUAAAACCAUCCACCUGUCCCCCUGCCUGCCCCUUGCGUGGACAUCUAAGUAGCCUUACAAACAAAACACUAAAUCCUCUUAUCCUAUGUCUUAAGCCGAAAGGAUCGGACGCGUGAAUGUUCCCUUCUAAACAUGUGCCUCUAUCUCAUUCAGUAUCCUAUUUUUUAGUCCCUCACUCUAAAAACACGCGUUCACAACACCUAUUUAAUCUAACCGUCCAUUCUCACGUGAGUCCAGCAAUCGUAGGUGUUGCCUCCUGGAUCGCCCCUCCUCUCGCCAUGUAACGAAAAGGACACAUGUCGAGAAGCUAAUAAAUUACAAAAUUUCAACAUAAACCAUGAAAUAUUUUGUUCUAAGUUUCUAAAAACUCAAAAAUUAGAAGGAAAAGACUUAAAUUAACUUACCAAAUGAGCUUGGAACCUCAAAACCUAAAUUUUCCCUUUUUCUUUCUUUCUUUCCUUCUUUCCUUUUCUGUUUCGUUUGCCUAUUCUGUUUCUAUUUCUCUUUUUCUAUCUUUUAUUUCUUUUAUUUAAUUAGUUUAAUAUAAUAACAAUAAAAUAAUAAUAUAAUAUUAUUUACUUAAAUAAUAAGUAAAUAUUUAAUAAUUACUAAUAAAUGUAUUUCAUUUUUCCACAUGUCAUCAUAUGUAUCAUACAUUUGUCAACUUUUUUCUUUAUUUAAAAUAAAAUAAAAUAAUAUAAUAUAUAAAUAUCUUUUACUUAAUUAAUAAGUAUGUAUAUAUAUUAAUUACAAAUGUAUACAUAUAUUUAUUACACAUGUAUUUAUAAUUAUCACACACUUGUCACUUUUUAUGGUUUAAAUAUUAGUUUAGUCCUUUCAUCUUUCUCUAUUCUAUAAUUAACUUUCACACUUAAUUCAAUUUUAGUCCUAAUACUCAAUUAACUUUAAUUCAACUAAAUUCACUUAACUAAAAUUCGAUUGAUCAUGUAACUAACUCUAUAAAUAUUUUAAAUAAUUAUUUACGAGUCUAUUCUACUAAAAUAGAGACUAGAUAAUUCACUUUUCAAUGCCUACAUUUUUUAAGUCAUUAUAUGGAUGUCCCCUUCUCUUGCCACAUAGCGAAAAUGACACGUGUCGAGAAACUAACGGGUUUUUAGAAUUAAUCCUUUUAAAUUUCGUUUCUAUAAAUACUUCAUCUCACAACGCGUUCAACCCUCAGCACACAUUCAAAGCCGGAAACAUCCCCAACUGAAUAAAUUUACGCAAAACAAAAAGGAAAGAAAAGGGUGUAAGAUUCAUUUCCUUUUUUCUUCUCAUCUCUGACAGGUAAUCGGAAAAGGCAAACAGUUCGAAUAAAUAGAAAAUGGCGUUGAAUUUGGCGCAUCAGAUUGGUUCUCUAGCCGGGACACAAAUUGCAGCUGAAGUCACCACCGGAGAACAAUCAUCCUCAGCGACGGCUGAUGUGUCGGGAUUUCGGAAAGUUCCAUUGGCAAAUCUCCGAUGCAACGCCCCAGGAGAAGCUCUGUCCCCUCCAAUGUUAACUCCACCGUUGACGCCGCGAAGCGCGGCAAACAGGUCGGCUAUGAUGAGUCUGUCGCUGCGUCCGGAUCUGUCCGCCGUUUGCCAGGCUUUCGGGACGUUAUCACCGCUGGAGACGGCUGAGGAGUCAUCGGCGUCGGUGGCGUGGAAGGAGGGAGGGAAGAAAGAGGAGAAGAAAGGGGUUCCGGUUUACGUGAUGAUGCCGUUGGAUAGCGUGACGAACGGGAAUACGGUGAAUAGAAAGAAGGCGAUGAAUGCGAGUCUCCACGCGCUGAAAAGCGCGGGAGUGGAGGGGAUAAUGAUUGACGUUUGGUGGGGUCUGGUGGAGAGGGAAGCGCCGGGUGCUUACAAUUGGGGUGGCUACGCGGAGCUUCUCGAGAUGGCUAAGAAGCAUGGCCUUAAAGUCCAGGCUGUCAUGUCAUUCCAUCAGUGUGGGGGCAACGUCGGUGACUCUUGCACGUUCGUAUCUCCUCCUUACCUCUCUUUACUGUUUAACUUUUAAAAUUUAAACCCUUCUUUUUCUUCAAGAUCCCGUUACUCAGCUUAUGUAAAUUUUAUUUAAAAAAAUAGUAAUUUUAAAUUAAUUUUUGUGGGGAUGGGAUCCCUUUUUGAAAAUCAAGAAGAAAGAAAGUUUACACGUUUGAUUAAUUAUUGAUUACAAGUCAAUCAUUUGCUUAUUUUUGAAUUUGAAAGAGACGAUCAGAUGAACCAACGUUUUUAAAAAAAAAAUUUAGAUGAAGGGAUAACGUAAGCUUUCAUUGCAUCUUUUUACAAAAGUUGGGUAAAAAGGGGACCGAAAGAAAUUAAAUUUGAAGAUAGAUAUNNNNNNNNNNNNNNNNNNNNNNNNNNNNNNNNNNNNNNNNNNNNNNNNNNNNNNNNNNNNNNNNNNNNNNNNNNNNNNNNNNNNNNNNNNNNNNNNNNNNGAACCUAUUUUAGAAGUUCAUGAAUCAGAACAAUUUUUUUUGACGGAGGGUACGGUGGUAGCUUUCAUUUCUCUCCAUCUCUCCAGGCAGGGAAUAUGGGGUUUGUAUGGAAAUUUUCAUAAGCCCCCAUACGGUGGUCCAAAUCCUGUAUUUUUUAUCUAAAUCUUUAUUGAAUCAAAUACUGGGAUGUAUUGAUUUGAUGUUAUGGAGCUACUCUUUUAAAAAGAAAAAUAUGGUUGUUUUUGUACAGUAUUCCUUUGCCCAAGUGGGUUACAGGGGAGAUCGAGAAGGACCCAGACCUCGCAUACACUGAUCAAUGGGGAAGAAGGAACUACGAAUACCUUUCACUUGGUUGCGAUACCCUUCCUGUCUUGAAAGGCCGUACGCCUGUUCAGUGUUAUGCUGAUUUCAUGCGUGCCUUUAGGGACAAUUUCAAACACCUCCUUGGUGAUACCAUUGUGGUAAUUCUUCUAAUUUACUAAUAAUUGUUGAUCCCAUUUUGUCUCAUCCUCUUUGAAGAAUUCAACUGCUAAGGAAUUACCAUUAUUUUUCACUACAGGAAAUCCAAGUCGGAAUGGGUCCGGCAGGUGAGCUUCGGUACCCUUCGUACCCGGAGGCGAAUGGGACAUGGAAGUUCCCUGGAAUUGGAGCCUUCCAAUGUUAUGAUAAGGUACCCUGACAUUGCACUGCUCUCUCUUGUUUCUAUUUCAGAUUAGGUUCUGUUUUGGUGUUAAUAAUACGGAUGUUAUUUGAUGCAGUAUAUGCUUAGCAGCCUAAAAGCAGCGGCUGAAGCGGCGGGUAAGCCAGAAUGGGGUAGCACUGGCCCAACUGAUGCUGGUCACUACAACAAUUGGCCAGAAGAUACGCCUUUUUUCAAGAAAGAAGGUGGUGGUUGGAAUACUCCAUAUGGUGAAUUCUUCCUUACCUGGUACUCUCAGAUGCUGUUAGAACAUGGGGCGAGAAUUCUAUCGUCCGCAACAUCGAUUUUUGACGGUGCAGGUGUGAAGAUCUCUGUGAAAGUUGCGGGAAUCCACUGGCAUUAUGGAACCCGAUCCCAUGCUCCUGAACUCACAGCUGGGUACUAUAACACAAGGUUCCGAGAUGGUUACCUCCCGAUCGCUCAAAUGCUAGCACGUCAUGGUGCCAUUUUCAACUUCACUUGCAUAGAGAUGCGGGAUCAUGAGCAGCCCCAAGAUGCCUUGUGUGCACCUGAGAAGCUAGUGAAGCAAGUUGCUUUAGCAACAGGAGCAGCACAAGUUCCACUUGCCGGGGAGAAUGCACUUCCCCGUUAUGAUGAAUACGCCCACGAGCAGAUCUUACGAGCUUCAUCGUUGAAUGUCGAUGGCUCAGCAGUUGAUAGAGAGAUGUGUGCAUUUACGUACUUGAGGAUGAACCCAUCGCUCUUUCAUCCGGACAAUUGGAGAC